rnacentral:lncRNA from 1 species
AGCAGUGAAUUACAUCAGUACACAGCAACAGAUGCUACAUAGCAGUUAAUGUUACAGCUUUCAGAGACAUAUCUAUAAUCUAAGUUCAUUUUCCGGGGACAAAGUUAGUGGCAUAAGCCCAUGCGUUGUUGGCCACCGGAUCGGCAAGGUGGUCAAGGAGGUUCUCAAUGGGACCCUUUCCUGUGACAAUAGCCUGGACAAAGAAUCCAAACAUGGAGAACAUUGCAAGGCGGCCAUUCUUGAUCUCCUUAACCUUCAAUUCUGCGAACGCAUCAGGAUCAUCAGCCAGUCCAAGUGGGUCGAAAGCACCACCUGGGUAAAUUGGGUCCAGUCCUUCACCAAGUGGUCCCCCUCCAACUCUGUAUCCUUCAACAAAUCCCAUGAGCACAACUUGGCAAGCCCAGAUUGCAAGAAUGCUCUGAGCAUGGAUAAGGUUUGGGUUGCCAAGAUAGUCAAGGCCACCCUCGGAGAAUAUUUGAGAUCCAGCUUUGAACCAAACUGCCUCUCCGAACUUAACUCCAUUCUUUGAAAGAAUUUCAGGGAAGACACAACCAAGGGCACCAAGCAUUGCCCAUCUGCAGUGGAUCACUUCAAGCUCACGGUUCUUAGCAAAUGUCUCUGGGUCAGCUGAUAACCCAGCAGUGUCCCACCCAUAGUCACCAGGGAAUUCACCUGUCAGGUAUGAUGGGAUUUGGUCUGAGAAUGGACCCAAGUACUUUGGGCGGUCAGGGCCAUACCUGUUUUUAAAACCAAACCGUAGGUAAUCAGAUCAAGAAGCAGAAAUAUAGUUCCGUUGCAUGAUUUCGCUUGUACAUGUUAUUUCUCUUUAAAUGUAUGGCUUAAAAUAAGGCAGAUUGCUGCUAGAAUGUACUGUACAAAUUGAAAUUUUUAGUCUGUUGUUUCACAAUAUUUGGGUUAACCAUCAAUGAUUAGACUAAAAAGAUCCUUAUAACAAAAUGCUACUAGUUAGUACUAGGAAGUAGUAACAAAAGUAUACCAGAUGCUGGUAGGGGCACUUUUCACAGUUCUGCGCAUGGUAACACGACCACCAUGGAAAGCUCCGACUUUGCGUAAGAGCUCAUUGGACUGCUUCAAAGCGGUCUGGCCAACGAAAGCAGAUUGUUGGAUAGCAGAGGUUGCCAUGGUGCCUAAGGCUUUAGGUUGACUUGGUUUGUUUGCCGAUGGUUAUUGUAGUCUAUUUUGGUUUGGAGGAGAGAAGGGGUUAUAAUGGAAAUGAGAAGAUGUUGUGGAUCAGGAAAUGUACAUGUCAGCAGCAGUCUAUUGGUUGCUGCAUUGGUGUGGAUUUGCAAUUGGAUUUUUUGGAGAGUUGUAUAGGUUGAUUUUAUGCCGCGUGGAUUUGGAAAAAUCUUCUUGAUGUUUUUGGUGGUGAAGCUAAAGCCAUAUAUAUAGCCACUUAACUCUGCUAAUAUUUCUCAUGUUCUAGUAUCUCUUGUAUCAUCCGUAUAGAUAUAAGCAGCUAUUAGUGAAUAAUAAAAAUAUCUUUUAAAAGGUUAAAAUAAAUAAAAUUAUUCAAUUUAAAUAUAUAUAAACAUAUAUAUUUAUUUAGAUUUAAAUUAAUAAAUAUGUAAGAAUAGAGUUUGGCAUAAUAAUUUUAUUAAUUUAUUUAAAUAUAAAUGGACUAAAUAUACAAAAAAAAAAUAAAGUUGGUUAAUAUUAAAUUUUGAACCUUUUAAUUGAUUUUUUUAAUAAAAUUUACUAAUUUAUAGAUAAAACUAUAAUAAAUUAAUAUAUAAUAGAAAAUUUAUAUAUAACUUUUAAAAGUUGUACACUUAAAAACAUAAUCAUCUUUCUUUAGGAUACCACUAUUAAUACAUAUUUGAGUUUGAAAUUAUGAUAACUUAAUAGGGUGACUCACAAUCAUGUCUACAUUAUAUUUUUUAAAAUAAAAAGAUGUUUAUCAAAAUAGAAUUAUAACUAACAUUUGUAUAAAAUUAAAUUAAAUUAUUGACAACGUAAUAAUAAAUUUCAUAGUUAGAAUUAUAUAAAUUAUAUAAUCUAUUAGUAAAAAAAUAAGUAACUUCUAUAUUUGCAAAUAUCAUUUUUUUUGUAAUAUGAUAUUUUAAUUAUACUUUUAAGUUUUGAAAUUAUUUUAAUUUACAUGUUAAAGCACAAUUCACUUAACGUCCUAAAUAAUUAAUAUUACAAAUAAUAUAUAAAAUAGUCAAUAACAAUUCAUGAUAAAUUAGCAAAUUAUGAUAGACAAGACAAUGAUCACAAGUUUCUUCUUCAAAAUUUCACUAUUUUCAUACAUAUAAGCAGCUAUUAGUGAACGAUAAAAAAAUAUCUUUUAAAAUUUUAAAAUAAAUUAAAUUAUUCUAUUUAAAUAUAUAUUUUUUAAAUUUAAAGAAAUAUUUAAUAAUAGACUUGACAUAAUAAUUCACUUUAAAGAUAAAAUAAUAUAAAUAUGAAAUCUUAUUAAUUUAUUUAAAUAUAAAGGAAUUAAAUAUAUGAAAAAUAAAAUUCCUUAAUUUAAUUAAUAUCUAGUAGGUUAACUUACAAUUAACUAAUUAAAUUUUAAAAUUUUUAGAUUAAAUUCUUAAUAAAAUUCAUUACAAGAAAGUUUUAACAUUUAAUAAUUUAUAGAUAUUGGUGGAGCAUAUGGAGCCUGUGACGGUUGCUAGAUAUGGGAACGGGGUGGAGGAUAGGUACUGGCGAAGCAGUCUCAAUUUGGCAAGAUAAGUGAUAAUGUGCUUGAUCAAUAUAUUUUUAUUAUUUAUUGUAACAUCUCAUGCUCGGUUCGGUAACCGGAGUCGAACAAAAUAAUGUUAUUACCAAAUAUUUAAAUGAUUUUGAAACAUUCAGCUAAUUGGAAUAUGCAACAACAUGAGUUGAUAGCUUAUUUUGUUUUUGGCACUUACUUAAAAGUUUACAAAAUAUAUAUUUAAUCCAACCGUACAUACUGCCUUGUGUUUAAAAGAGUUUCGACUAAAUAUAGUAAAAUCAGAUUCUUAGUUUACUAGCGUGUGGACUACCACGAUAUGUACAUGUUACAAAAAUACAAUUAAAAGGCUCACAACUAAAACUUCAGCUUUUGGCUUAGUCCUUUUCCUAUCGUUCAAAACGGCUAUUGAUACCUGAAGAGAUAAAUCAAGAAGCAUGGUAAGUUCAAAAUGAUCUUAGUGAGUUCCCAUGAUGUUUACUUGCCCCCACAUACAACUUGCGUGGAAUAUAAGAAACGCAUAAGGACAACUAAUACGUUAAACAUUUCACGAAAGAAUAUAAGCAACAAGCAUACAAUACACUUCGCUCAAAUAAACAGUUCACUUUCACUCUCUGCAAACAUAUGUGUUACGGUAAGUAUAGUUGAAUUUACCCAAUGCAACCUAUACAGGUGAAAGAUCUUAGUGGAGUCAUACUCUGCUAAUACACACCAGACACAUGCCUGUGGAUUCAUGUCCACGGAUACAUACCUGCAGACUCAGGUUUGUGGAUUCAUACCUGCCCUCGUAUAUACAAAUCUAUUCUUAAAGAUAAUUCUUGCGGGCUUACGUCCGAUGAAUAUUUCUCAUGCAAUUGUGCUUGGAGAACUUAGACUCCCAGACUCACACUAUGCGAAUUGUUCGUGCAGACUUAUUUUCAUUAAUUUUCAUAUAACGGAGUCCCAGAAGACCGACUUAGCCUAGGAGCUUGAGGACAAGUCCUACAGACUAUCUUAGAUUGUAUUAUAGUCCUUAUGGACUCAUACUUGCAGUUGAUCCGGUGAACUCAUACUUGGAUGGUAAUCCAGGCGGACUCUUGUUUGAAUGAUGGUCUUGGUGGACUCACAACCAAGGAUUCUCUUUUAGAGAAACCAUUUGCGAAUACAUACUUAGUGAAUUUGUACACGUAGAUUCAUUCUGGUGCAGACACAUGCUUGUACACUUAAAGACAAGUCCUGGGGACUAUCAUAAACCUGUAUAUGUAAGGACAACUCCCAACGGAUUGUCAUAACUUGUGACUUGGAGACAAAUCCCACCACAACGCCACUCAUCUUUCAAUUAACAUCCUUCCACAACACCGAAACUUCUCUUUCAAUUAAAAUCUUGCCACAACGCUGAUACUUCUUUCAAUUAACGUCCCGCCACAACACCGAUACUUCAUGUAACACCCCUCACCCAAUCUGAUCGCUGGAUCCAAGUUUCAGGAUGCUACUACAAUUAUCUGAACAUUCACACGCAAAUCAUAACAUUGAAUUCAAUUUAAGUCAACAAGUUGUCACUACAACAAAACAGGUUUUUAGCGGCAUUUUUUUGGCCCUUUAAGCGUUGCUAUAAUUUUGUGGCGUUUAUGUGGACAAAAGCCGCUAUAGAAUAUGAUAUUUAGCGGCUCUUUUUUUACAAACGCCGCUAAAAAGCAUGACCUUUAGCGACGAUUUUCCCAAAAACGCAGCUAAAAAAUAUGACCUUCAGUGGCACUUCUCUCGAAAACGCAGCUAAAGAACAUAUGCUAAAAAAUAUAACCUUCAGCGGCGUUUUUGGGUGAAAAAUAAAAAAAAUCAAAAUAUCAUAAAAACGCCACAAAUCCAUUCCUAUCCCUUUACCUGCUUUAAGCAAAUCCUUUAGAAAUGUUGUUAUUAUUACAUACAUCACUCCAUUCUUUGGUUAGAGAAUGUAGCAGAAGUGGAAUUCCACCAAUUUAGAAAUGCAUAAUUUAAUUUGAAGACGUAUUAAAAUGGAAAUUCAUGAACAAGAAGAUCAAUGUUUUUCACUAUAUCUCAUGUAACGAGUCAAACUGCCUUUGAUUACAUAAGAUUCCUUUAAAAUUAAAAAAAAUUCAAACUAGUUCAUAUCAACUUGCUCAAGUUGUAUGUAUGACUUGCAGAUCAACACCUUAUUUGAACUUACAAUUCUAGGAAAGCAUAAAAUGUAGUUCCAUGAGCAUGCAUUUAAAGUGGCAAAAAAAAAUUUACUGAUUACAGUGACAGUCUAAGCUCCAAAUCUAGCUCUUGUGUGUCACUUGAUUCUGAAUUCUGACUGCCCGAUCCCAAUGAGUUGCUGCAAUGUUUCUUGCUCCUUGAAUGUGAAUCCUAUAAGAAUGUAAGGAACUAAAACAAGUCAAAUUUUAAAACACAAUCAUCACAUGGCACAUAAACUAAAAAAAGGAAGGAUAAUAAUUUAGAAGAUAAAUUAAAUAAUUUAGGAGAUAUUAAAAAUUUAGACUUAAACCAUGAGUCUAAAGAAAUAUUAACUAGUGUUAAUAAUAAAUUAGAUCAGGUUAUUAAUAAUAAUAAUAUGGAGUCUGAUAUAGAUUUAGGUCAUUUAUAUUAUGGUAAUGGUAAGGAUAAUAUUUUAAUUUUAUCUGAAGAAGAAAACACUUCUUUUGAUGAGUCGUCAUCUCUGUUAAAAAAUUAUAAAAAAACAUAAAAUAAAAAAAAGAUGAUAAACAAAAAGAAUAUGAUUUCCAGCCCUAUAAAACCCUUAUAGAACAUUGGAAAGAAAAAUUUACUACUACUAAUGAUCAACUAGAAAGAGUUGAAUAUUUAAAAUUAAUUAAAGAACUUUAUGAAAAACAUAAAGAUUUUUUUAGUAUGUUUAAUUAUCAUUAUAUGUUAAAAUAUGAUGAUAGUAGCAGUUCAAGUAAUUCUGAAAAAACAGAAUUAUUUAAGAAACAAUCUGAUGAAGAAAAAACUUCAACCGAUCAGGACGAAGACAUAAAAGUCUCAACUUAUAAUUCUGAUGAAGAAACCACUUCAUUUGAAGAUGUAGACGAAGUAAUAAAUAUUCCUGAACCAAUGGAUACUGAACCAACAGAUCCUUAUGGAAAAAGAAAAAUUGAGUCAGAUAUUCAAACAAAUGAUUAUCUGAUUAAAGAUUUAAGUAAAGUUCAAUAUACAACCAGUAUGUUGACUAGUAAUAUAAAAAAAAUUAAUUGAUGAGAAAGAUCCUAAAAAUAUAAGAGAAUUUAUUAAUAGAACUUUACUAGGACGGUUAGGUGUAAAACGUAAUACUCAUCAUAGGCAUAAAAAGAAAAAAUAUAAUAAACAAGUCAAAGGGAAACUAGAAAAUAAAAAAUUUUCUGGUCAUAUUAAGAGUCAGUUUUCUAGAAGAAAAACUUCUAAAGAACUUAAAGAUAUUUUAGAUAUUAAGAUAGGUCAUAUAGUCAAAAACUUUUCUAACAAAAGAAAAGAAGUUAGAAAAAGAAUUAAUAGUCUUGAAAAACAAGAUUUAGAAGUAUGUUUUCAAAAGAAAAUAAAUCCUGAAGAAAUGUUAUAUGAGUUAAUAUCAGAAACAGAUUCUGAUAAUAAUGAUGAAUAUAUAUUAAUGUUUAAUAUAGGAAGAAGUUCUAAUAAUUAAUUAGAAGAAAUUCCGAAUUCUGAAAAACAGGAUAUUAAAUUAGGUAAUUUAAUCGCAGAAGAAAAAGACUUUUCUGAUGAAAUUAUAGAAAAAAUUAAUAAAAAUCAUAUUUCUAAAGAGGAAAUAUAUAAGAUCUCUAAGUUUAAAUAUGGACUCAGAGACAUAUAGAAAAAAUUAGCGGUAACACUGACGCUAAGGAUACAAGAGAAGGAUUAACAGAAAUCCCUCUCUUUACUAAAGAGAAAAUUAAGAGGAUUAGAAAGAAAUAUCCUCAGGUUAGAUAUAUACAUUUAGGUAUAAUCAUGAUUACUAUUAGAGCCUUAUUUAGAAGAGGUCAUGAUAUUCCUAUAAUAGCUGUCCUUUUAGGUAAAAGAUUUGAAAAUCCAAUAAAAGCACUUAUUGGAGGUAUUCAGUCUAAUUUACAUACAGGUGUAAUAGGAUUUAAAGUUAAACCAAAUUAUUUUAUUUCCAUUUCAGACCCUCUAAUAGAAGAGUGUCUUUGCCUUAGGAUUCAGACAAAAAAUUCUGAUAUCAAUGAUUUAGUAGAAGAUCUAGCAAUUAGUUGGAUUUCUAUUAAUGAAUAUACAAAUACAGCAGAAGUAGAAAUAAAAGAGAUUAAUAACAAAAUUAUUGAAAUCUUUGAACCAAACAAGUUCACUACUGAAAUUCAGCCGAAAUUAUUAGAUCUAAGAGAUCUGUCAAUUCCAAGAGAUCGGAUGAUGGAAAGAAUCAAUAGUUCUAGUACUUCUAAACCAGUUAGUACUAUAGAAUAUAUGUCAUCAGGCAAUAAAUUGUAUUUUAAAAAUAAUUGUAUAACAAAUACAAAUGAAAAUUUAGUUUUACCCUCUAGUUCUCAACCAGAAGAAGAAGAAGAUAAUAUUAGUUCAAAUAGUACACCAAUAGGAAUUAAAACUGUUCAAAUUCCUAAAUUUCCUACUGAACCUAGUAAUAAUUCUAGAAAAACUAGACUGGAAGAAAUUCAAACUUCAACAAUUGAUAAAAAGUCAAAAGUUGGAAUAAAUAUCAAAGUUACAUUUCAGUUUAGAAAAUAUAAAAAAACAUUCUCUAAAUGUUUUGAUUGAUACUGGAGCUACAAUCUGUAGUUGUAGAGAAAAUGCGAUUCUUGUAGAAAAAUGAGAAAUAAUGAAAAAACCCAUAAAAAUAAUGGGACUAGAUGGUAGUAAAACUAUUAUAAAACAUAAAGCUAAAAAUAUACCAAUCUACAUAAACAAUGUUAGAUUUGUGAUUCCUAAAAUAGUAUGUUUUCCUAACAUGAAGGGAGAUAUAUUAUUAGGUAAUAAUUUUAUAUGUAAGUAUUUACCUUUUACUAUUGAAAAACAUUCUAUUUGGUUAUCAGUAAAAAAAGAUUUUUUAGAAAUACCUCUUGAUAAUAAUAAUAAGAUUGUGUGUAAUAAAAAUUUUACACCAAUUAAACUACUAGAUAAUUAAUAAUUAUUACUAAUGAUUGUUGAUUAUCUUAAUAAGUUCUAUGGAUAGAGGUAAACAGCCUCUAAAAGAAAUACUCGAUGAAUGGACUACUGCUCACAAAAAACCCAACAAAGGGAAAGCAGUAUCGAACUCCAAAAAAGAAUUUGUACCUGCACAACUACCAUUUUAUCCUAAUCAAGGAUAUUAUGUGUCAUAUCCAAUGGUAAACCAACCACUUGGACCAAAUGUUUUAAAAUAUUCAAUGGUAAACCAACCAGUUGGAACCUCUUUUUCAAACAUGGUGUAUCAAUCACCAAUGUUUCAUGAUAUGAAUUUAGCAUCACCAACCAAUUAUACUGAAAUCAUCAAAAGUUCGGAAAAUUUGUUGAAAAAACAACAAAUUGAAGAAGAAAAAAAUCUUUCAAAAAUAAAAGAUUUUUAUAAUCCUGGUUUAUCACCAGAAAAUUAUGACUUUAUAAACGAGAUAUGGAAAACUCAUAUUUCUAAUCAAAGAGUCAAUUUCAGAAGAGCUCUUACCAGAUAUUCAUUAUUUUUAGUUGAAAAAACAACUAAAGAAAAUGAAGCUGAAGAUUUAUUAUUAAAAUCUAUUUUAUACAGAGAUUGGGAUGAAUUCCAACUCUUUGUUAUGGAUAUUAAGGAGAUAAACAAUCUUCUUGAUAUUAUUCAAUAUUUUAUUCAUAAAAAGAAAAACAAUUCUAUUAUGAAUAAAGUAUUUAGAAUAUGUAUGUUUAAUAAAGCUAGGAAAUUUUUACCGGUAGAAAUAUUCACAAAAAUAAAUGAAAUAAUUUGCAGACAGCAAAUUCAAUUUCAAAAAGCUUUUUCAGAAUAUUUUCUACAAGCAUAUGUUUUUAAUGAUUAUUUAGAUAAUGAAUUUCCUACUUUAAAAUACAGAUUAGAUCAUGAACCAUUUGAUAUAACCAAUAUUGAAUGGGGUUUUACUAAAGAAAUAGUUGUGCAAAAUCUCUCUUUUCAUCUUUUAAAAGAUUUUCCAGCUAUUGUAAAGUCAGUUUUACAAAACAUCAUAAACAAUGAUGAUUUUUAUUACUAUUUUUAUAUUGAAAUUAGUAGUCUAAUAGGUAUAGCUGAAUAAGAAAAAAAUUAUCAACCGUAUCAAAUUUGGGUUAUUAAAAAGAUGAUUGGAACCCCCCAAUUAUCUGCUGUUAAUGAAGAUAAAGAACAUUUGUCAAAAACUAUUGAUAAAUGUUAUAAUAAAUUUGAUCAUUAUCAAGUCCAAACAGGAAUUGAUUUAUUAUCACAAGCCCAUUAUCUUCUCCAUGAUGAUGUUUAUAAAUUAUGGACGGAUGGAAGGAGGAUAUUGGCAUUUCCCAAUGGAAACAUCCAGGAGGAAAGAGAUGAAGAAUCUGUGAAGCUGUUAAGAAAGAUUGUUGAAAUGGAGAUAGAAGAAUUUCCAUCUCAUAUUACAGAAAAAAUAAAAAAUAUAUGGGAGACUUGGAACUCACCACCAAGACUUUCAUCAGAUUUUUUACAUUUGGACGAGAUUGAAGAAAUGAAUCUCAAUAAUAUGCAAGAAGGUUGAAGUCAAAAAAGAUGGCAACCUGAAAGAAAGGCAAUCCACAUACCAACAAAAAAGUUUGGCAACGUGGAUAUCAUGAUGACAUAAGCCAUGAUGGAAGCAACCAUGAAGGCUAAUCAAUGACACCCAGAUGCAGACAAAAAGUCUUGCAACGUGGAAGAUUUCAUCAAACCAAUGAUGAUGCAAGCAAUGAUAAAAGCUACAUGACACAAGCAAGUGAUGGAAGCGGUCAUUAAUUCAAGCAUGCAACGUGGAAACAACCAUGACCAUGCAAUUAAAAUUACAAGAAGACAAAUGAGACGUGGAAGCAGCCACAUCCAUUUGAAGCCGAAUCCUUAUCAGAAACACUGUUCGGGAUUCAAAAUACAAUUGUAUAGAAUUUUUAAUCUCCUUUAUAAAUAGGGAGGAAAGUUCAAUUGUAUAGGCAUCAUUUGUUUAUAGUUUACUCUUUAGUUUUCUUCUAGUUUUCUUCUUUGUAAACAUUUUCUUUUUUGUUAAUAAAAGAGUCUAUAUUCCCUUCCGCUCAUACUCUUUAAGUCCCUUCUCCCCCUAGAAUUGGUAUCAGAGGUGCCGGUGUAACGACUUUCUGGAGAAAUAAUAUCGUAAUAUUCAUUGUAUGUUUUUGUCUUUGAUUUACAUUUCUGUUUGUUUCACUGUUGUUUGUUUCAAAACUCAUAUAUCUAUUAUUAUGUCUUCUUGUUGCCGUUGAGUCCAGGGAGGACGUUAAGCGUUGUGUGAAGACGAUAUAGAUAAUAGACGGUCUUAGGUACCCGAGACAAACAUUAUGGAGCAAAUUGAGUGUCAAUUUCAAGAUAAAACUUGUAAUCAUAUUACGCAUAUAGACUCUAGAAAUGAAAACAACAUUUCAUCUCUGAGUAAGGGUAUAAAUAGUCUUGUUGAUAUGACUUCUUUUUAUUUUUCUAAGUUAUGUAAAAAGGUCAGUAAAGUAGAAGAAAAGAUAAAUAAUUUAGGAGAUAUAAAAAAUUUAGACUUAAACCAUGAGUCUAAAGAAAUAUUAACUAAUAUUAAUAAUAAAUUAGAACAAGUUUUUAAUAAUAAUACUGAGUUUGAUGUAGAUCUAGGUCCUUUAUAUUAUGGCAAUGGUAAGGAUAACAUUUUAGUUUUAUCUAAAGAAGAAAAUACUUAUUCUGAUGAGUCAUCAUCUCUGUUAAAAAAUUAUAAAAAAACAUAAAAAAACGUAAAAAAAGAUGAUAAACAAAAAUAAUAUGAUUUCCAGUCCUAUAAAACCCUUAUAGAACAUUGGAAAGAAAAAUUUACUACUACUAAUGAUCAACUAGAAAGAGUUGAAUAUUUAAAAUUAAUUGAAGAGCUUUAUGAAAAAUAUAAAGAUUUUUUUAGUAUUUUUAGUUAUCAUUAUAUGUUAAAAUAUGAUGAUAGUAGCAAUUCAAGUAAUUCUGAAAAAACAGAAUUAUUUAAGAAACAAUCUGAUGAAGAAAAACUUCAAUAGAUCAGGAUGAAGACAUAAAAGUCUCAACUUAUAAUUCUGAUGAAGAAACCACUUUAUCUGAAGAUGUAGACGAAGAAAUAAAUAUUCCUGAACCAAUAGAUACUGAACCAACAGAUCCUUAUGGAAAAAGAAAAAUAGAGUCAGAUAGUCAAACAGAUGAUUAUCUUAGGUCUUUAAAUAAACAGAUGAAAUUUUGGUAAUAAAAUCGAUAAUAUAGCAACUAAUGAAGUAAAACCUGAAUAUCCAGGAGAAACUUCUAACCAACCUGUUCAACAAAGAAUAGAUGAUUUAAAUAAAAGAAAUGUGGCCCAAGGAGGAAUUUAUUUAGAUCUAACUAAUACUCCUAUUUCAAAUUAUGAAAAAACUAUUGAUGAUUGGGCACAAUCUAUGACUAUUGUUGUAAACAGCAACACGUGGUCAAAAGAAAAUUUUUUAAAUUACUUUGUUGGAACAUUUCAAGGAGAUGUUCUACAAUUUUUUAGACGUUGAGAAGAGUCUAAGAAAGGUAAAGAACAAAAGGGGCAAUUAAUCAACCAAAUAGGAACCCCUAAGGAUCUUUUAAAAGGAUUAACCUUAAUUCUAAAAAUAGAAUUUUGUGGAUAUUUUGAUAAAAAAGAUCAAGAUAGUACAUCUAGUUAUAUCCUUUCUAAGAUUAAAUUAUGUGAUAUUAGACAUUUAGAAGAUUUUUCUAAAAAAUUUCUUCAUGAAUAUCAAAAGUUAAAAAUGAAAAUAUAGAAUUUUGGAAAAACCAAUAUUUUCAUAAAUUACCCCCACCCUGGGAUGAGAUAUGUAUAAACAAAUAUGUCUUAUUUAGAGAAGCACAGUAAAACAUCUGGACUUCCAGCAGAAAAUUUGGAUACUAUAGGAAAUAGGAUAAACUUUGCACGUGAAAGAAUAACUUUACAUUGUUUGCAAAGUAAAGCUGCUAAACAAGUCAAACAUAAAUUAAGUGAUAAAUAUUGUAAUAAAAUACUAGAAAAUGAAUGUGAAUUUGGAUGUAAACAAAUAUAUCCUAAAAAGCAGAAAAAAUAUAAAUUAAGAAAAUGGAAACCAGGUAAUAAAAAGUUUUUUGGUAAUAAUAAAACAGUGGUUAGGAAAAAGACUUCUGAACAAAGAAACAAAUUUGUAAAUGUUUUAUUUGUGAUGAAGAAGGUCAUAUAGCUAGCAAUUAUCCUAACAAAGGAAAAAAUGCUAGAAAAAUGAUAAAAAGUCUUGAAAAACAAGAUUUAAAAAUAUGUUUUCAAAAGGAAAUAAAUCCUGAAGAAAUAUUAUAUGAGUUAGUUUCAGAAACAGAUUCUGAUAAUAACGAUGAAUAUAUAUUUAUGUUUAAUAUAGAAUAUAUGUCAUCAGGCAAUAAAUUGUAUUUUAAAAAUAAUUGUAUAACAAAUACAAAUAAAAAUUUAGUUUUACUCUCUAGUUCUCAACCAGAAGAAGAAGAUAAUAUUAGUUCAAAUAGUACACCAAUAGGAAUUAAAACAGUUCAAAUUCCUAUAUUUCCUACUGAACCUAGUAAUAAUUCUAGAAAAACUAGAAUGAAAGAAAUUCAAACUUCAACAAUUGAUAAAAAGUCAAAAGUUGGAAUAAAUAUCAAAGUUACAUUUCAAUUUAGAAAAUAUAAAAAAUAUUCUCUAAAUGCCUUGAUUGAUACUGGAGCUACAAUCUGUAGUUGCAGAGAAAAUGCGAUUCCUGUAGAAAAAUGGGAAUUAAUGAAAAAACCCAUAAAAAUAAUGAGACUAGAUGGUAGUAAAACUAUUAUAAAACAUAAAGCUAAAAAUAUACCAAUCUACAUAAGCAAUGUUAGAUUUGUGAUUCUUAAAAUAGUAUGUUUUCCUAACAUGAAGGGAGAUAUAUUAUUAGGUAAUAAUUUUAUAUGUAAGUAUUUACCUUUUACUAUUGAUAAACAUUCUAUUUGGUUAUCAGUAAAAAAAAGAUUUUUUAGAAAUACCUCUUGAUAAUAAUAAUAAGAUUGUGUGUAAUAAAAAUUUUACACCAAUUAAACUACUAGAUAAUUAAUAAUUAUUAUUAAUGAUUGUUGAUUAUCUUAGCAGGUUCUAUGGAUAGAAGUAAACAGCCUCUAAACGAAAUAGUCAGUGAAUGGACUACUGUUCACAAAAAACCCAACAAAGGGAAAGCAGUAUCAAACUCCAAAAAAGGAUUUGUACCUGCACAAAUAUCAUUUUAUCCUAAUUAAGGAUAUUAUGUGUCAUAUCCAAUGGUAAACCAACCACUUGGACCAAAUGUUUUAAAAUAUCCAACGGUAAACCAACCAGUUGGAACCUCUUUUUCAAACAUGGUGUAUCAAUCACAAAUGUUUCAAGAUAUGAAUUUAGCAUCACAAACAAGUUAUGCUGAAAUCAUCAAAAGUUCAGAAAAUUUGUUGAAAAAAUAAAAAAUUGAAGAAGAAAAAGAUCUUUCAAAAAUAAAAGAUUUUUAUAAUCCUGAUUUAUCACCAGAAAAUUAUGAUUUUAUAAACGAGAUAUGGAAAACCCAUAUUUCUAAUCAAAGAGCCAAUUUCAGAAGAGCUCUUACCAGAUAUUCAUUAUUUUUAGUUGAAAAAAUAACUAAAGAAAAUGAAGCUGAAGAUUUAUUAUUAAAAUCUAUUUUAUACAAAGAUUGAGAUGAAUUCCAACUCUUUGUUAUGGAUAUUAAUGAGAUAAACAAUCUUCUUGAUAUUAUUCAAUAUUUUAUUCAUAAAGAGAAAAACAACUCUAUUAUGAAUAAAGUAUUUAGAAUAUGUAUGUUUAAUAAAGCUAGGAAAUUUUUACCGGUAGAAAUAUUCACAAAAAUAAAUGAAAUAAUUUGCAGACAGCAAAUUCAAUUUCAAAAAGCUUUUUCAGAAUAUUUUCUACAAGUAUAUGUUUUAAUGAUUAUUUAGAUAAUGAAUUUCCUACUUUAAAAUACAGAUUAAAUCAUGAACCAUUUGAUAUAACCAAUAUUAAAUGGGGUUUUACUAAAGAAAUAGUUGUGCAAAAUCUCUCUUUUCAUCUUUUAAAAGAUUUUUCAGCUAUUGUAAAGACAGUUUUACAAAACAUCAUAAACAAUGAUGAUUUUUAUUACUAUUUUUAUAUUGAAAUUAGUAGUCUAAUUGGUAUAGCUGAACAAGAAAAAUUUUACCAGCCGUAUCAAAUUUGGAUUAUUAAAAAGAUGAUUGGAACCCCCCCAAUUAUCUGCUUGUUGAUAUGACUUCUUUUUAUUUUUCUAAGUUAUGUAAAAAGGUCAGUAAAGUAGAAGAAAAGAUAAAUAAUUUAGGAUUUAUAAAAAGUUUAGACUUAAACCAUGAGUCUAAAGAAAUAUUAACUAAUAUUAAUAAUAAUAUUGAGUCUGAUGUAGAUCUAGGUCCUUUAUAUUAUGGUAAUGGUAAAAAAAAUAUUUUAGUUUUAUCUGAAGAAGAAAACACUUCUGAUGAGUCAUCUCUGUUAAAAAAUUAUAAAAAACAUAAAAAACGUAAAAAAGAUGAUAAACAAAAAGAAUAUGAUUUCCAGUCCUAUAAAACCCUUAUAGAACAUUGGAAAGAAAAAUUUACUACUACUAAUGAUCAACUAGAAAGAGUUGAAUAGUUAAAAUUAAUUGAAGAACUUUAUGAAAAACAUAAAGAUCUUUUUAGUAUGUUUAAUUAUCAUUAUAUGUUAAAAUAUGAUGAUAGUAGCAGUUCAAGUAAUUCUGAAAAAACAAAAUUAUUUAAGAAACAAUCUGAUGAAGAAAAAACUUCAACCGAUCAGGACGAAGACAUAAAAGUCUCAACUUAUAAUUCUGAUGAAGAAACCACUUCAUCUGAAAAUGUAGACGAAGAAAUAAAUAUUCCUGAACCAAUGGAUACUGAACCAACAGAUCCUUAUGGAAAAAGAAAAAUUGAGUCAGAUAUUCAAACAAAUGAUUAUCUGAUUAAAGAUUUAGGUAAAGUUCAAUAUACAACCAGUAUGUUGACUAGUAAUAUAAAAAAAUUUAACUAUUGAUGAGAAAGAUCCUAAAAAUAUAAGAGAAUUUAUUAAUAGAACUUUACUAGGACAGUUAGGUGUAAAACCUAAUACUCAUAAUAGGCAUAAAAAGAAAAAAUAUAAUAAACAAGUCAAAGGAAAAUUAGAAAAUAAAAAAUUUUCUGGUCAUAUUAAGAGUCAGUUUUCUAGAAGAAAAACUUCUAAAGAACUUAAAGAUAUUUUAGAUAUUAAGAUAGGUCAUAUAGUCAAAAACUUUUCUAACAAAAGAAAAGAAUCUAGAAAAAGAAUUAAUAGUCUUGAAAAACUAGAUUUGGAAAUAAGUUAUAAAAAGGAAAUAAAUCCUUAUAAAAUUGAAUCUGAUAAAAAUGAAAAAAUAUUUUUAUUAGAAAAUUCUAGAAAUACUAGAAUUGAAAAAUUAAAAACAGUUCUUCAGCAAAUAAAAAUUGGGAAAAAUGAUAUAAUCACAUUUUCAAAUUUUCAAGCUAAGAAAUAUUAUACUCAUAUUGAAAUCACAUUUCAGUUUAGAGAAUAUAAAAAAAUAUUCUUUACACGCUUUGCUUGACACUGGAGCUACAACAAGUAGUUGCAAAAAAAAAUGCUAUUCUUAUAGAAAAAUAGGAAUUAAUGAAAAAUCCUAUUAAUGCAAUUGGAAUAGAUGGUAAUGAAACUAUAAUCCAAUAUAAUGCAAGAAAUAUACCAAUCUACAUAAACAAUGUUAGAUUUGUAAUUCCUAAGAUGUUAUGUUUCUCUGAAAUGCAUGGAGAUAUAUUACUAGAAAAUAAUUUUAUAUAUCAUCAUCUACCAUUUUCUAUAGAUAAAUAUUUGGUUACUUUGUCUGUAGAAAAAUUCUCUAUGGAAAUACCACUGGUAGAAAACCAUAAGUUUGUGUGUAAUAAAAACUUUACACCAACUAGAAAAGAACAAAUUAAACAAAUAGAAACUAAUCAUUGGUUGUUUAAAAUAUUAGAAAACAAUUUUAGUGAUGAACCACUAAAGUUAUGAAAAAAUAGUCCAAGAUAUUGUGAAAUAAAAUUAAAUAAUCCUAAUAAAAUAAUUAGGGUUAAGCCUAUGAUCUAUACUAAACAAGAUAUGGAUGAGUUUGAUGUUCAAAUAAAUGAACUAUUAGAAAAAAAGAUUAAUAGAAAAAACUAAUAGUCCUCAUUCAAGUCCUGCUUUUAUGGUAAAAAAUCAUGCUGAAAUUAAAAGAGGAAAAGCUAGGAUGGUUAUUAAUUAUAAGAGAUUAAAUCAAAACACUAUUUUUGAUGGAUAUUUUAUCCCAAAAAAAGAAGUAUUGAUCAAUCAGGCUAAACAAGCCAAAUAUUUUAGUAAAUUAGAUUGUAAAUCGGGAUUCUGACAAAUCAUGCUAAUCGAUGAGUCAAAACCUUUAACUGCUUUUAGUGCCCCUAAUGGUCAUUAUCAAUAGAGGAUAAUGCCAUUUGAAUUAUGCAAUACUCCACAAAUCUUUCAAAGAUGGAUGGAUUCCAUCUUUAAUAAGUAUAAAAAGUUUUGUGUAGUAUAUAUAGAUGAUAUUCUAGUCUUUUCAGAAACACUAGAAAAGCAUAGAAAACAUCUAAAUAUUUUUUCUCAAAAAUUCCUAAAACAUGGAAUUAUAUUAAGCCCUAAAAAGAUAGAGCUAGAAAAAAUGGGAAUAGAAUUUUUAGGUUUAAAGUUAUCUACAGAUGGUCUUAAACUCCAAGAUCAUAUUAUUGUAAAAAUAAAAGAAUUUCCUGAAAAAAUAGAAGAAUUUCCUGAAAAAAUAGAAGAUAAAAAACAUCUUCAACAAUUUUUAGGAAUUGUUAAUUAUGGGAGAAACUUUUUUCCAAAAUAAUCUGAAAAAAUAGGUAUAUUAUAUGGAAAAUUAAAAAAGAAUAUUUCUUUUUGCUGGUCUAAGAAAUUAUAAAAAAUAUAAAAGCAGAAAUAACUUACAAUCUAAAAGUUUAUUUACCUAAAAAAUGUGAUAAACUAAUUUUAGAAACUGAUGCAUCACAAUGUUAUUGGGGAUGUAUUCUAAAAGCUAAAACAACUAAUAAUAAUGAAGAACUAAUAUGUGGAUAUAAUUCAAGAAAAUUUAAGCCUAAUGAGGUUAAUUAUAUUAUUUAUGAAAAAGAACUUUUAGCUAUUAAAAAAGGAAUAAAAACUUUCUUAUUUAUUUAGCACCUGAAAGGUUCAUCAUAAGAACUGAUAAUCAGGCAGUUAAACAGUUUUUAACUAACAACAGUUUGGAAACUGUACCAAGAAGAAUUAGGUGGUAGAAUGAUUUAUGCACUUUUAAUUUUGAAGUUAUUUAUAUAAAAAGUGAUGAAAGUCUUCUUGCUGAUUAUCUUAGCAGGCCUCAUGGAUAGAGGUAAACAACCUCUAAAAGAAAUAGUCGGUGAAUGGACUACUAUUCACAAAAAACCCAACAAAGGGAAAGCAGAAGCAAACUCCAAAAAAAGAUUUGUAUCUGCACAAAUACCAUUUUAUCCUAAUUAAGGAUAUUAUGUAUCAUAUCCAAUGGUAAACCAACCACUUGGACCAAAUGUUUUAAAAUAUCCAAUGGUAAACCAACCAGUUGGAACCUCUUUUUCAAACAUGGUGUAUCAAUCACCAAUGUCUCAAGAUAUAAAUUUGGCAUCACAAACCAGUUAUACUGAAAUCAUUAAAAGUUCAGAAAAUUUGUUGAAAAAACAACAAAUUGAAGAAAAAAAGAUCUUUCAAAAAUAAAAGAUUUUUUAUAAUCCUGAUUUAUCACCAGAAAAUUAUGAUUUUAUAAACGAGAUAUGAAAAACCUAUAUUUCUAAUCAAAGAGCCAAUUUCAGAAGAGCUCUUACCAGAUUUUCAUUAUUUUUAGUUGAAAAAACAACUAAAGAAAAUGAAGCUGAAGAUUUAUUGUUAAAAUCUAUUUUAUAUAGAGAAUGGGAUGAAUUCCAAUUAGAAUUCAUGGAUAUUGAGGAGAUAAACAAUCUUUUUAAUAUUUUUCAAUAUUUUAUUCAUAAAGGAAAAACCAGUCCUAUCAUGAAUAAGGUAUUUAGAAUCUGUUUAUAUAACAAAUCUAGACAGAUUUUACCAAUGAAAAUAUUCAACAAAAUUAAUGGACUUAUUUGUAAUCAACAGAUUAAAUUCCAAAAAGCUUUUUCUGAAUAUUUUCUACAAUCUUAUGUUUUUACUAAUUUUAUUGGUAAAAUUUAUCCAACUAUAAAAUUUAGAUUGGAUCAUGAACCAUUCGAUAUAACAAGUAUUGAAUGGGGUUUUGUUAGAGAAAUAGUAAUACAAAAUUUCUCUUUUCACCUUUUAAUGGAUUUUCCAGCAAUAGUAAAAUCUUUUUUACAAUCCAUCAUAAACAAUGAUGAUUUUUUCUAUUACUUUUAUAUCCAAAUUAGUACUCUUAUUGGUAUUCCUGAAAAAGAAAAAAUUUUUCAGCCAUAUCAAAUUUGGUAUAUUCAUACUAUGAUCGACAGCCCUCGAUUAUCAGCCUUAAAUGAAGAUAAGGAACACUUGGCAACAACAAUUGACAAGUGUCAGAAAGAUUUUAGCUAUUAUCAAAUCCAAACUGGAAUUGAUUUAAUGGCUAAAGCAAGAUAUCUUCUUCAAGAAAAAAAUUAUCGACUUAGAACUGAUGGAAGAAGAAUAAUGGCGUACUAUUCAAGAAUUAGUGAUAAAGAUGAAGAAUCCAUUUGUCUACUAAAAAAGAUAGCAAAAAUAGAUAUAGAAGAUUUCCCAUCUCAUAUUUUGCAACAAAUCAAAAAUAUAUGGGAAAAUUGUCAUCAAGAUAUAUCUACAAUUCAUCACUAGGGAUGAUGCCAACAAAGAUGGCAACCUGAAAGAAAGGCAAUCCACAUACCAACAAAAACGUUUGGCAAUGUGGAUAUCAUGAUGAUAGUAGCAGUUCAAGUAAUUCUGAAAAAACAGAAUUAUUUAAGAAACAAUCUGAUGAAGAAAAAACUUCAACAAAUCAAGAUGAAGACAUAAAAGUCUCAACUUAUAAUUCUAAUGAAGAAACCACUUCAUCUGAAGAUAUAGACGAAGAAAUAAAUAUUCUUGAACCAAUGGAUACUGAACCAACAGAUCUUUAUGGAAAAAGAAAAAUUAAGUCAGAUAUUCAAACAAAUGAUUAUCUGAUUAAAGAUUUAAGUAAAGUUCAAUAUACAACCAAUAUGUUGACCAGUAAUAUAAAAAAUUUAACUAUUGAUGAGAAAGAUCCUAAAAAAUAUAAGAAAAUUUAUUAAUAGAACUUUACUAGGACGGUUAGGUGUAAAACCUAAUACUCAUCAUAGGCAUAAAAAGAAAAAAUAUAAUAAACAAGUCAAAGAGAAAUUAAAAAAUAAAAAAUUUUCUGGUCAUAUUAAGAAUCAGUUUUCUAGAAGAAAAACUUCUAAAGAAUUUAAAAAUAUUUUAGAUAUUAAAAUAGGACAUAUAGUCAAAAACUUUUCUAACAGAAGAAAAGAAGUUGAAAAGAAUUAAUAGUCUUGAAAAACAAGAUUUAGAAAUAAGUUAUAAAAAGGAAAUAAAUCCUUAUAAAAUUGAAUCUGAUAAAAAUGAAAAAAUAUUUUUAUUAGAAAAUUCUAGAAAUAUUAGAAUUGAAAAAUUAAAAACAGUUCUUCAGCAAAUAAAAAUUGGGAAAAAUGAUAUAAUUAUAUUUUCAAAUUUUCAAGUUAAAAAAUAUUAUACUUAUAUUAAAAUCACAUUUCAGUUUAGAGAAUAUAAAAAAUAUUUUUUAUACGCUUUACUUGACACUGGAGCUACAACAAGUAAAAUUUUAUCAGCCGUAUAUAGUAAUUUGUUACUUGAUUAGAUAAGCUAUGUCACUGCAGCUUGAGUUUUGUCCUUUCAAACUCACAUAUCAUAUACAGUCAAAAAGUUGAUGAACAAAAGGCUAUUACUUUUACAACUUAAGAUAUUGACUUUAUCUUUAUUGACAAAGCCCUCUUAGUUUCCAUUAGCAUUUGUUCCUGCAUUUAAAAGCCGGUUAGUAUUUUAGAACAUGUAAAAACUUUAGCAGUAUUUUUUUUUCUUUUUUGUUACCCAAAAUUCAGUUUAUUACCUUAUUCUGAAGUUCAGAAAGCUGGUCAAGCAUAUAUUGGGUCUGCAAAAGAAGAUUGAAAUAAAACAAAGUGCUAGAAUUUGUGAAAGUUGAAAAUAUUAGGAGCUAAAAGAGAAAUCAAGAAAGAGGUGGACUGGCAAGUUAAUUAUACCAUAAAAUUACUACAGGUAUGAUUAAUCUUUUCAUGGAAAAAAAAACCCACUAUAACUGCUCUAUGAUAUCUCUUAAAGCCUAACAAAAUGGAUUAUGAUUUUGCUUCCACUAGUAGAUAUAACUUGCUGUUAAGUUUCAUCUUCUCCUGGAAACCUCUAAUCCAUAAGGAUUUAAAUGGCAAAUUCAACCAAAAACUCAUCUACAACCACAAUCUAAAUCCUUAAUUCAUGUGUACUUAUCAUCUAAAAUGAAUGCUAUGACCAGUAAAAAGAUUGAGGCUGCAAGCUUUAGGGUUUUUCUUAAUAGUUGAAAUGGGAAGAGGAAACCCACCGACAAGAAAAGGUAUUAAACUGACCAAAACAGUAUAGCCUACUUUCACAUUUUUUUUAUCCUGGUUUAAUAUUGAAUUUUAUCCCUCUAUUUUAAUAAAAUUUAAAAGUUAAUCCCUAUAAUUUGUCAAAUUUUGAUCAUCAUACUUUAUAAAAAUUGAAAAAUUAGUCCAAUUGGAUAACAUUGUUAAAUAGCUAAUAUGAAAAUUAGUAAUUUUCAAUUUAUAUCAACUGUCUAAUAAUUUAUAGGCAAUAAAUUAGCAACGGUUAAUAAUUUAAAUUUAUAUGUUUACCAACUAAAUCAAAUUUAAAUAAAUUAGAAAAAAAAAGGACUAAUUUUUCAGUAUUAUUAAAGUAGAAAUGAAAUUAUUCUAAUAAAGAUGUUAUUAUAUAGUACUGUUUCCCUAAUUCCUCUAGCCACUUCUAAUAUUAUUUGUGGUUAAUGAGCUUCAAUAGACAGUUUUUAACCCCCUCCAUUAGAUUUUAAGCAAAGCUAAUAAUAAUAAAUUGUAAUUUAAAUAAAUUACUGAUGAAGAAAAACUCUUCUAAAAAGAACACAACUUUUGUAAAAGAUAGAUUUGCUGACAAGUUGGGUCUGGUUAAAUUGGAUGGGAUUAAAUCAGAAAAAAAAAGUUUAUUUACCAUAACAUUCUAGUUUCAUAUUUAUUCCUAGCUAUCUUAAAAAUUCAGAAUAUAACAGAUGUGCAACAAAUGAUAAAAAAUAAAUAUACUAUGCUGAACAAUUGUAUGAAAUUCUCACUUGUAUAAACUCAAACAUAUCAAAGAUAUAUGUAAGCAGUAAUCAAAACUUACCCUUGGUGGAGCGGACAUGUUUCAGGGAUGACUCUAGUUGAUGCUCAAGCUGCUCAAGCUCCUUUGAGUUCAAUGGACCCAAGUCUUCACCAAGGAGAUUCCUGUUGAAUCAAAGGACCAAACCAGAUAGCACAUAAAAUUGCUCUUAUUCAAAUACUUUUAGUAAUUACAAUCAAAUUAAUAUACACUUCUAAAUGGACUAAUAGCCUAUCAAAUUAAUAUGGAAGUCCAAAGCUAUGGUAUGGUUGUAAGACUAAACACCUCUGAGUUCGAUUUAGUUCCUCAUAUCUAGCUUUCAGUUUUAGGUACUGUAAUAACCCAAAUUCGCCCGGCCCAAAUUAAAUAAUAAAUACAAAAAACAAAUAAAAAUUAAAAGUCCAUUUUUAAGGUCCAUUUACAUCCAGCCUAAUAAUAACUAACACGUUUAGCCCAAGACCCAACUACAAUAUGACCCAAACUGUUUUAACCUAAACUAUCCAAAUUUAACAGACCCUAAACCCAACUUUCUAAACUCGGAUCUCCUAGGCCCAAAACUCGGCCCAAAUCAAUGGAGCACCCUAGAGGCUUCUAGGGUUUUCACCAGCGCGCAGCCACCGAAGCCACCCUCCGCGCGUGCCAAGCCACUCCCCACGCAUGCAGCGCCUCCACGCCACGUUGGCCUCCAUACCACCAGCUAGAAUCCUCCGUACCUGCACACAAGCAGACAAACAAAAAAACAAGCAGAAAACGACAGCAAAGAAAAAAGAAAAAAAGGAUAUUAGUUGUAUUUUGGAUUCAUUUUUUUUAUCUUUAUCUUCGGCUAUAAAGCCAUUUUCCAAAUUUUGUAAACGUUACACACGCAUUUGAUAUUCAUUACGAAUACAAAAAUCAGAGAAAAAGGUGAUUUCCCCAGUUUUCCUCCUGUUUUGAUUUCAGUUUUCCUUUUCUUUUCUGCAUUCAAUCGUUAGAUUUUUAGGCGAGAAAGUAAUAAAGAAAAGAGGAAAGCGUACCUGACGUUAGGAUUUCGGCCUCCUCCGUCGUCAUCGGAGAGCAGGUCAGAAUCGGAGACUAUUCGCCUGCCUUUAGUACGCAGAACGGCGCAGAGUCUCCCUUAGAUUAGGUUUUUUCUUUUUACUAAAAUGAUAGGUGUUAGGGUUAUCUUAGUUUAAAGAGUAAGAAUCAAAACGUCGCCGUUCAGAGCCAAUACAAUGGCAUUGAAACUGUGUUGUUUCGAAGACUCGAUCCGAGCGGUGACCCGAUCCGGGAAGGAUCCGUGCUCCAUGGAUCGUUUGGUUUAUUUAUUCACCAAGCCCCUCUUAGUUUUGAUUAGUCUCAAUUUGGUUACUUUAGUUUUUUUUUUAAAAUUUAUACUGCGUAUUUAACUUUGUUUGCAUGUCGAUCCAAGGUUAAGCGACACCGUUUUACACCUGAUUGCUAAUGAAAUUGCUGAUUGAGUCCCAUAAGAUUAAAAAAGAUUUCAUGUUGGUACAAAUUUAGUUUUUUUUUUAAAUUCAAUAAUAUUUGUAAAUGCAAAUUAACCAUACUUACAUGUAUUAUAAAACUUAAUACUGUAUUUAAUUUUAAUAGUAUCUAAUUUUAUUAUAGUUUAAAAUAUAACAAAUCAUUAUUUUAACUUGUAUUUUAUGUCUUAAAUUCGUUGCACUAAUACUUGGGGUUUAUUGUUUUCUUUUAUUUUAUUUUUAUCAUUCUAAGUUUUACUUAAACUUUGAUUUAAAAUCCAUUAAUUAUUGUUUUCAAUUAUAAAAAAGGUCUUUACAUAAUAAAUUUUGAUUUCAAAAGUUUUUUUAAUAAAUCGAUUUUAUAUUCAUUAUUUUUAAUAUUAUUUUAAUAUUUAGCUUAAUACUAUUUUCGAAUUUGCUUUUAAUAUAUUUUUUAGAAAUGAUACCUAAAUUCCUUCAAAUUAUUAUAUUUUAAAUACGUUUUAAAUUCACUAAAUAUUAUUUCAAUUUUUUUAUAAUUAUACUUUUUUUAAUUUGAUAUAUUAUUAUAAAUUUCAUCAUUUAUUAAUACACAUUGUGGUAGAUUAAACAUAAUUAUAUAUUUAGAUGUUGUAUACUGUGAGUAAAAUUAUUGUUGCUAUUGUAUUUGUAUUUAUUUAUUGCUUAUUUGGCUACAUCUUAGUUUAGGUUUGAAUUAUCAUUUAUCGUUUUACAUUACGUUUUUUAAAACUUUGCACCUUUAUCAUACUAUUUCAUAUUAAAAAAGCCUAGCAUUUAUAAUCUUCGAAAAAAUUGAGCCCUAAUGUAUUGGGUUCCAAUUUUCCUCGUUGAAUCCAAAUAAUCGAAAUUUUUCUUUAAUCAAGAUAUAUAAAACUCACUCUCGGGAAUUCGAUAAGUCGUGUCCUAAUGUAUUGGCUGUGAUGCAUCGAUUUCUCGAAAUAAGGUUUUUUUUAAAAAAAAUAAGAGCAAUAUUCAAUGCUCAGAACUUUGAGAAAUCGUGCCCUAACGUAUUGGGUUUCAAUUUUUUUAUCGGACUUAAAGCAAUUGAAUAUCCUUUUAAAUCUCACCACGCAAAUUUUGAAAAUCAAAAGAUAAACUUAUUCUCGAGGACUAAAAAUGUCGUGCCCUAAUGUAUUGGAUGUGUCAUUUUAUUACUCUAAGAUAAGGAGGUUUUUGGUAUUCGCAUCGAUUUAUCCAUGCAUCUUUUAUGAAAUUAAUAAGAAGAAUCGUAUUUUAAAGCUUUCUAAAGUUUUAACACUAAGACAUAAAAUGAUCAAUUCAGUACCAUUUUUUUGGGUGUUUCGAAAGUGCUAACCCUUCCUCGAGCAUAACCGACUCCCGAACCUGUUUUCUCAAAAUUCACAGACCUAAAAUUAUUUUCUAAGUGAUCCGAUCACACCUUAAUAAAAGAUCGGUGGCGACUCCCGUUUUUUAUUUCCAAAGUCAAUUCUUUUUUUUUUCAAAUUUAAAAAUGGUUUUCUUUUCAAAUUUAAAAAUAGUUUCGACAGGUACUCCCUGUAGCUGCUCCGUGGCAACAAAGAUUCUUGCAUAGAGCAUGUUCACAUAUUCAAUUCUCCACUAUGCCAUCUUCUCUUUUACUUGACAUUCCCCAACAUCAAACACGUUCAGUUUCUUCCCCCCACAUACACAUCUUUAUAAACAUUUUUGUUAUGGGAUUUAAUUUGUUAAUUAAGUGAGUUUGGGGGGGAGAUUCUUGUGUUUUUAUUUUAAUGAAGGUAUAUAUUAAAAGGUGUUUUUAACGUCCCAUCCAUGGCCAUGGGACCUUUUGGGGGGGGGGGGGGGGUUAGAACAAAGUCUGAAACACUGCAAUAAAACUGGCAAAAGAUUGUGUCCUUCUCUGCAAUAGUGCCAUGUUAAUAACCACUCCUAACUUGUUCUCUGCUCCCCCAUCUUCCAUUUUUUGCUUUUCAAUUUCUUUUUUUAUUUUUUCAAGUACCAAAUAUAAAAGAAAAUUAAUAAAGCAUGCGAUUAUGAGAGAUUGAGAUUAUGUACUAAGUAAAUAUAAAGAGAAUGAUAAAAGCUUGAAGAUGAAGAGGGAUUAAAACAGGUAAUUAUAAAAUACUGAAUAAAAUAAUAAUAAUAAUAUGUUGAGUUGGAAGAAGAGUUUGGCAAAAUGUAGGUUUGAAAGAAAUUAAUGCAAGUGGGAGAAAAUAUUGCAGCCUUUGCAUUUGCAUGCCACGUUUUAGUUGGACUUGGAAUGACUCUCCAAUAUGGAUCCUUUGAUGAUGAAUUUAUGAUCAUCAUCACAUGUUACUAUGACUAACUUACAAAACCCUUAAUUACUUCAUCAGCUUGAGUUUUUUUCCCCUUGAUCUCCUUGCAACAGUAAAAAGUGCAGUUUUUUUCGUUUGUCACAGAGAAUUGGAAGUAUAUAUAUGUAAGAGAUGAAGAGAUGGAUUAUAGCAUUAAUUAGUGAAAAAAAAUCAAAAAAAACCUGCAGUUAGCAACAAUGUACUCAUCAGAAACUUUCAGAUCAUAUCAUCAUCAUCAUCCUACACUGAUCGGCAUUGAUAAUAAUACCAUAAACUAAAUCAAAAUCAGAAUAUUGAAAAAAACAAUCCAUUGGAAGUUAAUAUGAGCUCUAUGCAUGAGGUGAGAGAUCAUAAACAGUGUUUGAGAGACGCAAGGCCUAGAAAUACCAAUCAAUCACGAUGUUUAGUUAUCACAUUCUUUUUUACUUCUAAAAUGAACAAUUAUUUUAUAGGUACUCAGAAAUUUGAAGGGAGUGUAAGUGCUGGCAGAGUAUUUAUUUCUUUUGCAGUUAGAAAAGUGAAUCAGAUAUAAGCAGAAAGUAGCCAACUCUUGUGUCAUAAGAAAGAAGAGUGGACUCCUAAUUAGCAUCCAACAACAAAAGCUCGUUAUACUACGUGUUGUGCUUUUUUGAACAUGAUAAGUAUAUAUUGUUACAGUCAGUACAAUCUAAUUCAAUUCCAUAACAUGUGACCAUUGACCAACACGCAUCUAUACCAGUGCAUGAUAAUGAAUAAACACAAGAAAACACAACAUGAAUGAAUAAACAUACAGCAUAGAAGGUAGAAACAUUGAACUCUGAAUCUGGAUGACUCAAAGGGAGAAGGUCAAUUGAGAUUCCAAGGACUCAUCUAUUUGAUGGAAACUUGUCCAAGUUUUACCAAUGUCAACUGGUCGGAAUAAACACACAGAAAUAAGUACAAUCUCCGCAAAUAGACAAGUCCUUUAAUAAACAUAUAGAAAAUAAGUCCAAUCCCUGCAAAUAGAUGUGGUAUAUUUUGCUAGUAAACCCAAUUUACUAGUUGACGUUGGUAUAGAAAAUAUAGCAAACUAGGAGUAGUUAUCCCACAUUGAUGGAAACUAUUGACCAACAAAGGCAGCUACUUGGUGUUCUAUGUGCAUUCCUACCUAUUCUUUUGAUUCCAUGUGUGAUUGUGGCAAAACCAAAUUGAGAUAUACAAAUGAAAAUGCUUUUUAUUUGAAAACUUACAGUGUUAAAGAAGCAAAUUGAUCAUACGAUCUACUAAUGAUUUGAGUCUUGAGUGAUCCAGCAAUACAGCUGACAGCGGCGUGGAAAUGAGUUUCAUCCUUUUGGUCAUUCUGUCAAUAUUUAAAAAUAAAAAAUAAAAACCAACAGCUAGUCAGUACAUUUCAAAUAGAAAAAGAAGAAGAAAAACAUGUUAAUCAAAAAACAUAUCCAUUACGAAAAAGCUUAAUUACGGUAUUAAUCCAUGAAAGAAAAAAGAAAACCAAUUACUGAAAAAACUGUAAAGAAAAGGAAAUGGGUAUCCUUUAUCUGUUUUGAUUAUACAUAAAAACUUACACCAGGACAUGUCGUGUUGAACAUUUUCGGAGAAGCAUCGACCAAGUAAACAACAUACUCUUUGGAACUCUCACUUUGCUGCAAAUAUUGGAUAAAAACAACACAAUUACAUCUCUCGUUUCUUAACCAUGGAGAAGAAUAUAGAAGAAAAGAAAGAGAAAGAGAGGAAACCUAUUUUGAUAAUGAAACUGUAAGUACCAUAAGAUUCAAACAUUUUCAGAACUUUAUAACACCUAAAGAAAAAAUAGGUAAAAGAAGACAAACCUAUUUUGUUCUGCUUGGACUUUGGCAUCUUCGACGAUUAAGGUUUGUCUAAAAGAAGAAGAAAAAACGCCAAAAAAGCGACUGCGUUGCUCUGCUUAUGCAACUCCAAAAAGGGGUUUUCAAUGUUACUCCGGUUCUAGAUUUGUUAGGAUUUUGAACUUUAUAUAGGGGCGGUUUUUAUUUUUAAGGAUAGAAUCGGGUCUGGCUUUUAUUUUUAACCAAAGUUAAUGAAUGCAAUUAAAACCACGCGAUUUUAAUAAAAGUAAAAAAAAAUUUGCCGCCUUUAUAGAAAAAACAACGCUAUUAUUUUACUUUUAGCGGUGUUUAUGAGAAUUAGUUAAGUGAUUUUAUAAAAUAUUUAUUAUUAUUAUUUUUUAUAAAUUGAAUUUUUAUAAUAGAAAAACUCAAUACUCUCAAAAUAAAUAUCGUAUAUUUUAAUAAGAAACCAAAUGAUUAAAUGGCUGUAAUUAAUUAUUAAGUUAGAAUUAUUCAAUGUAAGCAAUCAAUCUCUCACAUAUCAAAUUUCUAUUAAAGAUUGAGAUGUUAAUCAUGAUUUUAUAUUAUUCUUUUCCGAUCUAAUCUCUAUUUUAUUAUAGAUAUUUCUUCCUAACUAAAAUAUAACUAUUUUGCUAGAUGUUCGAUCUGAAAUAAUUUUAGUUUUUGUAUUUAAUUUUUAUUUGUUAUCAUUUGGUCCUAUCCAAAAUAGAUAGUUUACCUAUCCAUAUCUAUAUGUUACUUUUUUUUAUUUAUUUAUCAAUGUUUUUUUAAAUCUAAUAUUUAAAUAUAUCAAAUGGUUUAGAUUAAAUAUUUUUAAAUAUAAAAGUAUUAAUUAUAAAAUUUUAUCAUUUAACAAAUAUCAAGUAAACCUUAACUCCUAAACCAUUUAAUAUAUAUAAAGUUUAUCUAUUAAAUUAAUUAUCUCUUAAAUAAUUUAAACUAUAAUCAUAAUUUUAAUAUAUUAAAAUUAAUAUUAUCUCUUUUACAAUUAUAUAAGAAAUUAUUUAAUAUAUAAAUUAAAAAACACUAAUUAAUCUAAACCUUAAACUCCUAACCUCUAUCCUUUAAACCCUAAAUCAUAAAACAUAAACCCUAAACCCUUAAACCUUAAACCUCAACCCUUAAACCAUAAACAAUAAUCCCUAAACCCAUGAUCCAUAAACCUUAAAAUAGUAACUCUUAAACCUUAAACCUUAAACCAUAUACCCUAAACCAUAAACCCUAAACUAUAAUGCUAAUUAAUUCAAUAUUUUAAAAUUAAUACUAUCUCUUUUACGAUUAUAUAAGAAAUUAUUUAAUAUAUAAAUUAAAAACAAUCAGUCAUGUACUCAAAAAACUUUAAAAUUAUUUUAAAUAAUAGUAUUUUAAUUUUUUUCAUUUUUAACAAAUAUUUUUCUAUGUUUUUACUUUCAAAUUUUUUCUACGUGUCAUUAUUUUUUUUGAAGAAUUUAAAUAUUCAAUUAAAAAUAAAUUGUAUUUUAAUUAAUAUAAAUAAACAAGUUAAAAUAGAUAAAAAAAUUUUGCGGCGUUUCUGAUAAAGCGCCGCUAAUGCUCAAUCUAUAGCGGUAUUUUUCAAAAAGCACCACUAAUGCUACUAAAGCUCAACAUAAAACGACGCGCUUAAUUUUUUUGCGGCGUUUCUCAAAAAGCGUCACUAAAGGUUGACGGUGCUUUUCAAAAAAUCACAGUUAAUGCUCGAUCUAUAGCGGCGUUUUCCAAAAGUCACCGCUAAUGCUCGAUCUGUAGCUGCGUUUUUCAAAAAGCGCCGCUAAUGAUCGAUCUGUAGUGGCAUUUUUCAAAAAAAGUCGUUAAUGUUUGAUCUGUAGCGGCGUUUUCUAUCCAAACGCAACUAAAAGUGCCGCUAAAAACCUGUUUUGUUGUAGUGUGUACAUGUAUAAUAGAAGUUAUGAACCAAACAGAGACUAAAUAGAGCAUACAAACAUAGUUUUACCAAUCAAUACAAUCAACAACAUUUUUAAUCACCUUCCAUUGUUAUACCAAUAUGCCACAUAUGACACCCAAUUCAAUCAACAUUCAAUUGAGCAUGUUAUACUAAUCAGCUAUCACUUUGUAACUAACCAAAAUGAUACCAACCAUCUAAUAACCACCUUUUUAGCAUUAUAACAAAGCAAUACCUUCUAUUCAAAUAUUCAUCAUCAUUCACUAUCACCAUUUUGCUUAACCAUUCUUUGACCACCACAUCAUAGGUACAUGUUCAUUUCAAACUUAUGUACAUAUCAUAUAAGCACUAAGAUCAACCAUUUCAUAUGUUCCUUUAAUGUCAAAGGUUCAAGAUUAUUAAGAUUUAACUCAACGACACUUACUAAACAACCCUAUAUACAUUUAAACUCUAAAAACAUGCCAAAAUAUCAUAUAUCACUCUUUCAAACCAUCUAAUACAACCCUUCCACAAUUCGACAUCAAAACAUAUCAAAAUAACUUAAAUAAACACAACCUCACCAGCCAAUUCUUUUAUCCAUAACAUGAUAUCAUAUUAUCUAAUUGCAUACUCAAAAUGCUAUUUCAUGAGUCAUUUGCACAAUUCAAAUCAUCUACUAAAUGCAUAUGGUUUCAACUAUGUAUAUUCUUUGCCAUAAAUCAUGUUAACAUAGAUUUCAAACCAUAUCACUAUACAAAGAAACCAAAACAACUCUUAAGUACAUGUCACACAUAACUGAGCCUUAAUACGAUUAAAAGACUACCAAAUCAAUAACGAAAUAGUGUGAGUUUUUUGUCGAUUAGCCUGACAUGUUCCGCAAAUUGACAAUCUACAGGAAAAAGGGAGUAAGCAUUACAAAUGCUUAGUAAGUUCAUAGCUAUUAAAACAACAACUUACCUCAUUUUAUGAAUUUAUGCAAUAAGUUAUUCAACUUGACGAUUUUGCCUAAAUCCAACAACCCUAUAUCAACAAGGUGAGUUCAUCUCGCAACCCAUUCAUAUAAUAAUAUGAACAUUUAAUAUUUCAAAUAAUUUUAAUACCAAUCGCAUGGAAAUCAACAACCCAGUACCAUUCAUAACAUUCUAAUUAACAUUUCAAUUCACAAAUACAACUAAAAAUCUCAGUGGUACACAUGUAUCAAUAUAUUUAAGCUUUAAUCGAUCAAUCUAAAGAUUAUAUUGUAUCAUUUCAUUUUGUUGUCAACCAUACAUCCAAUUUCAAUAUAAUGGCAAUCAUUAUUUCAUUUUAUUGUUUGAAUUCUCAAUCCAAUUCAUAUUAAUCCAUAUGAAUUUUAUUCCCGUGUCAUAUAAAUUAAUCUUUAUACCAAAUAGAUAUUUAAUGUCAAUUUAAUGUCAAUCACUACUUUGUUUCAUAGUACGAAUUCUAAAUCACACUCAUUGAUUUGUCACGUAUUCAUAUUAACCUUCUGUGCUUGUAUAAUUGAUUCUUAAUAUAUAUAUGUAUCAUCCGAUCAUCAUAUCAACUUAAUUUGAAUAUUAUUUAUUCCAUUUACAAUAUACAUGCCCCUAUUAACCUGACUCAGACACGGAUGGAUACAUGGAUCCACCCAACACACCAAAUUGACACCCAGUGCCUAUUGGAUAAAUCCAAAAAUAAUAAGUUACACCCUAUGCUGGUCAGUAAAAUAAAAAAAAUAGAUGUGCUCAACAUUGGUCAGUAAAAUCAACAAAUGGGGUUCCCAACACUCCCCGACACGUAGUCAUAUAACCCUGAACUCUUCCUAUCCUAUGACAUGCCAACUAUAUCCAGUUAUGCCCGACUAAUUAAUAGGGUAACAAUUUCUCGAUUUCAUUACAUAAUUUCAUCAACCAAACAAUCAAUUCUCAAAUAUAAUAGCACAUCACAUAAUCAUACUGAUUCAAUUUCAUGUUUACAACAUUAUAUCAUUCUUUCACAUAUAUUCACUUGGUCCUUAUCACUAUCAACCUGUCUAAAUCGAAUCAAUUCAACUCAUUUCAUUGCAUCAUUACAUAACAUAUCUCAUUUUAGUUCAAUUUAUGGUCAAUUCCAUAAUUAUUUCAAUUUGUAAUUCAUUGUAUUCAAUUUAAUCCUAUAUCUCACCUUUUUGUACCAAAUCGUAAAGAAUUAAAAUUUCAAUUAAAUAUAAUUAAAAUUAUAAUUCUAAAUGCAUAAAAAAUUUAACACAAACAUACCGUAUAAACUUACCAAGCCAAGACAAAAAAAAACCUCUCUAAGCACUAAUCAACAACUUUUGCCAUUUCCUUGAUUAUCUUCAAUUUGGUCUAAUUUUCGAUAUAUUCAACAGUUCGAUUCAAUUUAUCAAUUCUAAACAUCUUAUAUAAUUCUAUUAUAAUUACACAUCAAUUUAAGUUUAUUAUUUAAAUGCCCCUAAACUUUUACAUUUUAUUCAAUUUAGUCCAUAAAAUCGAACUUAUCAUAUCUUCCGAAUUUGAACUCCAAAUUUUAAACUCACUUCAAUUAUGUCCAUAUACAACCUCAUAUUAUCACAAUUUAUAAAAAUUUCAUACAUAUUUCAAGAUAUUCACAAUUUAAUCCUUAAACUCAAAACUAACAUAAUUUACUUAACAAAUUAAUCCUAUUUCAUUUCUAAGCUUCAAAAUAUACCUUAAACAUUCAAAAAAUUCAAAUAAUCAAUGGGAACUUUUUAAAUAUUUGGAAGUUUUGAAAACGGAGAUACGAGUUAGAUAAACCUAGUUGUAACUAUCUUAAAAACAUAAAAAAUCAUGAAAAAACUGGCUUAGAAAACAUUACGAUGCAAGAGAAACAUGUUGUUGAACCAUGAAGCUUCUCCCAUAGUGGUUUUUGAGUUUCUUAUUUGGUGAAGAAAACAAAUGAAAGUGAAAACUUUCAUUUUUUUUAUGUUUUAACUAUUAUAAUAUUAAUUUAACCUUAAAAUUAAAUAAAAAUUUAAUUAUAAAAUUCAAAUAAAACAUUUAACAACCGACCACCAAAAAAUAAAAGGGUAAUUUGUAACUUAAAACUCUUAUCAUUAAUUAAUUUUGCCUUUUAGCUAAUAAAAACCAAUACCGAUUAAAUUUUACUAUUUUUAUGAUUUAGUCCUUUUUCCUUAUUUAACCAUCCAAUCACUAAAAUUUUUGGACCAAAUUUCAAUUCACCUAUAUAACAGAUCCGUAAAUAUUUAAUAAAAAUAUUCAUGGGUUAGAGUUUCAAAAAUUUGGUCUCGAAACCUUAUUUUCCAAAACCACUUGACUUUUGGUAUGCACCACUUGUACCUUGACUAACUGAUCAAUUAAUAAAAUCUAUUAAAUCACAAUUUCCUAUUAUACUAUAUUUAACUCAUGAAUAUUAAUUAAAUAUAUCUAUGGACUCUCUUGUCAAAAUUGUGUUCUUGAAACCACUACUUCUGACACCAUUGAAAAACGAGAUAUUACACUUCAUUCAUUUAACGUCCCACCAUAACACUAAUACUUCUUUCAAUUAAUAUCAAGAAGGCAUAUGCAUUUCUACAUUAACAUGCAAUCCACUUCGACUUUUAUGGCUCAUCAACACAAGAGCAAUUCAUAUACCAUUUAACCAUAUUCAUUCAAUAACCAUGGACUCACAAAUAAAUAAUAGUUCACUACUAAUUAAUACUUCAACGGCUUAUGCAGAAAACAAUUAUAUACAUAAUUAGUCUUAAAUUUAGACCACAUAUUCACACUCAAAUAGAACAACAUUGACAACAGUUUCACACAACAAUGACAAAGUUAAACAUCUCCAGAUUAUAGAGUAAAUUUUCGAGCAAAACAUAACCCUGUAGCAUAUAGAUGAAAAUAAAAGUUGGAGUUCAAAAAUCACUCGCAAAACACCCAAAUGCUAGAACCCUACACUUGUUUUUUCCUUUCCUUUGUCACUUUGGCCUCAUCCUUGGUUAGUUAAAUAAAAUAACCAUUCGUCAAUAAAAAUGACAACAUUCAUAAGCAAGACAAUCGAAAUCCAUUAACAUGCAAAAUAUUUUUGUAAGCUAUCUAAGAUCUUAUGUUCACAGCCAUGAAGUUUACCAUAACUUACAAGUUUCUUACCUCUUCCUUUCAGUCAAAAGGUGUAGAAGGGUUAGAAAGGUUACCGGCUCACUAGAUUCUUAAUUUCUCAAGCUAACACGUCUAGUUUUCCUUCAUACAAACUACUUCUUACUUCCUUACAAUUCCAAAAAAAGAAAAGGAAAAAUUAAGAAGACAAAUACCAGGACAUGAGAAUCGAAGAAUAGCAUAUUUAGUUCUUCUACUUAUACUCCUCUUACCUCCGUUCACCAAUUCCAACAUUCAAUAUAAAAUUAUUUAAGCUAUAAUCAUGUUGUUCCCCACUUAAUCAUCUAGAUCUAAUGUAAUGGGACCAAAAUUGAAAUUCAAUUUGUCUACCAAUUGGUUCACAAGAUUUAGUAAUCCAGACAAAAGCCCUCAUGAACUAAGUGUUUCUUAAUUAAAUACCUCUACUUACCGUGGAUUUUUCAAAAAAUCAUUUUAAUAAAUUUCUUAUCUACAAUCAAGACCAAACUUUAAUUUAACAGUUUCGGGUGUGAUAACUCUCCACCCUUAAGAAAAAUUUAGUCCCCGAAAUUUUUUUACUUUUCAAAUAAGUGCAAGUAUUUUUCCAUCAUGGAACUUUUUCUUUUCGCAAAUGCAUCACCCCAAUAUCAGUUUAUACAUAAAUAGCUAGCAUUAAACAAAUAAGAGAUACCUGCAAUAGCGCCUAGACUCUCUGUAUCUCCCUUGGCUCGCAUCACGUAUUUGCUUCUAUCAGCUCGUUAUGGAUAGUCCCUCUUAAAGUGACCCUAUUCUCCACAUUUGAAGCAAACACCUAACACCUUCCAGUAUUACCUUUAUGGUUCUUCCCACACUGUUCGCAAGUGGGGCUGGACAUCCUCCCCGACCCUCCAAUGCUAGCUACUGACGUGGUUUGGCAUCUAUCACGAUCCUGCCUAACAAUGUGGUUUGGAAUCCCCUAUUAUCCCAAGUCCUCUUAAUUCCAGGGCCUAGAAAUGGGCUUGUAGCUCCUUGUUUACCUUUUUCUUGAUCUUCAGCUUUGUUCUUUUCUUGUAUCAUCAUCUUCAUCCACUAGGCUUUAGCUAUCAAAGCAACCAAGUCUAAGAUUUCAAGCGCUGCCAAUAACAUACGAAUCGCUUCAAUUAAACCUCACUCAAAUCGGACCCAAAGGUCCUCCUCCAUUGGUGCCAACUCCCAAGCGUACUUGCUUAGUUUAAUAAAUUCAUGCUCGUAUUCAAACACUAUCAUCUGCCCUUGAUUAAGGUUUAAGAACUCUCUUUUCAUCUGUUUAAUGAAGAAUUAGCUAAUAUAUUUUUCUUGAAACUUCUACAAAAAGAAAUCCUAGUUAAUUUUCGCAUGUGGGUAGAGUAUGCCACCACUUGUAACACCUUGUACCUGACCUGAUUGUCAGGUCCAGGCUAUAGGAUGCUACACUUAAAUUUAAAAUUUAACUUAGACCUUGAGCAUUGUUAUCCACAAAUAAUAAAAGAAUGAAGACAAUAAUAUAUUUAAUAUUGCUACUAAGUAAAUUCAAAACUUCCAAGAAUCUAUGUCAACAAUAAAACUUUAACUUAAUAUACAACAAUUUCACCAAUUAAUCUUUAACAUGUUUAAAGUAUUCAGUUUGUGCUAAAAUUUAUAUUCUAACCAUUUAUUUCUUCUACAGCAAAGACCCUGAUACUCUGCCUCUGGGUUGCCCCAUUGUAUGCAAGUUACAACUAAUAAACAUAUCUGCCGAUGUAUGGCGAACUCUGGCCUGGUCCCUUCUCGAACUUCCAAAAUCCCCUAUUCACCUACAAUGCAUAACAACACAAGUUCUAAAGAACUUAAUGAGUUUCCAUACCUUACUAACACAAUGCUAUUACGAUUGCACUUCGUGACUGGGACUUCACAACGAUUUUUGCCUGUAUUAAGACAAUACGACAUCCUCUUUUUUUUACAAUAGAUGAUUCUUUGGUGGUUUUCACUUACCAAUUCCAUUUUUAUUUAUUGCCUUCAUGACCUAUAUGCAUUUAUCUCCUCGAGAGGGAAAUCCUUGUGUAUUCCUACUUACGAACGGUAAAAGAUAAAGUGUAAACAAUACUCAUGACACUCCUUGCAUCAAUGGCUACAAAUCUUCACAUAAGACCAUUCUUGGCGAAUAGUGUCUAUCGCGAGCUAUUAAUAAUAUUUUGUCUUACCGAACUAAGACUCAUAUUAUGAUCGUUUUGGAUCAUUAAGGGAAACACCCUUACGGCAUAAUAUAGAAAGUCUACUCAUUCCUAUCAAAUGGAUAGAUCGGAGAAUACAUCAUCUUACUCUUGUUCCAUAAUCAAGUAGUCCACUCCUGGUGGUUAUCUCUUUGAAAUAGAUAACAUGUAGGCAGAUUCUUAACAGUGAAUCCUCUAUUUGCGGAAUCAUACAUAUGGGACAUUCAUGUGGACUACCGUAUCUUUCAUAUAUAAGUUCUUCAUUUUGGAAGUAUAGGAGAAUACCUUGUAUCGUCCCCAAAAGAAACUAGUGGACUGUCAUAUAUGUAUGAUAUAACUUCUAUACAAUUUGCAUGUACAGUGAGCUUGAGCUUAGGAUUUGCCACUAGCACAUGGAUUCAUUCUUGGCAGACUUGUAAAGUUAAAUUUGAAUCCUCGAAUUCUCCUGCGACUCUUACCAAAGUGAAUUCUAUAACUACUGUAGGUGCAAAUCUGUAAGAAUAAGUCAGUGGACCAUCAUAACUUAUAUCCGCUUCACCUUAUUUGCUAGCAUAUGCAUCAUAGCCUUCUCAUAAUAAUAGAUAACCCAUUUUUUAGACUCAUACCAGUGGACAUAUUGUGGAAUCAUAUUCACAAGAUAGUUUUGGUGAACUUUCCUCACAACAAUAGUCCUAAAGUGCUUUCCCCAUAUUAGAUAGUCCUCAUGGACCUCCAAAAGAUAGUCCUUAUGGACCUCCCACAUUAGAUAGUCUUUAUAGGCUUUCCACAUAUGAUAAUCCUAAUGGACUUUCCACGUUAGGUAGUCCUGAUGAACUUCCCACAUAAGAUAGUCUUGAUGGACUUUCCACAUUAGAUAAUACUGAGGACUUUCUACAUUAGACAGUUCUAACGAACUUCCCACAUAUACGGUAAUGUAAUGGCCAUGGAGUUCCAUUCGUCCCACUAAGGGCUUUCGUACAUCCCUCAUAAGGGGCUCUCAAUCUUCCUAUAAAAGGAUCUCACAUUGGUGCACACCGUUUUUUGUAUAAUUUCAAAUCUCCUUUCUUGGCUUAAUCCAACCGAACCUCCCUCAAAGCCACAUACGUAAAAUGCAUAUGCAACCAUGCAUGACCAUCCGAACCUCUGCAAAACCAUAGAAAUAAAAGGCAUAUCAUACAUACAUUCCGCCUAUAAGAACUAUGAAUCAUAUGACAUAUAUCUCGCCAAAUAUUUCAUUGAUAUGUCAUAAUAAUUCUUACCACCAACCAAUCAUAUCACUUUAAUAUAAAAUAAUACAAUACGCCAAACACUUUAUUUACUCAACAUAACUAGUUCACAACCAUCUGUAUAUUUACAUACUACACUGCUUGCAACCACCAUACACCAUUACUUUGCCAUAACAUUUUCAUAGUUCAACUAUAGAAGAAUUCAUCAUUCACAUAACACUGAAGUAAGCCUAUUCUACUCGUGAAACUGAACAAAACAUUUAUUUACUAGUUGAGUUCUGAAACUCACCUGGAAGUUGAUGCCAAAUCCACCCAUUAAAAUUUUUCCUUUGCUACAUGAGCCUCUAGUAGCUUGAUCAAUACAACUUGAUAAAUCAUCAAUUAUUUGUCCACAAUUGAUCUGUUGUAAUUCAGUGAAGUAGACUAAACUAGUUUUCAUACUUAAGGAGCUUGAAGGCGAGCAAUUUUAUCAUGUUUUAGUUAGUUUUUCUAUCUUAUCUUUAAAUUCAAUAAAAAGUUUAUAUUGAUUCAUUUUAUGACCUUAGGGGCCAAAAGAGGCCGAAAAGUACGCUAACGUACUUAAAUACUGUGCAUGAUAUCAUUCAAAGGCAUAAUAGUUCAAGACUGGUCGCUGUGUUACAACACGGGAAGUGUAAUGUCGUAACAUAGAGAGUAGAAUACAAGAAUUCCAAUACUACCUUUAGUGUCGUAACACAUGCACUGGGUGUCGUGACACCGACUCUAUAUGGGAGAAAUUACAAGUGAAGGGUGUUUUGGUCCGCACAAUAUAUUUUUAUAUAAAAACAUCAGCCAACCUAGGGUUAAGGAUGACAACCAACUCUAACUCUAUAAAUACACUUAUUAGGCACUUGUUUAGGGACAACUUUCAUAGUUUAGAAUUUCUCUGUAAUUAGUUUUUAGUUUUUCUUUUUUUAGGCUUUAGAUUUAUUUUCAUUUAUUCCCGUUCGUGUUCUUUGGAGAAUCUGAUUUGUAGAUUCGAUUAAAAUUUUGUGGAUUAUGCGCUUCAUCAAUCAAUACAAACUCAGGAUUCUUCUUAAACUAUAUUCUUGAUCUGUUAUUAAUUUUUAAUUAUUUUAUCAAGUAUAUGUUGUUUAUGGAUUCCAUGAGGAACUAAUCCUCUUAUGAGGGGUUAGAGAGUGGAAGUGGGAUUAACUAAUUGAUAUUUAAGGUUUUCUUAGACGAUCAACUAUUUAGAGAGGAAGAACUUAAACCCUAAACCUGAAAACCCUAGGAAGUCAUUUAGGUGGGAAUUCACCCAAAAUUGGUAUGACAUAUCCCUAAACACCUUAGCCUCGAAUCGAUCUGGACUAUAAGGUCAAAAGAUAAGUAGUUCUUACAGACUCGUUAGUUUAGUAGAAGAUCGAGAGAUCCUGCUAGGGUGACCAUUAGUUGAUUGAAUAGAAACCCAAAAUAGGAAUUAAUUAUAACCAUCAAAGCGAUCUAAUCACCCAUGUUUAGGUUUGGUUAAGUUUAGAUUUCAGUAUCCGAAGCUAAUUUUAUUUAUGCAGUUUUUAUUUCUUUAUUAUAAAAACCUGAAAUAUUUUAUUUAUGUUUAAAUGUAAUAUAAUUGAUUUAAAGUACUAAUUAGAUCUAUAUUCAUUUAAGUUAAAGUUAAUUUAGUAUUAGCCUCCCUUGGGUUUGACCCUUGGAGUACUCACCUACUUCAUUGUAAAAACUAUAUUCUAACCUGACUCGUAUACUUGCAGACAACAACUCAAUUCCAUUCAUUUAGUUGCAAUAUUUACACUCUUGAUGUUAGUAUGUCCGGAGGCGGUCAAAUAUUUCGUGCCAUUGCCGAGGAGGCAACGCCACUAAAUUGAUUUUAAUUUUUGAGUUUUAUAGGAUAAUUUGGAAAUUUAUAAAUUGUAUAUACAAUUUUUUUAUUGUUACUAACAUAUUUUAUUUUCUUUUUAGUUUCAAUGUAUGACUCGUAGUAGUAGAACAAUUAUAGAGCGAGUCACUGAUCUAGAGAAUAUAAUCUGUAGGAAUCGUCAAUAGCCAUAGCAGAUGCAAAACCAAUCACCUGUUGCAAGCAAUCUACCAUGCGAUAACUCGUUGUUUGAUGAGGUAAACGAACUUAACAUCCAAGACUUACCACCACUACCGCAAUUACCAGCAAACCCUUCGAUGGCAUGAGAAGAGCGAAACCUAAGGGAUUACGCACUACCAAAUCUGGUGAUGGUUCAAGGUAGCAUUACAAGGCCAACCAUUAUGGAAAAUAAUUUUGAAAUAAAAUCGACCAUGAUAUAGAUGAUCCAAAAUAAUCUGUAAUUCAGAGGCACCAUGACGGAUGACCCAAAUCAACAUCUAAAACGGCUCCUUCAAUUUUGUGAUACAUUUAAAUAUAACGGGGUCAUUGAUGAAGCUAUUGAUCUUCGGUUGUUUCCCUUAUCCUUGAUCGAUAUUCGUUUAAGUUAAAGUUAAAGUUAAUUUAGUAUCAGCCUUCCUUGGGUUUGAUCCUUGGAGUACUCACCUACUUCAUUGUAAAAACUAUAUUACAACCUGACUCGUAUACUUGCAGACACCACCUCAAUUCCAUUGAUUUAGUUGCAAUAUUUACACUCUGGAUGUUAGUAUGUCCGGAGGCGGUCAAGUGUUUGGUGCCAUUGCCGAGGAGGCAACGCUACUAAAUUGAUUUUAAUUUUUGAGUUUUAUAGGAUAAUUUUGAAAUUUAUAAAUUGUAGAUACAAUUUUUUUAUUGUUAAUAACAUCUUUUAUUUUCUUUUUAGUUUCAGUGUAUGGCUCGUAGUAGUGGAACAGUUAUAGAGCGAGUCACUGAUCUAAAGAGAAUAAUCUGUAGGAAUCGUCAAUAGCCAUAGCAGAUGCAAAACCAAUCACCUGUACUAAUUAGAUCUAUAUUCGUUGAAGUUCAAGUUAAUUUAGUAUUAGCCUCCAUUGGGUUUGAUCCUUGGAGUACUCACCUACUUCGUUGUAAAAACUAUAUUACAACCAGACUCGUAUACUUGCAGACACCACCUCAAUUCCAUUCAUUUAGUUGCAAUAUUUACACUCUAAAUGUUAGUAUGUCCGGAGGAGGUCAAGUGUUUGGUGCCAUUGCCGAGGAGGCAAUGCUACUAAAUUGAUUUUAAUUUUUGAGUUUUAUAGGAUAAUUUGGAAAUUUAUAAAUUGUAGAUACAAUUUUUUUUAUUGUUACUAACAUCUUUUAUUUUCUUUUUAGUUUCAGUGUAUGUCUUGCAGUAGUGGAACAGUUAUAGAGCGAGUCACUGAUCUAGGGAGAAUAAUCUGUAGGAAUCGUCAAUAGCCAUAGCAGAUGCAAAACCAAUCACUUGUACUAAUUAGAUCUAUAUUCGUUUAAGUUAAAGUUAAUUUAGAAUUAGCCUCCCUUGGGUUUGAUCCUUCGAGUACUCACCUACUUCGUUGUAAAAACUAUAUUACAACCUGACUCAUCAACUUGCAGACACCACCUCAAUUCCAUUCAUUUAGUUGCAAUAUUUACGCUCUGGAUGUUAGUAUGUUCGGAGGCGGUCAAGUGUUUGGAGCCAUUGCCGAGGAGGCAACGCUACUAAAUUGAUUUUAAUUUUUGAGUUUUAUAGGAUAAUUUGGAAAUUUAUAAAUUGUAGAUACAAUUUUUUUAUUGUUACUAACAUCUUUUAUUUUCUUUUUAGUUUCAGUGUAGGACUCGUAGUAGUGGAACAAUUAUAGAGCGAGUCACUGAUCUAGAGAGAAUAAUCUGUAGGAAUCGUCGAUAGCCAUAGCAGAUGCAAAACCAAUCACCUGUUGCAAGCAAUCUACCAUGCGAUAACGCGUUGUUUGAUGAGGAAAACGAACUUAACAUCCAAGACUUACCACCACCACCGCAAUUACCAGCAAACCCUUCGAUGGCAUGAGAAGAGCGAAACCUAAGGGAUUACGCACUACCAAAUCUGGUGAUGGUUCAAGGUAGCAUUACAAGGCCAACCAUUAUGGAAAAUAAUUUUGAAAUAAAAUUGACCAUGAUCUAGAUGAUCCAAAAUAAUCAUCAAUUCAGAGGAACCAUGACGGAUGACACAAAUCAACAUCUAAAACAGGACCUUCAAUUUUGUGAUACAUUCUAAUAUAACGGGGUUAUUGAUGAAGCUAUUCAUCUUCGGUUGUUUCCCUUAUCCUUAAUCCAUAUUCGUUUAAGUUAAAGUUAAAGUUAACUUAGUAUUAGCCUUCCUUGGGUUUGAUCCUUGGAGUACUCACCUACUUCGUUGUAAAAACUAUAUUACAACCUGACUCGUAUACUUGCAGACACCACCUCAAUUCCAUUGAUUUAGUUGCCAUAUUUACACUCUAGAUGUUAGUAUGUCUGGAGGCGGUCAAGUGUUUGGUGCCAUUGCCGAGGAGGCACCGCUACUAAAUUGAUUUUAAUUUUUGAGUUUUAUAGGAUAAUUUGGAAAUUUAAAAAUUGUAGGUACAAUUUUUUUAUUGUUACUAACAUAUUUUAUUUUCCUUUUAGUUUCAGUGUAUGUCUUGCAGUAGUGGAACAGUUAUAGAGUGAGUCACUGAUCUAGAGAGAAUAAUCUGUAGGAAUCGUCAAUAGCCAUAGCAGAUGCAAAACCAAUCACUUGUACUAAUUAGAUCUAUAUUCGUUUAAGUUAAAGUUAAUUUAGUAUUAGCCUCCCUUGGGUUUGAUCCUUGGAGUACUCACCUACUUUGUUGUAAAAAGUAUAUUACAACCUGACUCGUCUACUUGCAGACACCACCUCAAUUCCAUUCAUUUAGUUUCAAUAUUUACACUCUGGAUGGUAGUAUGUCCGGAGGCGGUCAAGUGAUUGGAGCCAUUGCCGAGGAGGCAACGCUACUAAAUUGAUUUUAACUUUUGAGUUUUAUAGGAUAAUUUGGAAAUUUAUAAAUUGUAGAUACAAUUUUUUUUAUUGUUACUAACAUAUUUUAUUUUCUUUUUAGUUUCAGUGUAUGUCUUGCAGUAGUGGAACAGUUAUAGAGCGUGUCACUGAUCUAGGGAGAAUAAUCUGUAGGAAUCGUCAAUAGCCAUAGCAGAUGCAAAACCAAUCACCUGUUGCAAGCAAUCUACCAUGCGAUAACUCGUUGUUUGAUGAGGAAAACGAACUUAACAUCCAAGACUUACCACCACCACCGCAAUUACCAGCAAACCCUUCGAUGGCAUGAGAAGAGCGAAACCUAAGGGAUUACGCACUACCAAAUCUGGUGAUGGUUCAAGGUAGCAUUACAAGGCCAACCAUUAUGGAAAAUAAUUUUGAAAUAAAAUCGACCAUGAUCUAGAUGAUCCAAAAUAAUUAUCAAUUCAGAGGAACCAUGACGGAUGACACAAAUCAACAUCUAAAACGGGACCUUCAAUUUUGUGAUACAUUCUAAUAUAACGGGGUUAUUGAUGAAGCUAUUCAUCUUCGGUUGUUUCCCUUAUCCUUGAUCGAUAUUCGUUUAAGUUAAAGUUAAAGUUAACUUAGUAUUAGCCUUCCUUGGGUUUGAUCCUUGGAGUACUCACCUACUUCGUUGUAAAAACUAUAUUACAACCUGACUCGUAUUCUUGCAGACACCACCUCAAUUCCAUUGAUUUAGUUGCAAUAUUUACACUCUGGAUGUUAGUAUGUCCGGAGGCGGUCAAGUGUUUGGUGCCAUAGCCGAGGAGGCAACGCUAGUAAAUUGAUUUUAAUUUUUGAGUUUUAUAGGAUAAUUUGGAAAUUUAUAAAUUGUAGAUACAAUUUUUUUUAUUGUUACUAACAUCUUUUAUUUUCCUUUUAGUUUCAGUGUAUGUCUUGCAGUAGUGGAACAGUUAUAGAGCGAGUCACUGAUCUAGAGAGAAUAAUCUGUAGGAAUUGUCAAUAGCCAUAGCAGAUGCAAAACCAAUCACUUGUACUAAUUAGAUCUAUAUUCGUUUAAGUUAAAGUUAAUUUAGUAUUAGCCUCCCUUGGGUUUGAUCCUUGGAGUACUCACCUACUUUGUUGUAAAAACUAUAUUACAACCUGACUCGUCCACUUGCAGACACCACCUCAAUUCCAUUCAUUUAGUUUCAAUAUUUACACUCUGGAUGUUAGUAUGUCCGGAGGCGGUCAAGUGAUUGGAGCCAUUGCCGAGGAGGCAACGCUACUAAAUUGAUUUUAACUUUUGAGUUUUAUAGGAUAAUUUGGAAAUUUAUAAAUUGUAGAUACAAUUUUUUUAUUGUUACUAACAUCUUUAUUUUCUUUUUAGUUUCAGUGUAGGACUCGUAGUAGUGGAACAAUUAUAGAGCGAGUCACGGAUCUAGAGAGAAUAAUCUGUAGGAAUCGUCACUAGCCAUAGCAGAUGCAAAACCAAUCACCUGUUGCAAGCAAUCUACCAUGCGAUAACUCGUUGUUUGAUGAGGAAAACGAACUUAACAUCCAAGACUUACCACCACCACCGCAAUUACCAGCAAACCCUUCGAUGGCAUGAGAAGAGCGAAACCUAAGGGAUUACGCACUACCAAAUCUGGUGAUGGUUCAACGUAGCAUUACAAGGCCAACCAUAAUGGAAAAUAAUUUUGAAAUAAAAUCGACCAUGAUCUAGAUGAUCCAAAAUAAUCAUCAAUUCAGAGGAACCAUGACGGAUGACACAAAUCAACAUCUAAAAUGGGACCUUCAAUUUUGUGAUACAUUCUAAUAUAACGGGGUUAUUGAUGAAGCUAUUCAUCUUCGGUUGUUUCCCUUAUCCUUGAUCGAUAUUCGUUAAAGUUAAAGUUAAAGUUAACUUAGUAUUAGCCUUCCUUGGGUUUGAUCCUUGGAGUACUCACCUACUUCGUUGUAAAAACUAUAUUACAACCUGACUCGUAUACUUGCAGACACCACCUCAAUUCUAUUGAUUUAGGUGCCAUAUUUACACUCUAGAUGUUAGUAUGUCUGGAGGCGGUCAAGUGUUUGGUGCCAUUUUCGAGUAGGCAACGCUACUAAAUUGAUUUUAAUUUUUGAGUUUUAUAGGAUAAUUUUGAAAUUUAAAAAUUGUAGGUACAAUUUUUUUUAUUGUUACUAACAUCUUUUAUUUUCCUUUUAGUUUCAGUGUAUGUCUUGCAGAAGUGGAACUGUUAUAGAGCGAGUCACUGAUCGAGAGAGAAUAAUCUGUAGGAAUCGUCAAUAGCCAUAGCAGAUGCAAAACCAAUCACUUGUACUAAUUAGAUCUAUAUUCGUUUAAGUUAAAGUUAAUUUAGUAUUAGCCUCCCUUGGGUUUGAUCCUUGGAGUACUCAACUACUUUGUUGUAAAAACUAUUUUACAACCUGACUCGUCUACUUGCAGACACCACCUCAAUUCCAUUCAUUUAGUUUCAAUAUUUACACUCUGGAUGUUAGUAUGUCCGGAGGCGGUCAAGUGAUUGGAGCCAUUGCCGAGGAGGCAACGCUACUAAAUUGAUUUUAACUUUUGAGUUUUGUAGGAUAAUUUGGAAAUUUAUAAAUUGUAGAUACAAUUUUUUUAUUGUUACUAACGUCUUUAUUUUCUUUUUAGUUUCAGUGUAGGACUCGUAGUAGUGGAACAAUUAUAGAGCGAGUCACUGAUCUAGAGAGAAUAAUCUCUAGGAAUCGUCAAUAGCCAUAGCAGAUGCAAAACCAAUCAUCUGUUGCAAGCAAUCUACCAUGCAAUAAAUCGUUGUUUGAUGAGGUAAACGAACUUAACAUCCAAGACAUACCACCACCACCGCAAUUACCAGCAAACCCUUCGAUGGCAUUAGAAGAGCGAAACCUAAGGGAUUACGCACUACCAAAUCUGGUGAUGGUUCAAGGUAGCAUUACAAGGCCAACCAUUAUGGAAAAUUAUUUUGAAAUAAAAUAGACCAUGAUCUAAAUGAUCCAAAAUAAUCUGCAAUUCAGAGACACCAUGACGGAUGUCCCAAAUCAACAUCUAAAACGGGUCCUUCAAUUUUGGGAUACAUUUAAAUAUAACGGGGUCAUUGAUGAAGCUAUUAAUCUUCGAUUGUUUCCCUUAUCCUUGAUCGAUAUUCAUUUAAGUUAAAGUUAAAGUUAAUUUAGUAUUAGCCUUCCUUGGGUUUGAUCCUUGGAGUACUCACCUACUUUGUUGUAAAAACUAUAUUACAACCUGACUCGUAUACUUGCAGACACCACCUCAAUUCCAUUCAUUUAGUUUCAAUAUUUACACUCUGGAUGUUAGUAUGUCCGGAGGCGGUCAAGUGAUUGGAGCCAUUGCCGAGGAGGCAACGCUACUAAAUUGAUUUUAACUUUUGAGUUUUGUAGGAUAAUUUGGAAAUUUAUAAAUUGUAGAUACAAUUUUUUUGUUGUUACUAACAUCUUUAUUUUCUUUUUAGUUUCAGUGUAGGACUCGUAGUAGUGGAACAAUUAUAGAGUGAGUCACUGAUCUAGAGAGAAUAAUCUGUAGGAAUCGUCAAUAGCCAUAGCAGAUGCAAAACUAUUCACCUGUUGCAAGCAAUCUACCAUGCGAUAACUCGUUGUUUGAUGGGGAAAACGAACUUAACAUCCAAGACUUACCACCACCACCGCAAUUACCAGCAAACCCUUCGAUGGCAUGAGAAGAGCGAAACCUAAGGGAUUACGCACUACCAAAUCUGGUGAUGGUUCAAGGUAGCAUUACAAGGCCAACCAUUAUGGAAAAUAAUUUUGAAAUAAAAUCGACCAUGAUCUAGAUGAUCCAAAAUAAUCAUCAAUUCAGAGGAACCAUGACGGAUGACACAAAUCAACAUCUAAAACGGGACCUUCAAUUUUGUGAUACAUUCUAAUAUAACGGGGUUAUUGAUGAAGCUAUUCAUCUUCGGUUGUUUCCCUUAUCCUUGAUCGAUAUUCGUUUAAGUUAAAGUUAAAGUUAACUUAAUAUUAGCCUUCCUUGGGUUUGAUCCUUGGAGUACUCACCUACUUCGUUGUAAAAACUAUAUUACAACCUGACUCGUAUACUUGCAGACACCACCUCAAUUCCAUUCAUUUAGUUGCAAUAUUUACACUCUGGAUGUUAGUAUGUCCGGAGGCGGUCAAGUGUUUGGUGCCAUUGCCGAGGAGGCAACGCUACUAAAUUGAUUUUAAUUUUUGAGUUUUAUAGGAUAAUUUGGUAAUUUAUAAAUUGUAGAUACAAUUUUUUUAUUGUUACUAACAUCUUUUAUUUUCCUUUUAGUUUCAGUGUAUGUCUUGUAGUAGUGGAACUGUUAUAGAGCGAGUCGCUGAUCUAGAGAGAAUAAUCUGUAGGAAUCGUCAAUAGCCAUAGCAGAUGCAAAACCAAUCACUUGUACUAAUUAGAUCUAUAUUCGUUUAAGUUAAAGUUAAUUUAGUAUUAGCCUCCCUUGGGUUUGAUCCUUGGAGUACUCACCUACUUUGUUGUAAAAAGUAUAUUACAACCUGACUCGUCUACUUGCAGACACCACCUCAAUUCCAUUCAUUUAGUUUCAAUAUUUACACUCUGGAUGUUAGUAUGUCCGGAGGCGGUCAAGUGAUUGGAGCCAUUGCCGAGGAGGCAACGCUACUAAAUUGAUUUUAACUUUUGAGUUUUAUAGGAUAAUUUGGAAAUUUAUAAAUUGUAGAUAGAAUUUUUUUAUUGUCACUAACAUCUUUUAUUUUCUUUUUAGUUUAAGUGUAGGACUCGUAGUAGUGGAACAAUUAUAGAGCGAGUCACUGAUCUAGAGAGAAUAAUCUGUAGGAAUCGUCAAUAGCCAUAGCAGAUGCAAAACCAAUCACCUGUUGCAAGCAAUCUACCAUGCGAUAACUCGUUGUUUGAUGAGGAAAACGAACUUAACAUCCAAGACUUACCACCACCACCGCAAUUACCAGCAAACCCUUCGAUGGCAUGAGAAGAGCGAAACCUAAGGGAUUACGCACUACCAAAUCUGGUGAUGGUUCAAGGUAGCAUUACAAGGCCAACCAUUAUGGAAAAUAAUUUUGAAAUAAAAUCGACCAUGAUCUAGAUGAUCCAAAAUAAUCAUCAAUUCAGAGGAACCAUGACGGAUGACACAAAUCAACAUCUAAAACGGGACCUUCAAUUUUGUGAUACAUUCUAAUAUAACGGGGUUAUUGAUGAAGCUAUUCAUCUUCGGUUGUUUCCCUUAUCCUUGAUCGAUAUUCGUUUAAGUUAAAGUUAAAGUUAACUUAGUAUUAGCCUUCCUUGGGUUUGAUCCUUGGAGUACUCACCUACUUCGUUGUAAAAACUAUAUUACAACCUGACUCGUAUACUUGCAGACACCACCUCAAUUCCAUUGAUUUAGUUGCAAUAUUUACACUCUGGAUGUUAGUAUGUCCGGAGGCGGUCAAGUGUUUGGUGCCAUAGCCGAGGAGGCAACGCUAGUAAAUUGAUUUUAAUUUUUGAGUUUUAUAGGAUAAUUUGGAAAUUUAUAGAUUGUAGAUACAAUUUUUUUUAUUGUUACUAACAUCUUUUAUUUUCCUUUUAGUUUCAGUGUAUGUCUUGCAGUAGUGGAACAGUUAUAGAGCGAGUCACUGAUCUGGAGAGAAUAAUCUGUAGGAAUCGUCAAUAGCCAUAGCAGAUGCAAAACCAAUCACUUGUACUAAUUAGAUCUAUAUUCGUUUAAGUUAAAGUUAAUUUAGUAUUAGCCUCCCUUGGGUUUGAUCCUUGGAGUACUCACCUACUUUGUUGUAAAAACUAUAUUACAACCUGACUCGUCUACUUGCAGACACCACCUCAAUUCCAUUCAUUUAGUUUCAAUAUUUACACUCUGGAUGUUAGUAUGUCCGGAGGCGGUCAAGUGAUUGGAGCCAUUGCCGAGGAGGCAACGCUACUAAAUUGAUUUUAACUUUUGAGUUUUAUAGGAUAAUUUGGAAAUUUAUAAAUUGUAGAUACAAUUUUUUUAUUGUUACUAACAUCUUUAUUUUCUUUUUAGUUUCAGUGUAGGACUCGUAGUAGUGGAACAAUUAUAGAGCGAGUCACGGAUCUAGAGAGAAUAAUCUGUAGGAAUCGUCACUAGCCAUAGCAGAUGCAAAACCAAUCACCUGUUGCAAGCAAUCUACCAUGCGAUAACUCGUUGUUUGAUGAGGAAAACGAACUUAACAUCCAAGACUUACCACCACCACCGCAAUUACCAGCAAACCCUUCGAUGGCAUGAGAAGAGCGAAACCUAAGGGAUUACGCACUACCAAAUCUGGUGAUGGUUCAAGGUAGCAUUACAAGGCCAACCAUAAUGGAAAAUAAUUUUGAAAUAAAAUCGACCAUGAUCUAGAUGAUCCAAAAUAAUCAUCAAUUCAGAGGAACCAUGACGGAUGACACAAAUCAACAUCUAAAAUGGGACCUUCAAUUUUGUGAUACAUUCUAAUAUAACGGGGUUAUUGAUGAAGCUAUUCAUCUUCGGUUGUUUCCCUUAUCCUUGAUCGAUAUUCGUUAAAGUUAAAGUUAAAGUUAACUUAGUAUUAGCCUUCCUUGGGUUUGAUCCUUGGAGUACUCACCUACUUCGUUGUAAAAACUAUAUUACAACCUGACUCGUAUACUUGCAGACACCACCUCAAUUCUAUUGAUUUAGGUGCCAUAUUUACACUCUAGAUGUUAGUAUGUCUGGAGGCGGUCAAGUGUUUGGUGCCAUUUUCGAGUAGGCAACGCUACUAAAUUGAUUUUAAUUUUUGAGUUUUAUAGGAUAAUUUGGAAAUUUAAAAAUUGUAGGUACAAUUUUUUUUAUUGUUACUAACAUAUUUUAUUUUCCUUUUAGUUUCAGUGUAUGUCUUGCAGUAGUGGAACAGUUAUAGAGCGAGUCACUGAUCUAGAGAGAAUAAUCUGUAGGAAUCGUCAAUAGCCAUAGCAGAUGCAAAACCAAUCACUUGUACUAAUUAGAUCUAUAUUCGUUUAAGUUAAAGUUAAUUUAGUAUUAGCCUCCCUUGGGUUUGAUCCUUGGAGUACUCACCUACUUUGUUGUAAAAACUAUAUUACAACCUGACUCGUCUACUUGCAGACACCACCUCAAUUCCAUUCAUUUACUUUCAAUAUUUACACUCUGGAUGUUAGUAUGUCCGGAGGCGGUCAAGUGAUUGGAGCCAUUGCCGAGGAGGCAACGCUACUAAAUUGAUUUUAACUUUUGAGUUUUGUAGGAUAAUUUGGAAAUUUAUAAAUUGUAGAUACAAUUUUUUUAUUGUUACUAACAUCUUUAUUUUCUUUUUAGUUUCAGUGUAGGACUCGUAGUAGUGGAACAAUUAUAGAGCGAGUCACUGAUCUAGAGAGAAUAAUCUGUAGGAAUCGUCAAUAGCCAUAGCAGAUGCAAAACCAAUCAUCUGUUGCAAGCAAUCUACCAUGCGAUAAAUCGUUGUUUGAUGAGGUAAACGAACUUAACAUCCAAGACAUACCACCACCACCGCAAUUACCAGCAAACCCUUCGAUGGCAUUAGAAGAGCGAAACCUAAGGGAUUACGCACUACCAAAUCUGGUGAUGGUUCAAGGUAGCAUUACAAGGCCAACCAUUAUGGAAAAUUAUUUUGAAAUAAAAUAGACCAUGAUCUAAAUGAUCCAAAAUAAUCUGCAAUUCAGAGACACCAUGACGGAUGUCCCAAAUCAACAUCUAAAACGGGUCCUUCAAUUUUGGGAUACAUUUAAAUAUAACGGGGUCAUUGAUGAAGCUAUUAAUCUUCGGUUGUUUCCCUUAUCCUUGAUCGAUAUUCAUUUAAGUUAAAGUUAAAGUUAAUUUAGUAUUAGCCUUCCUUGGGUUUGAUCCUUGGAGUACUCACCUACUUUGUUGUAAAAACUAUAUUACAACCUGACUCGUAUACUUGCAGACACCACCUCAAUUCCAUUCAUUUAGUUUCAAUAUUUACACUCUGGAUGUUAGUAUGUCCGGAGGCGGUCAAGUGAUUGGAGCCAUUGCCGAGGAGGCAACGCUACUAAAUUGAUUUUAACUUUUGAGUUUUGUAGGAUAAUUUGGAAAUUUAUAAAUUGUAGAUACAAUUUUUUUGUUGUUACUAACAUCUUUAUUUUCUUUUUAGUUUCAGUGUAGGACUCGUAGUACUGGAACAAUUAUAGAGUGAGUCACGGAUCUAGAGAGAAUAAUCUGUAGGAAUCGUCAAUAGCCAUAGCAGAUGCAAAACUAUUCACCUGUUGCAAGCAAUCUACCAUGCGAUAACUCGUUGUUUGAUGGGGAAAACGAACUUAACAUCCAAGACUUACCACCACCACCGCAAUUACCAGCAAACCCUUCGAUGGCAUGAGAAGAGCGAAACCUAAGGGAUUACGCACUACCAAAUCUGGUGAUGGUUCAAGGUAGCAUUACAAGGCCAACCAUUAUGGAAAAUAAUUUUGAAAUAAAAUCGACCAUGAUCUAGAUGAUCCAAAAUAAUCAUCAAUUCAGAGGAACCAUGACGGAUGACACAAAUCAACAUCUAAAACGGGACCUUCAAUUUUGUGAUACAUUCUAAUAUAACGGGGUUAUUGAUGAAGCUAUUCAUCUUCGGUUGUUUCCCUUAUCCUUGAUCGAUAUUCGUUUAAGUUAAAGUUAAAGUUAACUUAAUAUUAGCCUUCCUUGGGUUUGAUCCUUGGAGUACUCACCUACUUCGUUGUAAAAACUAUAUUACAACCUGACUCGUAUACUUGCAGACACCACCUCAAUUCCAUUCAUUUAGUUGCAAUAUUUACACUCUGGAUGUUAGUAUGUCCGGAGGCGGUCAAGUGUUUGGUGCCAUUGCCGAGGAGGCAACGCUACUAAAUUGAUUUUAAUUUUUGAGUUUUAUAGGAUAAUUUGGUAAUUUAUAAAUUGUAGAUACAAUUUUUUUAUUGUUACUAACAUCUUUUAUUUUCCUUUUAGUUUCAGUGUAUGUCUUGUAGUAGUGGAACUGUUAUAGAGCGAGUCGCUGAUCUAGAAAGAAUAAUCUGUAGGAAUCGUCAAUAGCCAUAGCAGAUGCAAAACCAAUCACUUGUACUAAUUAGAUCUAUAUUCGUUUAAGUUAAAGUUAAUUUAGUAUUAGCCUCCCUUGGGUUUGAUCCUUGGAGUACUCACCUACUUUGUUGUAAAAAGUAUAUUACAACCUGACUCGUCUACUUGCAGACACCACCUCAAUUCCAUUCAUUUAGUUUCAAUAUUUACACUCUGGAUGUUAGUAUGUCCGGAGGCGGUCAAGUGAUUGGAGCCAUUGCCGAGGAGGCAACGCUACUAAAUUGAUUUUAACUUUUGAGUUUUAUAGGAUAAUUUGGAAAUUUAUAAAUUGUAGAUAGAAUUUUUUUAUUGUCACUAACAUCUUUUAUUUUCUUUUUAGUUUAAGUGUAGGACUCGUAGUAGUGGAACAAUUAUAGAGCGAGUCACUGAUCUAGAGAGAAUAAUCUGUAGGAAUCGUCAAUAGCCAUAGCAGAUGCAAAACCAAUCACCUGUUGCAAGCAAUCUACCAUGCGAUAACUCGUUGUUUGAUGAGGAAAACGAACUUAACAUCCAAGACUUACCACCACCACCGCAAUUACCAGCAAACCCUUCGAUGGCAUGAGAAGAGCGAAACCUAAGGGAUUACACACUACCAAAUCUGGUGAUGGUUCAAGGUAGCAUUACAAGGCCAACCAUUAUGGAAAAUAAUUUUGAAAUAAAAUCGACCAUGAUCUAGAUGAUCCAAAAUAAUCAUCAAUUCAGAGGAACCAUGACGGAUGACACAAAUCAACAUCUAAAACGGGACCUUCAAUUUUGUGAUACAUUCUAAUAUAACGGGGUUAUUGAUGAAGCUAUUCAUCUUCGGUUGUUUCCCUUAUCCUUGAUCGAUAUUCGUUUAAGUUAAAGUUAAAGUUAACUUAGUAUUAGCCUUCCUUGGGUUUGAUCCUUGGAGUACUCACCUACUUCGUUGUAAAAACUAUAUUACAACCUGACUCGUAUACUUGCAGACACCACCUCAAUUCCAUUGAUUUAGUUGCAAUAUUUACACUCUGGAUGUUAGUAUGUCCGGAGGCGGUCAAGUGUUUGGUGCCAUAGCCGAGGAGGCAACGCUAGUAAAUUGAUUUUAAUUUUUGAGUUUUAUAGGAUAAUUUGGAAAUUUAUAAAUUGUAGAUACAAUUUUUUUAUUGUUACUAACAUCUUUUAUUUUCCUUUUAGUUUCAGUGUAUGUCUUGCAGUAGUGGAACAGUUAUAGAGCGAGUCACUGAUCUAGAGAGAAUAAUCUGUAGGAAUCGUCAAUAGCCAUAGCAGAUGCAAAACCAAUCACUUGUACUAAUUAGAUCUAUAUUCGUUUAAGUUAAAGUUAAUUUAGUAUUAGCCUCCCUUGGGUUUGAUCCUUGGAGUACUCACCUACUUUGUUGUAAAAACUAUAUUACAACCUGACUCGUCUACUUGCAGACACCACCUCAAUUCCAUUCAUUUAGUUUCAAUAUUUACACUCUGGAUGUUAGUAUGUCCGGAGGCGGUCAAGUGAUUGGAGCCAUUGCCGAGGAGGCAACGCUACUAAAUUGAUUUUAACUUUUGAGUUUUAUAGGAUAAUUUGGAAAUUUAUAAAUUGUAGAUACAAUUUUUUUAUUGUUACUAACAUCUUUAUUUUCUUUUUAGUUUCAGUGUAGGACUCGUAGUAGUGGAACAAUUAUAGAGCGAGUCACGGAUCUAGAGAGAAUAAUCUGUAGGAAUCGUCACUAGCCAUAGCAGAUGCAAAACCAAUCACCUGUUGCAAGCAAUCUACCAUGCGAUAACUCGUUGUUUGAUGAGGAAAACGAACUUAACUUCCAAGACUUACCACCACCACCGCAAUUACCAGCAAACCCUUCGAUGGCAUGAGAAGAGCGAAACCUAAGGGAUUACGCACUACCAAAUCUGGUGAUGGUUCAAGGUAGCAUUACAAGGCCAACCAUAAUGGAAAAUAAUUUUGAAAUAAAAUCGACCAUGAUCUAGAUGAUCCAAAAUAAUCAUCAAUUCAGAGGAACCAUGACGGAUGACACAAAUCAACAUCUAAAAUGGGACCUUCAAUUUUGUGAUACAUUCUAAUAUAACGGGGUUAUUGAUGAAGCUAUUCAUCUUCGGUUGUUUCCCUUAUCCUUGAUCGAUAUUCGUUUAAGUUAAAGUUAAAGUUAACUUAGUAUUAGCCUUCCUUAGGUUUGAUCCUUGGAGUACUCACCUACUUCGUUGUAAAAACUAUAUUACAACCUGACUCGUAUACUUGCAGACACCACCUCAAUUCCAUUCAUUAAGUUGCAAUAUUUACACUCUGGAUGUUAGUAUGUCCGGAGGCGGUCAAAUGUUUGGUGCCAUUGCCAAGGAGGCAACACUACUAAAUUGAUUUUAAUUUUUGAGUUUUAUAGGAUAAUUUGGAAAUUUAUAAAUUGUAGAUACAAUUUUUUUAUUGUUACUAACAUCUUUAUUUUCUUUUUAGUUUCAGUGUAGGACUCGUAGUAGUGGAACAAUUAUAGAGCGAGUCACGGAUCUAGAGAGAAUAAUUUGUAGGAAUCGUCACUAGCCAUAGCAGAUGCAAAACCAAUCAUCUGUUGCAAGCAAUCUACCAUGCGAUAAAUCGUUGUUUGAUGAGGUAAACGAACUUAACAUCCAAGACAUACCACCACCACCGCAAUUACCAGCAAACCCUUCGAUGGCAUUAGAAGAGCGAAACCUAAGGGAUUACGCACUACCAAAUCUGGUGAUGGUUCAAGGUAGCAUUACAAGGCCAACCAUUAUGGAAAAUUAUUUUGAAAUAAAAUAGACCAUGAUCUAAAUGAUCCAAAAUAAUCUGCAAUUCAGAGGACACCAUGACGGAUGUACCCAAAUCAACAUCUAAAACGAGUCCUUCAAUUUUGGGAUACAUUUAAAUAUAACGGGGUCAUUGAUGAAGCUAUUCAUCUUCGGUUGUUUCCCUUAUCCUUGAUCGAUAUUCAUUUAAGUUAAAGUUAAAGUUAAUUUAGUAUUAGCCUUCCUUGGGUUUGAUCCUUGGAGUACUCACCUACUUUGUUGUAAAAACUAUAUUACAACCUGACUCGUAUACUUGCAGACACCACCUCAAUUCCAUUACAUUUAGUUUCAAUAUUUACACUCUGGAUGUUAGUAUGUCCGGAGGCGGUCAAGUGAUUUGGUAGCCAUUGCCGAAGGAGGCAACGCUACUAAAUUGAUUUUAACUUUUGAGUUUUAUAGGAUAAUUUAGAAAUUUAUAAAUUGUAGAUACAAUUUUUUUAGUUGUUACUAACAUCUUUUAUUUUCUUUUUAGUUUCAGUGUAUGGACUCGUAGUAGUGGAACAGUUAUAGAGCGAGUCACUGAUCUAGAGAGAAUAAUCUGUAGGAAUCGUCAAUAGCCAUAGCAGAUGCAAAACAAUCACCUGUUGCAAGCAAUCUACCAUGCAAUAACUCGUUGUUUGAUGAGGUAAACGAACUUAACAUCCAAGACUUACCACCACCACCGCAAUUACCAGCAAACCCUUCGAUGGCAUGAGAAGAGCGAAACCUAAGGGAUUACGCACUACCAAAUAUGGUGAUGGUUCAAGGUAGCAUUACAAGGCCAACCAUUAUGGAAAAUAAUUUUGAAAUAAAAUCGACCAUGAUCUAGAUGAUCCAAAAUAAUCAUCAAUUUAGAGGAACCAUGACGGAUGACACCAAAUCAACAUCUAAAACGGGACCUUCAAUUUUGUGAUACAUUCUAAUAUAACGGGGUUAUUGAUGAAGCUAUUCAUCUUCGGUUGUUUCCCUUAUCCUUGAUCGAUAUUCGUUUAAGUUAAAGUUAAAGUUAAUUAAGUAUUAGCCUUCCUUGGGUUUGAUCCUUGGAGUACUCACCUACUUCGUUGUAAAAACUAUAUUACAACCUGACCUCGUAUACUUGCAGACACCACCUCAAUUCCAUUCAUUUAGUUGCAAUAUUUACACUCUGGAUGUUAGUAUGUCCGGAGGCGGUCAAGUGUUUGGUGCCAUUGCCGAGGAGGCAACGCUACUAAAUUGAUUUUAAUUUUUGAGUUUUAUAGGAUAAUUUGGAAAUUUAUAAAUUGUAGAUACAAUUUUUUUAUUGUUACUAACAUCUUUUAUUUUCCUUUUAGUUUCAGUGUAUGUCUUGUAGUAGUGGAACAUGUUAUAGAGCGAGUCACUGAUCUAGAGAGAAUAAUCUGUAGGAAUCGUCAAUAGCCAUAGCAGAUGCAAAACCAAUCACCUGUACUAAUUAGAUCUAUAUUCGUUUAAGUUCAAGUUAAUUUAGUAUUAGCCUCCCUGGGUUUGAUCCUUGGAGUACUCACCUACUUUGUUGUAAAAACUAUAUUACAACCUGACUCGUCUACUUGCAGACACCACCUCAAUUCCAUUCAUUUAGUUUCAAUAUUUACACUCUGGAUGUUAGUAUGUUCGGAGGCGGUCAAGUGUUUGGAGCCAUUGCCGAGGAGGCAACGCUACUAAAUUGAUUUUAAUUUUUGAGUUUUAUAGGAUAAUUUGGAAAUUUAUAAAUUGUAGAUACAAUUUUUUUAUUGUUACUAACAUCUUUUAUUUUCUUUUUAGUUUCAGUGUAGGACUCGUAGUAGUGGAACAAUUAUAGAGCGAGUCACUGAUCUAGAGAGAAUAAUCUGUAGGAAUCGUCAAUAGCCAUAGCAGAUGCAAAACCAAUCACCUGUUGCAAGCAAUCUACCAUGCGAUAACCCGUUGUUUGAUGAGGUAAACGAACUUAACAUCCAAGACAUUACCACCACCACCGCAAUUACCAGCAAACCCUUCGAUGGCAUGAGAAGAGCGAAACCUAAGGGAUUACGCACUACCAAAUAUGGUGAUGGUUCAAGGUAGCAUUACAAGGCCAACCAUUAUGGAAAAUUAUUUUGAAAUAAAAUCGACCAUGAUCUAGAUGAUCCAAAAUAAUCUGCAAUUCAGAGGACACCAUGACGGAUGUCCCAAAUCAACAUCUAAAACGGGUCCUUCAAUUUUGUGAUACAUUUAAAUAUAACGGGGUCAUUGAUGAAGCUAUUGAUCUUCGGUUGUUUCCCUUAUCCUUGAUCGAUAUUCAGUUUAAGUUAAAGUUAAAGUUAAUUUAGUAUUAGCCUUCCUUGGGUUUGAUCCUUGGAGUACUCACCUACUUUAUUGUAAAAACUAUAUUACAACCUGACUCGUAUACUUGCAGACACCACCUCAAUUCCAUUCAUUUAGUUGACAAUAUUUACACUCUGGAUGUUAGUAUGUCCUGGAGGCAGGUCAAGUGUUUGGUGCCAUUACCGAGGAGGCAGCGCUACUAAAUUGAUUUUAAUUUUUGAGUUUUAUAGGAUAAUUUGGAAAUUUAUAAAUUGUAGAUACAAUUUUUUUAUUGUUACUAACAUCUUUUAUUUCUUUUUAGUUUCAGUGUAGGACUCGUAGUAGUGGAACCAGUUAUAGAGCGAGUCAUUGAUCUAAAGAGAAUAAUCUGUAGGAAUCAUCAAUAGCCAUAGCAGAUGCAAAACCAAUCACCUGUACCAAUUAGAUCUAUAUUCGUUGAAUUUCAAGUUAAUUUAGUAUUAGCCUCCAUUGGGUUUGAUCCUUGGAGUACUCACCUACUUCGUUGUAAAAACUACAUUACAACCUGACUCGUAUACUUGCAGACACCACCUCAAUUCCAUUCAUUUAGUUGCAAUAUUUACACUCUAAAUGUUAGUAUGUCCGGAGGAGGUCAAGUGUUUGGUGCCAUUGCUGAGGAGGCAACGCUACUAAAUUGAUUAUAAUUUUUGAGUUUUAUAGGAUAAUUUGGAAAUUUAUAAAUUGUAGAUACAAUUUUUUUAUUGUUACUAACAUCUUUUAUUUUCUUUUUAGUUUCAGUGUAUGGCUCGUAGUAGUGAACAGUUAUAGAGCGAGUCACUGAUCUAAAGAGAAUAAUCUGUAGGAAUCGUCAAUAGCCAUAGCAGAUGAAAACCAAUCACUUGUACUAAUUAGAUCUAUAUUCGUUUAAGUUAAAGUUAAUUUAGUAUUAGCCUUCCUUGGGUUGAUCCCUGGAGUACUCACCUACUUCGUUAUAAAAACUAUAUUACAAACUGACUCGUCUACUUGCAGACACCACCUCAAUUCCAUUCAUUUAGUUGCAAUAUUUACACUCUGGUUGUUAGUAUGUCGGAGGCGGUCAAGUGUUUGGAGCCAUUGCCGAGGAGGCAACGCUACUAAAUUGAUUUAAUUUUUGAGUUUUAUAGGAUAAUUUGGAAAUUUAUAAAUUGUAGAUACAAUUUUUUUAUUGUUACUAACAUCUUUUAUUUUCUUUUUAUUUUCAGUGUAGGACUCGUAGUAGUGGAACAAUUAUAGAGCGAGUCACUGAUCUGAGAGAAUAAUCUGUAGGAAUCGUCAAUAGCCAUAGCAGUUGCAAAACCAAUCACCUAUUGCAAGCAAUCUACCAUGCGAUAACUCGUUGUUUGAUGAGGUAAACGAACUUAACAUCCAAGACUUACCACCCCCACCGCAAUUGCCAGCAAACCCUUCGAUGGCAUGAGAAGGGCGAAACCUAAGGGAUUACGCACUACCAAAUAUGGUGAUGGUUCAAGGUAGCAUUACAAGGCCAACCAUUACGGAAAAUAAUUUUGAAAUAAAAUCGACCAUGAUCUAGAUGAUCCAAAAUAAUCUGCAAUUCAGAGGCACCAUGACGGAUGACCCAAAUCAACAUCUAAAACGGGUCCUUCAAUUUUGUGAAUCAUUUAAAUAUAACGGGGUUAUUGAUGAAGCUAUUCAUCUUCGGUUGUUUCCCUUACCUUGAUCGAUAUUUAGUUUAAGUUAAAGUUAAAGUUAAUUUAGUAUUAGCCUUCCUUGGGUUUGAUCCUUGGAGUACUCACCUACUUCAUUGUAAAAACUAUAUUUCAACCUGACUCGUAUACUUGUAGACACCACCUCAAUUCCAUUCAUUUAGUUGCAAUAUUUACACUCUGGAUGUUAGUAUGUCCGGAGGCGGUGAAGUGUUUGGUGCCAUUGCCGAGGAGGCAAUGCUACUAAAUUGAUUUUAAUUUUUGAGUUUUAUAGGAUAAGUUGGAAAUUUAUAAAUUGUAGAUACAAUUUUUUUAUUGUUACUAACAUCUUUUAUUUUCUUUUUAGUUUCAGUGUAUGGCUCGUAGUAGUGGAACAGUGAUAGAGCGAGUCACUGAUCUAGAGAGAAUAAUCUCUAGGAAUCGUCAAUAGCCAUAGCAGAUGCAAAACCAAUCACCUGUACUAAUUAGAUCUAUAUUCGUUUAAGUUCAAGUUAAUUUAGUAUUAGCCUCCCUUGGGUUUGAUCCUUGGAGUACUCACCUACUUCAGUUGUAAAAACUAUAUUACAACCUGACUCGUGUACUUGCAGACACCACCUCAAUUCCAUUCAUUUAGUUUCAAUAUUUACACUCUGGAUGUUAGUAUGUUCGGAGGCGGUCAAGUGUUUGGAGCCAUUGCCGAGGAGGCAACACUACUAAAUUGAUUUUAAUUUUUGAGUUUUAUAGGAUAAUUUGGAAAUUUAUAAAUUGUAGAUACAAUUUUUUUAUUGUUACUAACAUCUUUUAUUUUCUUUUUAGUUUCAGUGUAGGACUCGUAGUAGUGGAACAAUUAUAAAGCGAGUCACUGAUCUAGAGAGAAUAAUCUGUAGGAAUCGUCAAUAGCCAUAGCAGUUGCAAAACCAAUCACCUGUUGCAAGCAAUCUACCAUGCGAUAACCCGUUGUUUGAUGAGGUAAACGAACUUAAUAUCCAAGACUUACCACCACCACCGUAAAUUACCAGCAAACCCUUCGAUGGCAUGAGAAGGGCGAAACCUAAGGGAUUACGCACUACCAAAUAUGGUGAUGGUUCAAGGUAGCAUUACAAGGCCAACCAUUAUGGAAAAUAAUUUUGAAAUAAAAUCGACCAUGAUCUAGAUGAUCCAAAAUAAUCUGCAAUUCAGAGGAACCAUGACGGAUGACACAAAUCAACAUCUAAAAUGGGGCCUUCAAUUUUGUGAUACAUUCUAAUAUAACGGGGUCAUUGAUGAAGCUAUUCAUCUUCGGUUGUUUCCCUUAUCCUGAUCGAUAUUCGUUAAGUUAAAGUUAAAGUUAAUUUAGUAUUAGCCUUCCUUGGGUUUGAUCCUUGGAGUACUCACCUACUUCGUUGUAAAAACUAUAUUACAACCUGACUCGUAUACUUGCAGACACCACCUCAAUUCCAUUCAUUAGUUGCAAUAUUUACACUCUGGAUGUUAGUAUGUCCGGAGGCGGUCAAUUGUUUGGUGCCAUUGCCGAGGACGCAACGCUACUGAAUUGAUUUUAAUUUUUAGUUUAUAGGAUAAUUUGGAAAUUUAUGAAUUGUAGAUACAAUUUUUUUAUUGUUACUAACAUCUUUUAUUUUCUUUUUAGUUUUCAGUGUAUGGCUCGUAGUAGUGGAACAGUUAUAGAGUGAGUCACUGAUCUAAAGAGAAUAAUCUGUAGGAAUCGUCAAUAGCCAUAGCAGAUGCAAAACCAAUCACCUGUACUAAUUAGAUAUAUAUUCGUUAAGUUCAAGUUAAUUUAGUAUUAGCCUUCCUUGGGUUUGAUCCUUGGAGUACUCACCUACUUCGUAAAAACUAUAUUACAACCUGACGUUAUACUUGCAGACACCACCUCAAUUCCAUUCAUUUAGUUGCAAUAUUUACACUCUGGAUGUUAGUAUGUCCGGAGGCGGUCAAGUGUUUGGUGCCAUUGCGAGGAGGCAACGCUACUAAAUGAUUUUAAUUUUUGAGUUUUAUAGGAUAAGUUGGAAAUUUAUUAAAUUGUAGAUACACUUUUUUUAUUGUUACUAACAUCUUUAUUUUCUUUUUAGUUUCAGUGUNNNNNNNNNNNNNNNNNNNNNNNNNNNNNNNNNNNNNNNNNNNNNNNNNNNNNNNNNNNNNNNNNNNNNNNNNNNNNNNNNNNNNNNNNNNNNNNNNNNNNNNNNNNNNNNNNNNNNNNNNNNNNNNNNNNNNNNNNNNNNNNNNNNNNNNNNNNNNNNNNNNNNNNNNNNNNNNNNNNNNNNNNNNNNNNNNNNNNNNNNNNNNNNNNNNNNNNNNNNNNNNNNNNNNNNNNNNNNNNNNNNNNNNNNNNNNNNNNNNNNNNNNNNNNNNNNNNNNNNNNNNNNNNNNNNNNNNNNNNNNNNNNNNNNNNNNNNNNNNNNNNNNNNNNNNNNNNNNNNNNNNNNNNNNNNNNNNNNNNNNNNNNNNNNNNNNNNNNNNNNNNNNNNNNNNNNNNNNNNNNNNNNNNNNNNNNNNNNNNNNNNNNNNNNNNNNNNNNNNNNNNNNNNNNNNNNNNNNNNNNNNNNNNNNNNNNNNNNNNNNNNNNNNNNNNNNNNNNNNNUUCCAUUCAUUUAGUUGCAAUACUUACACUCUGGAUGUUAGUAUGCCCGGAGGCGGUCAAGAGUUUGGUGCCAUUGCCGAGGAGGCAACGCUACUAAAUUGAUUUUAAUUUUUGAGUUUUAUAGGAUAAUUUGGAAAUUUAUAAAUUGUAGAUACAAUUUUUUUAUUGUUACUAACAUCUUUUAUUUUCUUUUUAGUUUCAGUGUAUGACUCGUAGUAGUGGAACAGUUAUAGAGCGAGUCACUGAUCUAGAGAGAAUAAUCUGUAGGAAUCGUCAAUAGCCAUAGCAGAUGCAAAACCAAUCACCUGUUGCAAGCAAUCUACUAUGCGAUAACCCGUUGUUUGGUGAGGUAAACGAACUUAACAUCCAAGACUUACCACCACCACCGCUAUUACCAGCAAACCCUUCGAUGGCAUGAGAAGGGCGAAACCUAAGGGAUUCCGCACUACCAAAUAUGGUGAUGGUUCAAGGUAGCAUUACAAGGCAAACCAUUAUGGAAAAUAAUUUUGAAAUAAAAUCGACCAUGAUCUAGAUGAUCCAAACUAAUCUUCAAUUCAGAGGAACCAUGACGGAUGACCCAAAUCAACAUCUAAAACGGGUCCUUCAAUUUUGUGAUGCAUUUAAAUAUAACGGGGUCAUUAAUGAAGCUAUUCAUCUUCAGUUGUUUCCCAUAUCCUUGAUCGAUAUUCGUUUAAGUUAAAGUUAAAGUUAAUUUAGUAUUAGCCUUCCUUGUGUUUGAUCCUUGGAGUACUCACCUACUUCAUUGUAAAAACUAUAUUACAACCUGACUCGUAUACUUGCAGACACCACCUCAAUUCCAUUCAUUUAGUUGCAAUAUUUACACUCUGGAUGUUAGUAUGUCCGGAGGCGGUCAAGUGUUUGGUGCCAUUGCCGAGGAGGCAACGCUACUGAAUUGAUUUUAAUUUUUUAGUUUUAUAGAAUAAUUUGGAAAUUUAUAAAUUGUAGAUACAAUUUUCUUAUUGUUACUAGCAUCUUUUAUUUUCUUUUUAGUUUCAGUGUAUGGCUCGUAGCAGUGGAACAGUUAUAGAGCGAGUCACUGAUCUAAAGAGAAUAAUCUGUAGGAAUCGUCAAUAGCCAUAGCAGAUGCAAAACCAAUCACCUGUACUAAUUAGAUCUAUAUUCAUUUAAGUUCAAGUUAAUUUAGUAUUAGCCUCCCUUGGGUUUGAUCCUUGGAGUACUCACCUACUUCGUUGUAAAAACUAUAUUACAACCUGACUCUUGUACUUGCAGACACCACCACAAUUCCAUUCAUUUAGUUUCAAUAUUUACACUCUGGAUGUUAGUAUGUUCGGAGGCGGUCAAGUGUUUGGAGCCAUUGCCGAGGAGGCAACACUACUAAAUUGAUUUUAAUUUUUGAGUUUAAAAGGAUAAUUUGGAAAUUUAUAAAUUGUAGAUAAAUUUUUUUAUUGUUACUAACAUCUUUUAUUUUCUUUUUAGUUUCAGUGUAGGACUCGUAGUAGUGGAACAAUUAUAAAGCGAGUCACUGAUCUAGAGAGAAUAAUCUGUAGGAAUCGUCAAUAGCCAUAGCAGUUGCAAAACCAAUCACCUGUUGCAAGCAAUCUACCAUGCGAUAACCCGUUGUUUGAUGAGGUAAACGAAUUUAAUAUCCAAGACUUACCACCACCACCGCAAUUACCAGCAAACCCUUCGAUGGCAUGAGAAGGGCGAAACCUAAGGGAUUACGCACUACCAAAUAUGUUGAUGGUUCAAGGUAGCAUUACAAGGCCAGCCAUUAUGGAAAAUAAUUUUGAAAUAAAAUCGACCAUGAUCUAGAUGAUCCAAAAUAAUCUGCAAUUCAGAGGCACCAUGACGGAUGACCCAAAUCAACAUCUAAAACGGGUCCUUCAAUUUUGUGAUGCAUUUAAAUAUAACAGGGUCAUUAAUGAAGCUAUUCAUCUUCGGUUGUUUCCCUUAUCCUUGAUCGAUAUUCGUUUAAGUUAAAGUUAAAGUUAAUUUAGUAUUAGCCUUCCUUGGGUUUGAUCCUUGGAGUACUCACCUACUUCAUUGUAAAAACUAUAUUACAACCUGACUCGUAUACUUGUAGACACCACCUCAAUUCCAUUCAUUUAGUUGCAAUAUUUACACUCUGGAUGUUAGUAUGUCCGGAGGCGGUCAAGUGUUUGGUGCCAUUGCCGAGGAGGCAACGCUACUAAAUUGAUUUUAAUUUUUGAGUUUUAUAGGAUAGUUUGGAAAUUUAUAAAUUGUAGAUACAAUUUUUUUAUUGUUACUAACAUCUUUCAUUUUCUUUUUAGUUUCAGUGUAUGACUCGUAGUAGUGGAAGAGUUAUAGUGCGAGUCACUGAUCUAGAGAGAAUAAUCUGUAGGAAUCGUCAAUAGCCAUAGCAGAUGCAAAACCAAUCACCUGUUGCAAGCAAUCUACCAUGCGAUAACCCGUUGUUUGAUGAGGUAAACGAACUUAAUAUCCAAGACUUACCACCACCACCGCAAUUACCAGCAAACCCUUCGAUGGCAUGAGAAGGGCGAAACCUAAGGGAUUACGCACUACCAAAUAUGGUGAUGGUUCAAGGUAGCAUUACAAGGCCAACCAUUAUGGAAAAUAAUUUUGAAAUAAAAUCGACCAUGAUCUAGAUGAUCCAAACUAAUCUUCAAUUCAGAGGCACCAUGACGGAUGACCCAAAUCAACAUCUAAAACGGGUCCUUCAAUUUUGUGAUGCAUUUAAAUAUAACGGGGUUAUUGAUGAAGCUAUUCAUCUUCGGUUGUUUCCCUUAUCCUUGAUCGAUAUUCGAUUAAGUUAAAGUUAAAGUUAAUUUAGUAUUAGCCUUCCUUGGGUUUGAGCCUUGGAGUACUCACCUACUUCAUUGUAAAAACUAUAUUACAACCUGACUCGUAUACUUGCAGACACCACCUCAAUUCCAUUCAUUUAGUUGCAAUAUUUACACUCUGGAUGUUAGUAUGCCCGGAGGCGGUCAAGAGUUUGGUGCCAUUGCCGAGGAGGCAACGCUACUAAAUUGAUUUUAAUUUUUGAGUUUUAUAGGAUAAUUUGGAAAUUUAUAAAUUGUAGAUACAAUUUUUUUUAUUGUUACUAACAUCUUUUAUUUUCUUUUUAGUUUCAGUGUAUGACUCGUAGUAGUGGAACAGUUAUAGAGCGAGUCACUGAUCUAGAGAGAAUAAUCUGUAGGAAUCGUCAAUAGCCAUAGCAGAUGCAAAACCAAUCACCUGUUGCAAGCAAUCUACUAUGCGAUAACCCGUUGUUUGAUGAGGUAAACGAACUUAACAUCCAAGACUUACCACCACCACCGCUAUUACCAGCAAACCCUUCGAUGGGAUGAGAAGGGUGAAACCUAAGGGAUUACGCACUACCAAAUAUGGUGAUGGUUCAAGGUAGCAUUACAAGGCAAACCAUUAUGGAAAAUAAUUUUGAAAUAAAAUCGACCAUGAUCUAGAUGAUCCAAACUAAUCUUCAAUUCAGAGGAACCAUGACGGAUGACCCAAAUCAACAUCUAAAACGGGUCCUUCAAUUUUGUGAUGCAUUUAAAUAUAACGGGGUCAUUAAUGAAGCUAUUCAUCUUCAGUUGUUUCCCAUAUCCUUGAUCGAUAUUCGUUUAAGUUAAAGUUAAUGUUAAUUUAGUAUUAGCCUUCCUUGUGUUUGAUCCUUGGAGUACUCACCUACUUCAUUGUAAAAACUAUAUUACAACCUGACUCGUAUACUUGCAGACACUACCUCAAUUCCAUUCAUUUAGUUGCAAUAUUUACACUCUGGAUGUUAGUAUGUCCGGAGGCGGUCAAGUGUUUGGUGCCAUUGCCGAGGAGGCAACGCUACUGAAUUGAUUUUAAUAUUUUAGUUUUAUAUAAUAAUUUGGAAAUUUAUAAAUUGUAGAUACAAUUUUCUUAUUGUUACUAGCAUCUUUUAUUUUCUUUUUAGUUUCAGUGUAUGGCUCGUAGCAGUGGAACAGUUAUAGAGCGAGUCACUGAUCUAAAGAGAAUAAUCUGUAGGAAUCGUCAAUAGCCAUAGCAGAUGCAAAACCAAUCACCUGUACUAAUUAGAUCUAUAUUCAUUUAAGUUCAAGUUAAUUUAGUAUUAGCCUCCCUUGGGUUUGAUCCUUGGAGUACUCACCUACUUCGUUGUAAAAACUAUAUUACAACCUGACUCUUGUACUUGCAGACACCACCACAAUUCCAUUCAUUUAGUUUCAAUAUUUACACUCUGGAUGUUAGUAUGUUCGGAGGCGGUCAAGUGUUUGGAGCCAUUGCCGAGGAGGCAACACUACUAAAUUGAUUUUAAUUUUUGAGUUUAAAAGGAUAAUUUGGAAAUUUAUAAAUUGUAGAUAAAAUUUUUUUAUUGUUACUAACAUCUUUUAUUUUCUUUUUAGUUUCAGUGUAGGACUCGUAGUAGUGGAACAAUUAUAAAGCGAGUCACUGAUCUAGAGAGAAUAAUCUGUAGGAAUCGUCAAUAGCCAUAGCAGUUGCAAAACCAAUCACCUGUUGCAAGCAAUCUACCAUGCGAUAACCCGUUGUUUGAUGAGGUAAACGAAUUUAAUAUCCAAGACUUACCACCACCACCGUAAUUACCAGCAAACCCUUCGAUGGCAUGAGAAGGGCGAAACCUAAGGGAUUACGCACUACCAAAUAUGUUGAUGGUUCAAGGUAGCAUUACAAGGCCAGCCAUUAUGGAAAAUAAUUUUGAAAUAAAAUCGACCAUGAUCUAGAUGAUCCAAACUAAUCUUCAAUUCAGAGGCACCAUGACGGAUGACCCAAAUCAACAUCUAAAACGGGUCCUUCAAUUUUGUGAUGCAUUUAAAUAUAACGGGGUUAUUGAUGAAGCUAUUCAUCUUCGGUUGUUUCCCUUAUCCUUGAUCGAUAUUCGAUUAAGUUAAAGUUAAAGUUAAUUUAGUAUUAGCCUUCCUUGGGUUUGAGCCUUGGAGUACUCACCUACUUCAUUGUAAAAACUAUAUUACAACCUGACUCGUAUACUUGUAGACACCACCUCAAUUCCAUUCAUUUAGUUGCAAUAUUUACACUCUGGAUGUUAGUAUGUCCGGAGGCGGUCAAGUGUUUGGUGCCAUUGCCGAGGAGGCAACGCUACUAAAUUGAUUUUAAUUUUUGAGUUUUAUAGGAUAGUUUGGAAAUUUAUAAAUUGUAGAUACAAUUUUUUUAUUGUUACUAACAUCUUUCAUUUUUUUUUUAGUUUCAGUGUAUGACUCGUAGUAGUGGAACAGUUAUAGUGCGAGUCACUGAUCUUGAGAGAAUAAUCUAUAGGAAUCGUCAAUAGCCAUAGCAGAUGCAAAACGAAUCACCUGUUGCAAGCAAUCUACUAUGCGAUAACCCGUUGUUUGAUGAGGUAAACGAACUUAACAUCCAAGACUUACCACCACCACCGCUAUUACCAGCAAACCCUUCGAUGGCAUGAGAAGAGCGAAACCUAAGGGAUUAUGCACUACCAAAUCUGGUGAUGGUUCAAGGUAGCAUUACAAGGCCAACCAUUAUGGAAAAUAAUUUUGAAAUAAAAUCGACCAUGAUCUAGAUGAUCCAAAAUAAUCUGCAAUUCAGAGGAACCAUGACGGAUGACACAAAUCAACAUCUAAAACGGGGCCUUCAAUUUUGUGAUACAUUCUAAUAUAACGGGGUCAUUGAUGAAGCUAUUCAUCUUCGGUUGUUUCCCUUAUCCUUGAUCGAUAUUCGUUUAAGUUAAAGUUAAAGUUAAUUUAGUAUUAUCCUUCCUUGGGUUUGAUCCUUGGAGUACUCACCUACUUCGUUGUAAAAAGUAUAUUACAACCUGACUCGUAUACUUGCAGACACCACCUCAAUUCCAUUCAUUUAGUUGCAAUAUUUACACUCUGGAUGUUAGUAUGUCCGGAGGCGGUCAAGUGUUUGGUGCCAUUGCCGAGGAGGCAACGCUACUGAAUUGAUUUUAAUUUUUUAGUUUUAUAGGAUAAUUUGGAAAUUUAUAAAUUGUAGAUACAAUUUUUUUAUUGUUACUAACAUCUUUUAUUUUCUUUUUAGUUUCAGUGUAUGGCUCGUAGUAGUGGAAUAGUUAUAGAGCGAGUCACUGAUCUAAAGAGAAUAAUCUGUAGGAAUCGUCAAUAGCCAUAGCAGAUGAAAAAACCAAUCACCUGUACUAAUUAGAUAUAUAUUCGUUUAAGUUCAAGUUAAUUUAGUAUUAGCCUUCCUUGGGUUUGAUCCUUGGAGUACUCACCUACUUCGUUGUAAAAACUAUAUUACAACCUGACUCGUAUACUUGCAGACACCACCUCAAUUCCAUUCAUUAAGUUUCAAUAUUUACACUCUGGAUGUUAGUAUGUCCGGAGGCGGUCAAAUGUUUGGUGCCAUUGCCGAGGAGGCAACGCUACUAAAUUGAUUUUAAUUUUUGAGUUUUAUAGGAUAAUUUGGAAAUUUAUAAAUUGUAGAUACAAUUUUUUUAUUGUUACUAACAUCUUUUAUUUUCUUUUUAGUUUCAGUGUAUGUCUUGCAGUAGUGGAACAAUUAUAGAGUGAGUCACUGAUCUAGAGAGAAUAAUCUGUAGGAAUCGUCAAUAGCCAUAGCAGAUGCAAAACCAAUCACCUGUACUAAUUAGAUCUAUAUUCGUUUAAGUUCAAGUUAAUUUAGUAUUAGCCUCCCUUGGGUUUGAUCCUUGGAGUACUCACCUACUUCGUUGUUAAAACUAUAUUACAACCUGACUCGUAUACUUGCAGACACCACCUCAAUUCCAUUCAUUUAGUUGCAAUAUUUACACUCUGGAUGUUAGUAUGUCCGGAGGCGGUCAAGUGUUUGGUGCCAUUGCCGAGAAGGCAACGCUACUGAAUUGAUUUUAAUUUUUUAGUUUUAUAGGAUAAUUUGGAAAUUUAUAAAUUGCAGAUACAAUUUUUUUAUUGUUACUAACAUCUUUUAUUUUCUUUUUAGUUUCAGUGUAUGUCUUGCAGUAGUGGAACAAUUAUAGAGCGAGUCACUGAUCUAGAGAGAAUAAUCUGUAGGAAUCGUCAAUAGCCAUAGCAGAUGCAGAACCAAUCACCUGUACUAAUUAGAUCUAUAUUCGUUUAAGUUCAAGUUAAUUUAGUAUUAGCCUCCCUUGGGUUUGAUCCUUGUAGUACUCACCUACUUUGUUGUAAAAACUAUAUUACAACCUGACUCGUGUACUUGCAGACACCACCUCAAUUCCAUUCAUUUAGUUUCAAUAUUUACACUCUGGAUGUUAGUAUGUUCGGAGGCGGUCAAGUGUUUGGAGCCAUUGCCGAGGAGGCAACACUACUAAAUUGAUUUUAAUUUUUGAGUUUUAUAGGAUAAUUUGGAAAUUUAUAAAUUGUAGAUACAAUUUUUUUAUUGUUACUAACAUCUUUUAUUUUUUUUUUAGUUUCAGUGUAUGACUCGUAGUAGUGGAACAGUUAUAGAGCGAGUCACUGAUCUAGAGAGAAUAAUCUGUAGGAAUCGUCAAUAGCCAUAGCAGAUGCAAAACCAAUCACCUGUUACAAGCAAUCUACUAUGCGAUAACCCGUUGUUUGAUGAGGUAAACGAACUUAACAUCCAAGACAUACCACCACCACCGCCAUUACCAGCAAACCCUUCGAUGGCAUGAGAAGAGCGAAACCUAAGGGAUUAUGCACUACCAAAUCUGGUGAUGGUUCAAGGUAGCAUUACAAGGCCAACCAUUAUGGAAAAUAAUUUUGAAAUAAAAUCGACCAUGAUCUAGAUGAUCCAAAAUAAUCUGCAAUUCAGAGGAACCAUGACGGAUGACACAAAUCAACAUCUAAAACAGGGCCUUCAAUUUUGUGAUACAUUCUAAUAUAACGGGGUCAUUGAUGAAGCUAUUCAUCUUCGGUUGUUUCCCUUAUCUUUGAUCGAUAUUCGUUUAAGUUAAAGUUAAAGUUAAUUUAGUAUUAGCCUUCUUUGGGUUUGAUCCUUGGAGUACUCACCUACUUCGUUUUAAAAACUAUAUCACAACCUGACUCGUAUACUUGCACACACCACCUCAAUUCCAUUCAUUUAGUUGCAAUAUUUACACUCUGGAUGUUAGUAUGUCUGGAGGCGGUUAAGUGUUUGGUGCCAUUGCCGAGGAGGCAACGCUACUGAAUUGAUUUUAAUUUUUUAGUUUUAUAGGAUAAUUUGGAAAUUUAUAAAUUGUAGAUACAAUUUUCUUAUUGUUACUAACAUCUUUUAUUUUCUUUUUAGUUUCAGUGUAUGGCUCGUAGUAGUGGAAUAGUUAUAGAGCGAGUCACUGAUCUAAAGAGAAUAAUCUGUAGGAAUCGUCAAUAGCCAUAGCAGAUGCAAAACCAAUCACCUGUACUAAUUAGAUCUAUAUUCGUUUAAGUUCAAGUUAAUUUAGUAUUAGCAUUCCUUGGGUUUGAUCCUUGGAGUACUCACCUACUUCGUUGUAAAAACUAUAUUACAACCUGACUCGUGUACUUGCAGACACCACCUCAAUUCCAUUCAUUUAGUUGCAAUAUUUACACUCUAGAUGUUAGUAUGUCCGGAGGCGGUCAAAUGUUUGGUGCCAUUGCCGUGGAGGCAACGCUACUAAAUUGAUUUUAAUUUUUGAGUUUUAUAGGAUAAUUUGGAAUUUAUAAAUUGUAGAUACAAUUUUUUUAUUGUUACUAACACCUUUUAUUUUCUUUUUAGUUUCAGUGUAUGUCUUGCAGUAGUGGAACAAUUAUAGAGCGAGUCACUGAUCUAGAGAGAAUAAUCUGUAGGAAUCGUCAAUAGCCAUAGCAGAUGCAAAACCAAUCACCUGUACUAAUUAGAUCUAUAUUCGUUUAAGUUCAAGUUAAUUUAGUAUUUGCCUUCCUUGGGUUUGAUCCUUGGAGUACUCACCUACUUCGUUGUAAAAACUAUAUUACAACCUGACUCGUGUACUUGCAGACACCACCUCAAUUCCAUUCAUUUAGUUGCAAUAUUUACACUCUAGAUGUUAGUAUGUCUGGAGGCGGUCAAAUGUUUGGUGCCAUUGCCGAGGAGGCAACGCUACUAAAUUGAUUUUAAUUUUUGAGUUUUAUAGGAUAAUUUGGAAAUUUAUAAAUUGUAGAUACAAUUUUUUUAUUGUUACUAACACCUUUUAUUUUCUUUUUAGUUUCAGUGUAUGUCUUGCAGUAGUGGAACAAUUAUAGAGCGAGUCACUGAUCUGGAGAGAAUAAUCUGUAGGAAUCGUCAAUAGCCAUAGCAGAUGCAAAACCAAUCACCUGUACUAAUUAGAUCUAUAUUCGUUUAAGUUCAAGUUAAUUUAGUAUUAUCCCUCCUUGGGUUUGAUCCUUGGAGUACUCACCUACUUCGUUGUAAAAACUAUAUUACAACCUGACUCGUGUACUUGCAGACACCACCUCAAUUCCAUUCAUUUAGUUGCAAUAUUUACACUCUAGAUGUUAGUAUGUCCGGAGGCGGUCAAAUGUUUGGUGCCAUUGCCGUGGAGGCAACGCUACUAAAUUGAUUUUAAUUUUUGAGUUUUAUAGGAUAAUUUGGAAAUUUAUAAAUUGUAGAUACAAUUUUUUUAUUGUUACUAACACCUUUUAUUUUCUUUUUAGUUUCAGUGUAUGUCUUGCAGUAGUGGAACAAUUAUAGAGCGAGUCACUGAUCUAGAGAGAAUAAUCUGUAGGAAUCGUCAAUAGCCAUAGCAGAUGCAAAACCAAUCACCUGUACUAAUUAGAUCUAUAUUCGUUUAAGUUCAAGUUAAUUUAGUAUUAGCCUCCCUUGGGUUUGAUCCUUGGAGUACGCACCUACUUCGUUGUAAAAACUAUAUUACAACCUGACUCGUGUACUUGCAGACACCACCUCAAUUCCAUUCAUUUAGUUGCAAUAUUUACACUCUGGAUGUUAGUAUGUCCGGAGGCGGUCAAGUGUUUGGUGCCAUUGCCGAGGAGGCAACGCUACUAAAUUGAUUUUAAUUUUUGAGUUUUAUAGGAUAAUUUGGAAAUUUAUAAAUUGUAGAUACAAUUUUUUUAUUGUUACUAACAUCUUUUAUUUUCUUUUUAGUUUCAGUGUAUGACUCGUAGUAGUGGAGCAGUUAUAGAGCGAGUCACUGAUCUAGAGAGAAUAAUCUGUAGGAAUCGUCAAUAGCCAUAGCAGAUGCAAAACCAAUCACCUGUUGCAAGCAAUCUACUAUGCGAUAACCCGUUGUUUGAUGAGGUAAACGAACUUAACAUCCAAGACUUACCACCACCACCGCUAUUACCAGCAAACCCUUCGAUGGCAUGAGAAGAGCGAAACCUAAGGGAUUAUGCACUACCAAAUCAGGUGAUGGUUCAAGGUAGCAUUACAAGGCCAACCAUUAUGGAAAAUAAUUUUGAAAUAAAAUCGACCAUGAUCUAGAUGAUCCAAAAUAAUCUGCAAUUCAGGGGAACCAUGACGGAUGACCCAAAUCAACAUCUAAAACGGGUCCUUCAAUUUUCUGAUGCAUUUAAAUAAAACGGGGUCAUUAAUGAAGCUAUUCAUCUUCGGUUGUUUCCCGUAUCCUUGAUCGAUAUUCGUUUAAGUUAAAGUUAAAGUUAAUUUAGUAUUAGCCUUCCUUGGGUUUGAUCCUUGGAGUACUCACCUACUUCGUUGUAAAAACUAUAUUACAACCUGACUCGUAUACUUGCAGACACCACCUCAAUUCCAUUCAUUUAGUUGCAAUAUUUACACUCUGGAUGUUAGUAUGUCCGGAGGCGGUCAAAUGUUUGGUGCCAUUGCCGAGGAGGCAACGCUACUAAAUUGAUUUUAAUUUUUGAUUUUUAUAGGAUAAUUUGGAAAUUUAUAAAUUGUAGAUACAAUUUUUUUAUUGUUACUAACAUCUUUUAUUUUUUUUUAGUUUCAGUGUAUGACUCGUAGUAGUGGAACAGUUAUAGAGCGAGUCACUGAUCUAGAGAGAAUAAUCUGUAGGAAUCGUCAAUAGCCAUAGCAGAUGCAAAACCAAUCACCUGUUACAAGCAAUCUACUAUGCGAUAACCCGUUGUUUGAUGAGGUAAACGAACUUAACAUCCAAGACAUACCACCACCAUCGCCAUUACCAGCAAACCCUUCGAUGGCAUGAGAAGAGCGAAACCUAAGGGAUUAUGCACUACCAAAUCUGGUGAUGGUUCAAGGUAGCAUUACAAGGCCAACCAUUAUGGAAAAUAAUUUUGAAAUAAAAUCGACCAUGAUCUAGAUGAUCCAAAAUAAUCUGCAAUUCAGAGGAACCAUGACGGAUGACACAAAUCAACAUCUAAAACAGGGCCUUCAAUUUUGUGAUACAUUCUAAUAUAACGGGGUCAUUGAUGAAGCUAUUCAUCUUCGGUUGUUUCCCUUAUCUUUGAUCGAUAUUCGUUUAAGUUAAAGUUAAAGUUAAUUUAGUAUUAGCCUUCUUUGGGUUUGAUCCUUGGAGUACUCACCUACUUCGUUUUAAAAACUAUAUCACAACCUGACUCGUAUACUUGCAGACACCACCUCAAUUCCAUUCAUUUAGUUGCAAUAUUUACACUCUGGAUGUUAGUAUGUCUGGAGGCGGUCAAGUGUUUGGUGCCAUUGCCGAGGAGGCAACGCUACUGAAUUGAUUUUAAUUUUUUAGUUUUAUAGGAUAAUUUGGAAAUUUAUAAAUUGUAGAUACAAUUUUCUUAUUGUUACUAACAUCUUUUAUUUUCUUUUUAGUUUCAGUGUAUGGCUCGUAGUAGUGGAACAGUUAUAGAGCGAGUCACUGAUCUAAAGAGAAUAAUCUGUAGGAAUCGUCAAUAGCCAUAGCAGAUGCAAAACCAAUCACCUGUACUAAUUAGAUCUAUAUUCGUUUAAGUUCAAGUUAAUUUAGUAUUAGCAUUCCUUGGGUUUGAUCCUUGGAGUACUCACCUACUUCGUUGUAAAAACUAUAUUACAACCUGACUCGUGUACUUGCAGACACCACCUCAAUUCCAUUCAUUUAGUUGCAAUAUUUACACUCUAGAUGUUAGUAUGUCCGGAGGCGGUCAAAUGUUUGGUGCCAUUGCCGUGGAGGCAACGCUACUAAAUUGAUUUUAAUUUUUGAGUUUUAUAGGAUAAUUUGGAAUUUAUAAAUUGUAGAUACAAUUUUUUUAUUGUUACUAACACCUUUUAUUUUCUUUUUAGUUUCAGUGUAUGUCUUGCAGUAGUGGAACAAUUAUAGAGCGAGUCACUGAUCUAGAGAGAAUAAUCUGUAGGAAUCGUCAAUAGCCAUAGCAGAUGCAAAACCAAUCACCUGUACUAAUUAGAUCUAUAUUCGUUUAAGUUCAAGUUAAUUUAGUAUUAGCCUUCCUUGGGUUUGAUCCUUGGAGUACUCACCUACUUCGUUGUAAAAACUAUAUUACAACCUGACUCGUGUACUUGCAGACACCACCUCAAUUCCAUUCAUUUAGUUGCAAUAUUUACACUCUAGAUGUUAGUAUGUCUGGAGGCGGUCAAAUGUUUGGUGCCAUUGCCGAGGAGGCAACGCUACUAAAUUGAUUUUAAUUUUUGAGUUUUAUAGGAUAAUUUGGAAAUUUAUAAAUUGUAGAUACAAUUUUUUUAUUGUUACUAACACCUUUUAUUUUCUUUUUAGUUUCAGUGUAUGUCUUGCAGUAGUGGAACAAUUAUAGAGCGAGUCACUGAUCUGGAGAGAAUAAUCUGUAGGAAUCGUCAAUAGCCAUAGCAGAUGCAAAACCAAUCACCUGUACUAAUUAGAUCUAUAUUCGUUUAAGUUCAAGUUAAUUUAGUAUUAUCCCUCCUUGGGUUUGAUCCUUGGAGUACUCACCUACUUCGUUGUAAAAACUAUAUUACAACCUGACUCGUGUACUUGCAGACACCACCUCAAUUCCAUUCAUUUAGUUGCAAUAUUUACACUCUAGAUGUUAGUAUGUCCGGAGGCGGUCAAAUGUUUGGUGCCAUUGCCGUGGAGGCAACGCUACUAAAUUGAUUUUAAUUUUUGAGUUUUAUAGGAUAAUUUGGAAAUUUAUAAAUUGUAGAUACAAUUUUUUUAUUGUUACUAACACCUUUUAUUUUCUUUUUAGUUUCAGUGUAUGUCUUGCAGUAGUGGAACAAUUAUAGAGCGAGUCACUGAUCUAGAGAGAAUAAUCUGUAGGAAUCGUCAAUAGCCAUAGCAGAUGCAAAACCAAUCACCUGUACUAAUUAGAUCUAUAUUCGUUUAAGUUCAAGUUAAUUUAGUAUUAGCCUCCCUUGGGUUUGAUCCUUGGAGUACGCACCUACUUCGUUGUAAAAACUAUAUUACAACCUGACUCGUGUACUUGCAGACACCACCUCAAUUCCAUUCAUUUAGUUGCAAUAUUUACACUCUGGAUGUUAGUAUGUCCGGAGGCGGUCAAGUGUUUGGUGCCAUUGCCGAGGAGGCAACGCUACUAAAUUGAUUUUAAUUUUUGAGUUUUAUAGGAUAAUUUGGAAAUUUAUAAAUUGUAGAUACAAUUUUUUUAUUGUUACUAACAUCUUUUAUUUUCUUUUUAGUUUCAGUGUAUGACUCGUAGUAGUGGAGCAGUUAUAGAGCGAGUCACUGAUCUAGAGAGAAUAAUCUGUAGGAAUCGUCAAUAGCCAUAGCAGAUGCAAAACCAAUCACCUGUUGCAAGCAAUCUACUAUGCGAUAACCCGUUGUUUGAUGAGGUAAACGAACUUAACAUCCAAGACUUACCACCACCACCGCUAUUACCAGCAAACCCUUCGAUGGCAUGAGAAGAGCGAAACCUAAGGGAUUAUGCACUACCAAAUCAGGUGAUGGUUCAAGGUAGCAUUACAAGGCCAACCAUUAUGGAAAAUAAUUUUGAAAUAAAAUCGACCAUGAUCUAGAUGAUCCAAAAUAAUCUGCAAUUCAGGGGAACCAUGACGGAUGACCCAAAUCAACAUCUAAAACGGGUCCUUCAAUUUUCUGAUGCAUUUAAAUAAAACGGGGUCAUUAAUGAAGCUAUUCAUCUUCGGUUGUUUCCCGUAUCCUUGAUCGAUAUUCGUUUAAGUUAAAGUUAAAGUUAAUUUAGUAUUAGCCUUCCUUGGGUUUGAUCCUUGGAGUACUCACCUACUUCGUUGUAAAAACUAUAUUACAACCUGACUCGUAUACUUGCAGACACCACCUCAAUUCCAUUCAUUUAGUUGCAAUAUUUACACUCUGGAUGUUAGUAUGUCCGGAGGCGGUCAAAUGUUUGGUGCCAUUGCCGAGGAGGCAACGCUACUAAAUUGAUUUUAAUUUUUGAUUUUUAUAGGAUAAUUUGGAAAUUUAUAAAUUGUAGAUACAAUUUUUUUAUUGUUACUAACAUCUUUUAUUUUCUUUUUAGUUUCAGUGUAUGUCUUGCAGUAGUGGAACAAUUAUAGAGUGAGUCACUGAUCUAGAGAGAAUAAUCUGUAGGAAUCGUCAAUAGCCAUAGCAGAUGCAAAACCAAUCACCUGUACUAAUUAGAUCUAUAUUCGUGUAAGUUCAAGUUAAUUUAGUAUUGGCCUCCCUUGGGUUUGAUCCUUGGAGUACUCACCUACUUCGUUGUAAAAACUAUAUUACAACCUGAGUCGUAUACUUGCAGACACCACCUCAAUUCCAUUCAUUUAGUUGCAAUAUUUACACUCUGGAUGUUAGUAUGUCCGGAGGCGGUCAAGUGUUUGGUGCCAUUGCCGAGGAGGCAACGCUACUAAAUUGAUUUUAAUUUUUGAGUUUUAUAGGAUAAUUUGGAAAUUUAUAAAUUGUAGAUACAAUUUUUUUAUUGUUACUAAAAUCUUUUAUUUUCUUUUUAGUUUCAGUGUAUGUCUUGUAGUAGUGGAACAGUUAUAGAGCGGGUCACUGAUCUAGAGAGAAUAAUCUCUAGGAAUCGUCAAUAGCCAUAGCAGAUGCAAAACCAAUCACCUGUACUAAUUAGAUCUAUAUUCGUUUAAGUUAAAGUUAAUUUAGUAUUAGCCUUCCUUGGGUUUGUUCCUUGGAGUACUCACCUACUUCGUUGUAAAAACUAUAUUACAACCUGACUCGUGUACUUGCAGACACCACCUCAAUUCCAUUCAUUUAGUUGCAAUAUUUACACUCUGGAUGUUAGUAUGUCCGGAGGCGGUCAAGUGUUUGGAGCCAUUGCCGAGGAGAGAACGCUACUAAAUUGAUUUUAAUUUUUGAGUUUUAUAGGAUAAUUUGGAAAUUUAUAAAUUGUAGAUACAAUUUUUUUAUUGUUACUAACAUCUUUUAUUUUCUUUUUAGUUUCAGUGUAGGACUCGUAGUAGUGGAACAAUUAUAGAGCGAGUCACUGAUCUGGAGAGAAUAAUCUGUAGGAAUCGUCAAUAGCCAUAGCAGAUGCAAAACCAAUCACCUGUUGCAAGCAAUCUACCAUGCGAUAACUCAUUGUUAGAUGAGGUAAACUAACUUAACAUCCAAGACUUACCACCACCACCGCAAUUACCAGCAAACCCUUCGAUGGCAUGAGAAGAGCGAAACCUAAGGGAUUACGCACUACCAAAUCUGGUGAUGGUUCAAGGUAGCAUUACAAGGCCAACCAUUAUGGAAAAUAAUUUUGAAAUAAAAUCGACCAUGAUCUAGAUGAUCCAAAAUAAUCUGCAAUUCAGAGGAACCAUGACGGAUGACACAAAUCAACAUCUAAAACGGGGCCUUCAAUUUUGUGAUGCAUUUAAAUAUAACGGGGUCAUUGAUGAAGCUAUUCAUCUUCGGUUGUUUCCCUUAUCCUUGAUCGAUAUUCGUUUAAGUUAAAGUUAAAGUUAAUUUAGUAUUAGCCUUCCUUGGGUUUGAUCCUUGGAGUACUCACCUACUUCGUUGUAAAAACUAUAUUACAGCCUGACUCGUAUACUUGCAGACACCACCUCAAUUCCAUUCAUUUAGUUGCAAUAUUUACACUCUGGAUGUUAGUAUGUCCGGAGGCGGUCAAGUGUUUGGUGCCAUUGCCGAGGAGGCAACGCUACUGAAUUGAUUUUAAUUUUUUAGUUUUAUAGGAUAAUUUGGAAAUUUAUAAAUUGUAGAUACAAUUUUUUUAUUGUUACUAACAUCUUUUAUUUUCUUUUUAGUUUCAGUGUAUGGCUCGUAGUAGUGGAACAGUUAUAGAGCGAGUCACUGAUCUAAAGAGAAUAAUCUGUAGGAAUCGUCAAUAGCCAUAGCAGAUGCAAAACCAAUCUCCUGUACUAAUUAGAUAUAUAUUCGUUUAUGUUCAAGUUAAUUUAGUAUUAGCCUUCCUUGGGUUUGAUCCUUGGAUUACUCACCUACUUCGUUGUAAAAACUAUAUUACAACCUGACUAGUAUACUUGCAGACACCACCUCAAUUCCAUUCAUUUAGUUGCAAUAUUUACACUCUGGAUGUUAGUAUGUCCGGAGGCGGUCAAAUGUUUGGUGCCAUUGCCCUGGUGGCAACGCUACUAAAUUGAUUUUAAUUUUUGAUUUUUAUAGGAUAAUUUGGAAAAUUAUAAAUUGUAGAUACAAUUUUUUUAUUGUUACUAACAUCUUUUAUUUUCUUUUUAGUUUCAGUGUAUGUCUUGCAGUAGUGGAACAAUUAUAGAGUGAGUCACUGAUCUAGAGAGAAUAAUCUGUAGGAAUCGUCAAUAGCCAUAGCAGAUGCAAAACCAAUCACCUGUACUAAUUAGAUCUAUAUUCGUUUAAGUUCAAGUUAAUUUAGUAUUGGCCUCCCUUGGGUUUGAUCCUUGGAGUACUCACCUACUUCGUUGUAAAAACUAUAUUACAACCUGACUCGUAUACUUGCAGACACCACCUCAAUUCCAUUCAUUUAGUUGCAAUAUUUACACUCUGGAUGUUAGUAUGUCCGGAGGCGGUCAAGUGUUUGGUGCCAUUGCCGAGGAGGCAACGCUACUAAAUUGAUUUUAAUUUUUGAGUUUUAUAGGAUAAUUUGGAAAUUUAUAAAUUGUAGAUACAAUUUUUUUAUUGUUACUAACAUCUUUUAUUUUCUUUUUAGUUUCAGUGUAUGUCUUGUAGUAGUGGAACAGUUAUAGAGCGAGUCACUGAUCUAGAGAGAAUAAUCUCUAGGAAUCGUCAAUAGCCAUAGCAGAUGCAAAACGAAUCACUUGUACUAAUUAGAUCUAUAUUCGUUUAAGUUAAAGUUAAUUUAGUAUUAGCGCAAGCAAUCUACCAUGCGAUAACUCGUUAUUAGAUGAGGUAAACUAACUUAACAUCCAAGACUUACCACCACCACCGCAAUUACCAGCAAACCCUUCGAUGGCAUGAGAAGAGCGAAACCUAAGGGAUUACGCACUACCAAAUCUGGUGAUGGUUCAAGGUAGCAUUACAAGGCCAACCAUUAUGGAAAAUAAUUUUGAAAUAAAAUCGACCAUGAUCUAGAUGAUCCAAAAUAAUUUGCAAUUCAGAGGCACCAUGACGGAUGACCCAAAUCAACAUCUAAAAUGGGUCCUUCAAUUUUGUGAUACAUUUAAAUAUAACGGGGUCAUUGAUGAAGCUAUUCAUCUUUGGUUGUUUCCCUUUUCCUUGAUCAAUAAAAUUUUUUCUUGGUUAGAUUCGUAGGCUUUAGGAUCAAUCACGACAGGGAACGAACUUGCGAAAAAAUUUCUACAAAAGUUCUUUCCUAUUAGCAAAACUGUCCUACUAAGAAGAGAGAUCGCCACAUUCAAAAUAUUAGAAGGAGAAAGCUUUCACGAAGCUUAGGAACGCUUUAAAAUUUUGAUACAAAGAUGCCUACAUCAUGGUCUACCUGAAUGGUUAAAGCUGCAGAUAUUUUACAAUGAGUUGGAUGCACACACACGCUCAAGACUUGGUGGAGCCACAUGAGUAGCCUUAAUGAAUAAAAUAGAUGAAGACACGUAUAACCAGAUAGAAAACAUGGCGAUGGAUUCCUGCUAGUGGCUAAAUGAAAGAUAUACUUAUGACCAGAUACCAUCUAUGGUAAAAGUUGUCCAAGAGGAUGACUAAUAUCAAAAGAUUUUUGACAGACUCAACUAUAUAAAGUCCUCAUCUAGUAUGUCUUCAAUAUUUGGUAGAGAUAAACCUCAUAGCCAUUAUCUAAAUAAUCCAACCUAGGACGUGAACUAUAUUGAAAAUAGGGUCGAAACCCUUAUUCAAAUACUUAUAACCCCGAUGGAGAGAUCACCCAAACUUGAGAUGGGGUGGAAACCAGGGAGAAUGUAAUAGUUCUAACCUUGUUAAAAAUACUAAUUAUCAACCUAUAUAUCUAUAGAAGCCUCAAGAACGGGCUAGCUUGAAUGACCAUACUGUAUGUGGUCAAUGCCUGGAUCGAAUUGAGGGGGAGAUGCAAUCAAUGAAGAUAGAAGUAAAACUAGUGCAAUAUGAGUACACCAAUAAAAAAAACAUUGACCAAGCUUGAAGAUCAAAUGAGUGAAUUAAUGAGCAUGAUGGGAGACAUCAAAAAGUAAAUUGGCACCGACAUCCCAAGCAACACUGAGAAUAAUCUUAAGAGGGAAGGGAAAUAACACGUGAAAGUAAUUAUGCUCUAAUCGGGAAAAAUACUGAGUAGCCUAGAGAAUCCAAGUCAAAAGGAAAAUGAAGGGGGUAUCGAUGAUCUUCAAAAGGAAAGCCAUCAAGGAGCUAAUAAUGAGCCUGAACCAGAGAACGUAGCUGAGUCGGAAGCUCAGCCAACCAAAGAACACGAACUAACCAAGGUACCAUUCCUCUCAAGGUUAGAAGAUAAGCAAAAACAAGAUGACACAGAGUUUGUAAGUUUUCUAAACUUAUUCAAAUCUCUAAAUUUUAAUUUGUCCCUAAUUGAAUUGAUUGAAAAAGUUCCUAAAUAUGCUAAGCAUCUAAAAAAAUUAUGUCUAAGCGUAGGAAAAUUAAAAUAGGAGAGCAGGUUAACAUAGACGCAUCUUGUAGUGCGAUAAUAUCUAAACAUAUUCCGCCAAAACUAAAAGACCCAAGGAGUUUUACGAUUCUUGUAGAGAUAGGGGACAUUCACUUUAGUAAAGCUUUAUUUGAUUUAGGAGCUAGCAUCAAUUUAUGACCUUAUCAAUAUAUGAAAAACUCGGGUCAUGAGAACUUAAAAAUACACAAAUAACACUACAAUUAGCCAACAGGUCUUUAGUACAACCAGAGGGAGUACUCGAAUAUGUGUUGGUUAAGGUGCGUAACUUCAUCAUCCUAGCUGAUUUCGAUAUUUUAAAUUUUAAAGAGGACCGUGCCCAUUCUGUUGGGUAGACCGCUUUUAGAUACAUCGAGAUCCACCAUUGACUUAAAAAAUAAUGAGUUAAUAAUGAUGAUUAAUUGUGAGACUGAAAUUUUCAAAUGUGGUCACCAAAAUAAUGAGGUAAAUAGGGAAAGAUUAGGAAAGAAAUAUUUUGAAGUAUCUAAAAAAAUCCCUAACUACCUUGAGCCAGAAAAUGUGUUUUCUAUUAUAAAUGCAGGUUGAAAGUACAAAUUUAAAGAGUGUGAAAAACAUAGCAAGGUGGAGUGGCACGACGGAUGCUGGAUGAAUACCGAUAGAACAUGAACCAAAUAUGCAUCCAUAUAUAACUUGACGGAGCUGACGAAUGAAUCCGGCAGCAAAGCCUCACAUCUCUAGAACUGAUAUAAAUUUUGUAUAUUAUUGUACUUUAUUAGACCAACAAUUAGUUUAGAAUUUAAUUUGAUUCAAAUUAUCUUUAAUCUUAAACUGAGCACUUUGAAAAUUGAGAAGAGAGGUCAAAAUAGAUUCAGUGUUGUAACACGAAACCUUCAUGUCGCAACACUGAAACAAGAUUCAAUAAAUCGAGCAGUUCAGCUUGAUGUCGCAACACAACACCUCUGUGUCACAACAAAGAAGUCAGUAUAAGGCAAGAUAAAAAAUUUCAAAAAGCGUCGCAAUAUCGAACCCCGAUGCCACGACUUUGGCAUCUUGCCAGAGGUGUCGCGACAUGAAACCCCUAUGUAGCGACAUCGCUACAAUUUUUUGCAGGGUCAAACUUGACCCAUUACGCGACCUAGUAGCUUAAACUUAGUUUUAACCUAGAAUUUAACCUUAAAAUACCCUGAUUUUAAAACCUAAAAACACUUUUUGAAACCCUAAACCUCCUCUAAUUCCUAAACCUUUCAAAAACUUAAAAAUCUCUUAAACCCUAAAACCCUCUAUUCAGUAAUUUUUAUAUCUCUUCUUCUUUUUGUGAUUUCAUUUGGGUGCAAGAAAUAAAAAUAAAGUACCGACAAGACAAUCGCAACAAAAUCCCUUCGAGGAUUUUGAAAUUCUUUAUUAGGUUCAAGGUUCCAAACCAUAUUUUUACUGUUCUAUUGAAUUGUUCCAAUUUAUUGUGAAAUAAAUUGCUUGAUAGUAGUUGUCUAGUUAGGAAAUUUAUUGAAAAUGCCUCCAAGAAAAACUAGGAGAACUAACAAACUUGAAUAAUCAACGGUUACAAAGCCCUCUAAUUUCCUAAAUCAAAACGUUGAAAAAUAUUUUCUAGAACUUCGAGGGAAGACAUUUCUUCAAGAAUGGGAGUUUGAAUUAUCGAUGAGUCUAUGUCAGGAAAUAAAACCUCUGAUCUGAUAUCAUAGAUAGGAAAAAUUUUGCGUAAUCCCUAAAGACUCUGUUGUGGUUCUGGUAGUGCAAGAAUUUAAUGCAUAUUUAAAGGACCAAUAUUCUAGGAGACCAGAGGGUGCCACAUGGGAAACGAUCUCUGUACGUAGGAAGAAGGUAAGAGUCACCCUCGACCUACUUGUGAAUUUUAUAACGCUCUAUAUUACGAAAAUGAUUUUGUGGAAGAAAAUGAUUUAGAAUAUUUUAAAUAUAUAAAUAUGGAUAAUGCUAUAAAUCACUUAAUAUAGGGUAGGGGUGAAUGUAAAUGUUGCCUCGGUACUGAGAUUCCCACAUCCUUUAAUUAGGAAAUAAUGUUUCCUAUUGCAAAAAUAUGGAUACAGUUCUUAUGCACUCGAAUUGCUCGUGCACUAAAUGUCUUUAAUGUCAAUACCUUUCGAGCAGUUUUCUUGUAUGUUGUUUUGUAGAAGAAACAAGUGUUUAUUGGGACAUGGAUCUAUCAUUGCAUGAAACGAUGCAUUAGUGGUAAAAAGUCAGGGUUUUCUUCCCUAAUUAGUGACAACCUUGUGCAAGAGAGUCGACGUUCCAAUGACGACCAUUGAACAAUUUAUGAAUCCAUCCAGAAGUAUUAUAGGAGACACCUUUUACAUGCAGUACACAAAGCUUCAACAAAACCAGAUAAGGGAUUGGAACAAAAGAGAAGAUGGAUGUCCUGGCUUUGCUUAAAUGGUAAGAAAAAUUGACAUCUCAAUAAUAAAUUAGCGAGAGUAGCAAUUCAAAAUUGGAUUAGAUGAUAAAAUGGAUGCAAGAGACAAACCUAGUUUUUCAAGAAUUUGCGUGGCAGAAUAACAUGAGAGUACCAAACUACCCAUUGGAUAUGUUCGGCCCAAAGCACCCCAAGCCGGAAGGAAAUGAGGAAAGGGAAGAAAGUAAGGAUGAGGAAGGAGAAGAGGAAGGAAAUGAGAUGGAUUUUAGGAGGAGAAUGAUUGAACUCAAAACUUUUAAUUUCAUUUUUUUGGAUUGUAAUUAAAUUUGGAUAAUUUUUAGUUUAUUGUUUUAGGAGUAGGAUUAACAAUAGAUUUUUUUAUACUUGUUUUCUUUUUUGUUUCAAGUUUUCUUUGUAGGAACCCCACAUGAAAGAAGCACGACAAUUUCGAGCUUUUAAUGAACGAGGAAGGAAGCAACCCACCAUUAGACUACAAUAAUGUCACGAUCAAUCAAGUAACUUCUUUCCUUAUCAAUUCAGGGUUGCACAUUAGGGACAAUGUGCUAUCUAAAGUGUAAAGAAUAACAUAGGAAAUUUGUUUUUGAGUUUGAUGCUUUUCUUUUAAUUUUUCUUGUCAAAGUGUGCUUUAGCUUGUCAAAAUACAAGUGAUUGGUUAGGAGCAUGGACAUAAGUUGAUUGUGUUUACAAUAAAUUAGGCAUGAUAGUGGAUGAUUUUAAAAUUUCAAUUAUUAGACUACUAAGUUCUAUAUAUUACACUGUAAAUAGGGAUUGAGUAAUUGAAUAUACCAAAUUAUAUAGAAAAUACAAGAAAAUGAGCAUGUUAGUAUGUAUGAUAAAUAGUUGAAAUUUUGAUUGCUUGAUUGAUUAAAUUUAUGAAUAUUGAGAUAUUUAGGAUGAGCUAAGGCAUUCUUUGGUAUAAAUUCAGAGCCAAAAAACUAACCAUGUUUAUCAAUCCUUAGUACCUAUGCUGAGUUAGUAAACACUUCUUCAUGAACCUUAAUGCAAAACCUGAGCAAAAAGUAUUAAUUUGUAUUUACUCAUUUUAUUUGGUCUUGAAAUGCACGAAUUUAGACAUCCAAGCAUACGUAUUAAGGGUUAAGUAGAUAUAUCACGGUGGAUUUUGUAAAAACAGAGUGAAAUAGGAAAAACAAAUAUGAUAUAGUGACUAUAGGUUAGCCUAUAUGUGUGAAACAAAAGAAAAAAUUAGAAAGAAAAUCAUUACGAGUAGAAAAAAGUAUGUGAAAAACAAAAGCAUUUUGAGUGAGAUGUAUUGAAAAGGAUCAAAGGUGACAAAGUAACAAAAGUAGAAAAUCUCAAUCAUUAGUGCAUAAAAACUUGUGAGCUAGUUCUAGUGCUAUUAUGUUGUAACUUCCUAUGUGGAGAAAUAAGGAAGGUGAGAGAAGGAGAAAUAAGGUGAAAAAUGGGAAAAGGUUACUAAAGGAGGAGAAUAGGGAACAAUAUGAUGUCCCAAACUACUUUCGUGCUUGAAACUAUUUUGAUGCUUCCUGUUCUUGAAUUCCAUACCUACCCUAAGCCUCAGAAUGUUACAAGCCAAAAAUCUCUAUGUGACCUAGGUAAACCUAUUCAUGAAUUGACAUUGUAUUAAAUAAUUUGAAUAACGACUGUUUGUAUUUUGCUAGGAUAAUCAAAUUACUUGUAUGAUUUAUUGAUGGAUCCUUAUAUUUGAGGACCUUAUUGUUUGCAUACUUUGUAAUAUACUGAACUUAGGUGUUUGAUAUUGAAAGUGGUAAGUCCUUUACAUAUCGUGCCAGGAUUAUGUGUAGAUAUGAAUAUGCCUAAUUAUGUAAUCCAAAACCAAUCUUUGUAUCAUUUUUAGUUUUCCUUACUUGAGGACAAACGAUGAUUUAAGUGUUGGGGAGUUUGAUCUACUGUAAUUCGGUGUAGCAGAUUAAACUAGUUUUCAUGCUUAAGGAGCUUGAAGGUGAACAACUUUAUUAUGUUUUUAUUUAGUUUUUCUAUCUUAGCUUUAAAUUCAAUAAAAAAGUGCAUUUUGAGUCAUUUUAUGACAUUAGGGGCUGAAAGAGUCCUAAGGGUGGGCUAAUGUACUUAGUGAGUGUGUACUGUAGGACAUCAUUCAAAGGCAUAAUAGUUCAAGGUUGUUCGUCGUGCUACAGCAGGGGAAGUCUAAUGUCACAACAUAGGGAGCAGAAUACAAGAUUUCCAAUACUACCAUCGGUGUAGUGACACAACCAGAGUAUGUCGUGACACGUCCCUGAAGCCAAACCUAAAGCCCAAAGUAUACUGCCUUUAGUGUCUCAACACUAGCUCUGUUUGGGAGAAAUUACAAGUGAAGGCUGUUUUGGUCCAUACAACAUAUUUUUAUGUAAAAAUGGCAGUCAACCUACGGUAAGGAUGACGACCAACCCUAACUCUAUAAAUAGGCUAUUAGGCACUUGUUUAGGGAAAAAAUUCAUGGUUCAGAAUUUUCUCUGUAAUUAGUUUUCAGUUUUUCUUUCUUUUAGGCUUUAGAUUUAUUUUCAGUUAUUUUUGUUCGUGUUCUUCAAAGAAUCUAAUUUGUAGAUUCGACCAAACUCUUGUGGAUUUUGUGCUUCAUCAAUCAAUACAGAUUCAAGAUUCUUCUUAAACUAUAUUCUUGAUCUGUUAUUAAUGUUUAUUUAUUUUAUCAAGUAUAUGUUGUUUAUUGAUUUCAUGGGGAACUAACCCUUUUAUGGGAGGUUAGUGCGUGGAAGUGAGAUUAACUAAUUAUUAUAUAGGGUUUUCUUAGUGGGUUAGAUAUUUGGGAGAAGAAGAACUUAAACCCUGAGCCUGACUGUAACACCCCUAACCAAUAUUCGUCUCCAAAAUAGGGUUACAGAGCAUUACCGAAAGUUUACAUAUCAAACAAUCAAUUAUUCAAAAGAUUCAAAUCAUAUCAGAAAUUAUUGCGAAAUCAAUCAAUCAAUCUCAUACAUAUUGUCCCUUAUACAAUCCUUCGAGGCCCUAAAAACACUUUAGAAAUUAAUCAGGACUAAAUCGGGCACAUGUAGAAUUUUUGGGAAAAAGUUGAAAAUUUUCCAUACUGCAGGGGUCACACGGCCUUGUGGCCAAGCCGUGUGACUCACACGGCUGAGAGACACUCCCGUGUCUUAAGCUGUGUGGACAUUCGAAGUAGGGACACAUGGCCGUGUCCUAACCAGUGUAACUCUCUAGCUUGGGUCACACGGCCAAGCCACACGCCCGUGUGUCGGGCCGUGUAGCUCUCGAGAAAUUACACCAUGAGUAUUUCACAUUUUCCAAUUUAAUCCCUAAUUGACAUUUUCAACAAAAUUCACUUUACAAAAGUUGUUUAUCUAACUACAAAAGUUCAUUUUUUCCCAUUAAACAUCAAAACAACAUGUAUUCAUUCAUGGAAAAACCCUAGACCUUUAAUAGUUUUGCAAACUAGUCCCUGAGCUAGCUAGAUUAAGUUACAACGACUCUAAAAACAUAGAAAUCAUUACAAACGAGACGAAAAAUCAUACCAUGCAAGCUAUCAGAGAUGGCCGAAUGUUAAAGCUUAUUCAAUGGCUUUUCUUAAGCCUAAUUUCAGUUCAAGAUGAAAAUAGAAAGAUGAUGAUGACCUUUGUUUUUUUAAUUAUUUUACUAACAUGUAUUUAUUAAUUUACUAAAAUAACCUUAUAAUUAAACCUUUAAAAUUUCAUUUUUAAUGGCCAUAAUUGUCCACUAAAAAUAUAAAUGGUCUAGUUACAACAUAAACCAUUUAAACAUAUAAUUUCAUAGCUAUUAAAUCAUUUUAGCUUAUAGAACUGACGUUUUGCAACUUUUGCAAAUUAGUCCUUUUUACCGAAUUAAGCAUGCAAAUGGUAAAAUUUCUUAACGAAAUUUUUAUACAAUAAUACUAGCAUGUUGUAGACAUUAAAAUAAUAAUAAAGUAAAUAUUUUCACGUUGUAUUUGUGAUCUCGAAACCACUAUUCUAAUUUCACUAAAAACAGGCUGUUACAACUAUCCCCCUAAAGGAAUUUUCAUCCUCGAAAAUCUUACCAGAAAAGAGGUUCGGAUAUUGUUUUCUCAUAGCUUCUUUCGGUUCCCAGGUGGCCUCCUCUAUACUGUAUCGUUGCCAAAGAACCUUUACGAAAGCUACUUUUUAGUUAUCAAUUCUUUAAUCUCUCGAGCUAAGAUUCUGAUCGGUUCUUCACUAUACAACAAAUCAGGCUAAAUCUAAUAUCUACUGGUGAAAUAACAUGCGAAGGGUUUGAUCGAUAUUGUCGUAACAUUGAUACGUGAAACACAUUAUGAAUCUUUUCUAAAUCCGACGGAAAAGUUAAAUCAUAAGCUUCUGGAUCGAUUAUUUCAAUAAUCUCAUACGACCUGAUAAAUCACAGACUUAACUUUUCUUUACGAUCGAAAUAAAGAACUUUCUUCUAAGGCGAUACUUUCAAGAACACUUUACCGCCGACUUGAAAUUUAAAUUCUUUACAUUUUAAAUCCUCAUUUAAUCGAUCUGAAGUUGCUUUCAAACUAUCACAGAUUACUUUAAAUUUUUCUUCCGUCUCUCGAAUCAAAUCAACCCAGUGAAUCUUUUUCUCAGUGAGCUUAGUCCAAUACAAUGAAGUUCAACACUUACGACCAUACAAAGCUUCUUAUGGUGCCAUCUUUAUGCUUGAUUGAUAAUUGUUAUUGUAUGCAAAUUCAAUUAGCAAUAAAUAUUUUUCCCAAUUACCUUCCAAUUCUAACACAGAACAUUGAAACAUAUCAUUGAGUAUCUGAAUUACUCGCUCGGACUGAGCAUCGGUCUGGGAUAAAAUGAAAUGCUAAAAUGUAAACACGUACCUAGAGCCUUCUGUAACUUGCUCUAGAAUCGUGAAGUAAAACACAUAUCUUUUUUUGAAAUAAUGAAAACUAGCACCUCGUGCAAUCUGAUAAUCUCAGCAACAUAUAGUUCGACUAAUCUCUCAAGAGAAUGAUCUGUAGAAUCGAAAUAAAAUGUGCAGACUUCAUCAGACAGUCAACAACAACCCAAAUUGCAUCUUUCUUUCUCAGAGAUAAGGGUAAUCCAGAUACAAAAUCUAUCGUGACUAGCUCCCAUUUCCAUUCCAGUAUCAUCACAGGCUGUAACAAACUAGAAGGUACCUAGUGUUCAGCGUUAACUUGCUGACAGAUUAAACAUCUCAAUACAAAGUUAGAAAUCUCUCAUUUUAUACCCAGCCACCAGUACAUUAGUUUCAAAUAACUGUACAUCUUAUUGAUACUAGGAUGAACAGACAAGUUAACACUAUGAGCUUCAUGCAAAAUCUUCUGAGCGAUCUCUGAAUUCCUCGGUACGCAAAUUCUACCUUUGAAAAGUAAAUAAUCAUCGGAUCCAAUCUGAAAAUAUUAAUCAGGAGUUGACUCAAUCUGUUUCGAUUUAGUUAAUAACACAUCAUCACAUUUCUGAGCCUCACAAAACUAUUGUAAAAACAUCGAUGUAGCUUUCAACUCAGGUAAAAUCGAACCAUCAUCGGACAACAUUAAUGGCAUAUUCAAUACUGGCAAAGCAAAUAAAAAAUUUCUACUCAGAGCAUCAGCAACUACAUUCGCUUUACUCGGAUGAUAAUCAAUGAUCAAGUCAUAGUUUUCAAUAGCUCGAGCCACCUGCGUUGUCUUAGGUUCAAAUCUCUUUGCGACAGUAAAUACUUCAAACUUUUAUGAUCUGGAAAGAUGUGACAUUUUUCGCCAUAGAAAUGGUGUUGCCAAAUCUUCAACGCAAACACAAUAGCUGCCAAUUCUAAAUCGUACGUCGGAUAAUUCUUUUCGUACGGCUUUAACUGUCUAGAAGCAUAAGCUAUCACUUUGCCUUCCUGCAUCAAAACACAGCCUAAACCUUUAAAAGAUGCACUGCUGAAAAUCACAAAUUCUUUACCUGAUUCAGGUUGAACUAACACCGGUGCCUCGAUCAACAAUGAUUUUAACUGAUUGAAACUUGUCUGGCAUUUCUCAGACCACUCAAAUUUCAUAUCUUUUUGCAAUAAUCUCUUCAUUAGCGUAGCAAUCAUUGAGAAGUCCUUGACGAAUUUUCUGUAAUACCCGACUAAUCCUAGAAAACUUCUAACUCCAGACGCGUUUCUUGGAGGUUUUUAGUCAACAAUAGUUGAAAUUUUUCUCGGAUCGACUCUGAUGCACUCAAUUGAUACAAUAUAUCCCAGAAAACUGACUUUCCGAAGCCGAAAUUCACAUUUGCUAAACUUGGCAAAUAACUGUUUUUCACACAAGGUUUGUAAUACAAUUCUCAAAUGCUCAGCAUGCUCAAUCUCAUCUCUAGAGUAAAUCAAGAUAUUACAAAAAUUCAAAAUGUUUGUACCUGGUCGUGAAUACAGUUUUCGACAUAGCAAAGUCUUUAACUCGCAGCUGAUGAUAACCAGAACGAAGAUCAAUUUUCGAAAAUACUGUUGCACCUUUCAAUUGAUAAAAUAGAUUAUCAAUUCGCGGUAAUGUAUACUUAUUCUUGAUCGUAACUUUCUUGAGCUGGCGGUAGUCAAUACAUAAUCUCAUUGAUCUGUCGUUUUUUUUAACGAAUAAAACAGGUGCACCCUAAGGUGAAAAACUAGGUCAAGCAAAACCCUUAUCUGGCAACUCUUGCAACUACACUUUCAACUCUUUCAACUCAGUAGGAGCCAUUUUGUAAGGAGCUAUUGAUAUCGGUGAGGUUCCUGGUACUAACUCAAUGGAAAAUUCAAUUUCUCUAAUCGGUGAUAACUCGGGUAACUCCUCUGGAAACAUAUCUAGAUACUUGCAUACCACUAGAACCGAUUCUAUCUUCAACUUAGAAACUCUAGAACCAAAUACAUAUGCAAGGUAUGCAUCACAGCCUUCUCUUAGGCAUCUUUGUGUUGAUAUAGCCAAAAUAAUAAUAGGCAACCCACUCAAACUAUUCGAUUCAAGCUGAAGCUUUUCACCGUUCUGACACUUUAAUACAAUAAGCUUUCGUCUACAGUUCACAAUAUCAUCAUGCAGAGUUAGCCAAUCAAUGCCAAAAAUCACCUCAAACUCAUCAAAUGGUAAUAGCAUCAAAUUAGCCAGAAAUUUAUAACCUCGAAUCAUCAAAGGACAAUUCUUGCAAACCACAAAUUUAGUGGACUCAAUAGGUAAAUUCUUACUUGAUACUACAUUCGUGCAUAUAUACGAAUGGGUUGAUCCCGGAUCAAUCAAAGCAGUAACAUCAAUAUCAAAGAUAGAAAAAGUAUCAGUAAUAAAUCUGACGCUGAAGCUUCCUCUCGUGCACAGAUAGCGUAAGCUCUAGUUGGUGCUCGUGCCUCAGAUCUCACAGUAGAGUCUUUUAUUCCAACAUGCCUAUUACUCGUAUUUCAAGGAUUACGAGGUGGUCUACCUCUCGUAGCAGUGUUACUCGGUCAAUUAGUUUGAACCUUUUCUUUCUCUGACUUCUCUAGACAAUCUCUUAGAUAAUGUUUAAAUGAACCACGCCUGAAACAUGCCCCGUUCUUCAAUCUACAAUCACUGAAGUGUCAUGCAUUACAUUGCUUACAUUCAGGCCUGUUGUCCUUGACACUACCCACACUCACUAUAGACUAGCCUGAGCUUUGGACUCGAAUGCUAUUUACCUCUAUCACUUGUAGAACACACCACUGAAGGUGUGGAAUGGUUGUGAUGUUCCUUCGAUCUCUUUGAUGAUGACUGAUAUUACUUUCCAGUUGAUAUCUUUCUCAAAUCUCUAGCUUCAAAAUCAGCUUUUCUCUUUUCUUUGCUAAGCUCAUCGGCUUUAUGUGCUCGAUCAACUAAAAACAACAAUUUCUUUCAAUUCAAGUAUCCUGACUAAAAGCUUUGUAUCUUCAUUUAACCCUUCCUUGAACCGCUUACACAUAGCAACCUCGGUUGGAAUACAUUCUCGGGCAUAUUUGCUCAAUCUGACAAAUUCUCUUUUGUAUUCAGAAACUAACAUACGACCUUAUUUAAGCUCAAGAAAUUCUUUGCGUUUCUGAUCAAGAAAUCUUUGACUCAUAUAUUUCUUUUGGAACUUGAUUUGGAAGAAUUCCAAACCAUACGCUCUCUGGGCACAAUUGAAAUCAAUGUGCUCCACCAUUGGUAAGCUGAGUCUUUAAAUAGAGAUAAAACACAUUUAACACACUCUGCUGGUGAAUAAGAUAACUUGUCAAAAACCUGAAUCGUAUUUUCUAACCAAAAUUUUCCUCUCUCAGGAUCAUCUUCAGCGGUAGCUUUAAAUUCUUUAGCCCCAUAUUUACAAAUUUUUUGUCCAUACAAACUCGGUAAACCAUUCGUUCAUCAUCUAGAAGAAGGCUUUCUUAGCCUCUCCUCCUUAGCCCUCAAAUAAGGGCCUUGUACCGUUCGACGCUGCUCUAUGAACGGAGGCUAGUGCAUUACUCUCAACUUCAUCGGAGUCAGUUCGGUUGGAUGACAUUACUAUAUGAAAACAUAUUUCAAAACGAGUUAGGAGUUAUCACACUAUCACAAGUUAUAUAAUGACAUGUAUUUCUAGACUCACACACGCUAUGUUCAGUUUGAGAAUCGACUAAAUCGUAGCUCUGAUAGCAAUAAAUGUAACACCCCUAACCCGUAUCUGUCGCCAAAAUAGGGUUACAGAGCAUUACUGAAAGUUUACAUAUCAAAACAAUAAAUUAUUGAAAAUAUUCAAAUCAUAUAAGAAAUUAUUGCAAAAUUAAUCAAUCCCAUAUUCAAAAGAUUCAAAUCAUAUAAUAAAUUAUUGCAAAAUCAAUCAAUCUCAUGCAUAUUUUACCUUAUAUGAGCCUUCAAGGCCCUAAAAACACUUUAAAAAUGAAUCAGGACUAAAUAAAAAACAUAUAGAAUUUCUGGGAAAAAGUUGAAAAUUUUUCAUACUGUAGGGGUCACAUGGCUGAGACACAUGCCUGUGUCUUAGGUCAUGUGGACAUUCAAAGUAGGGACACACGGCUGUGUCCUAGCCCGUGUUUGUCCCCAUGUAACUCUCUAACUUGGGUCACAUGGCCAAGCCAAACGCUCAUGUACCUCUCAAAAUGGCCUCACACGCCCGAGUGCUAGGCUGUGUAACAGCCUGGCUUACAACCCUUUGUAACCUACAAGGGACACACGGCCAUGCCGCAUGGCCGUGUGUCAUACGCGACUGAGACACAUGCCCGUAUCUUAGGCUGUGUGAACGAAAAAUAGGCCAUUUUCAAGCCAUUUUCCUCACCCAAAACAUGACCACUUAUACAAGCCAUAAGCAUCUAUUUUCAAGCAUCCAAAAUGCUAAAAUAUCAACAAUUAUAAGACCACAUAUACAUGACAACAUAACAACUAAUCCAUUACCUAAAAUACCUUAUUUACAAACUAAACAUAAUGGCUAUUUCAUCAAGCACAAAACACAUAUACACACAAUUAUAACCAUGACUUAAAAACAUCAAAAGCUAUCGAUAUAGCUGAUGGAUAGUGUGAUAGGUCUCCGACAAGUUUCCAACCCGAACGAGCUUCUGAUUCACUAUAAGACAUGUAAAGUAACACGAAGUAAGCAUACAAUGCUUAGUAAGUUUGUAUAUCAUAAAACUUAACUUUCCAUGUCUUAACAUAACAUUAAAAUUUUGCAUGGCAGAACCCAACCAAAAGCUUGCUCGAAGCCUAAGCAUCAACACAAACAUGUUAGCAUACUUGAACAUAAAUCAUAGGAAAUUUAACAUGGAUGACCAUUAAACUUAAACAUGAAUCAAUUGGAUUUUUCAUCCAUCUCAACAUAACAUAAUUUCCAUGUAUCACCAUUUCAGUGAAUUUCAUUUAUACAUGCUUUAGUUCAUAUUGAACUCUUACCAUUUCCUUUCAAACUCAUGCCCGUUGAACUGAUUAGAAUACCAUUGGGUAGAUGGGAUAGCUCACACAAAGUGUGCAAACAUAUAACCGUAGUUCGUACUUUCCUUUACAUGCUUACACGAGCUAUGAAAAGAGUAUGCUCACACGAGUCAUCACACGAGCUGUGAAAAUGGGUCUACUGACUCGAGUCAGAAUAUAGCUACAUGGUGCUGCUUCACAAGCUUUCGAGUAUUCGCAAAAAAUGCCGAAACUUAGCCACCGAUAGGACAUUCAAGACCAACAAGAAACAUGUAAACCUUUAUGACAUGUCAUUUGUAUCCUAUGAAUUCUUAAGGUUCAAACGGGGCUCAAUAAUCAUCGUAACAUCGUUGGAUAUGCAAAAAUUAUUUACAUGGCAGUCCACAGCACAUAUAUAUUUCAAUAAUAAGCAUAUAAGCAUUAUGCAUUACAUGAAAUUACCUCGACGAUAAAAUGUAGAUACGGAGUCAAUUAGUUCGAAACUUUAUCUUUGGCCCGAUCGUUGCCAAAGAACCUGUACUAAAGCUAUGUUUUUAUUUCACAAUUCUUUAACCUCUCGAGCUAAGAUUCUGAUCAGUUCUUUGCUAUACGACAUAUCAGGCUGAAUUUAAACAUCUACUGGUGAAAUAACAUGUGAAGGGUCUGAUCGGUAUCGUUGUAACAUCGAUAUGCGAAAUACAUUAUGAAUCAUUUCUAACUCUGGCGACAAAGUUAAACGAUAAGCUACUGGCUUGAUUCUUUCAAUAAUCUCAUGCGAUCAAAUAAAUCAUGGACUUAGCUUUCCUUUACUACCGAAACGAAGAACUUUCUUCCAGGGCAAUACUUUCAAGAACACUUUAUCGCCGACUUGAAAUUCAAUGUCUUUACAUUUUAAAUUCAUAUACGAUUUCUGUCGAUCUGAAGCUGCUUUCAAACUAUCAUAGAUUACUUUAACUUUUUCUUCCAUAUCUCAAAUCAAAUCGACCCCGUGAAUCUUUUUCUCACUGAGCUCAGUAAAGUACAAUGGAGUUCAGCACUUACGACCAUACAAAGCUUCAUACGGUGCCAUCUUUAUGCUUGAUUGAUAACUGUUAUUGUACGUGAAUUCAACUAGUGAUAAAUAUUUUUCCCAGUUACCCUCCAAUUAUAACACACAACAUCAAAGCAUAUCCUCUAGUAUCUAAAUUACUCGCUUAGACUGACCAUCGUUCUGUGGAUGAAAUGUAGUGCUAAAAUGUAUAUGCGUACCUAGAGCCUCCUGUAACUUGCUCCAGAAUAGUGAUGUAAAAUGUAGAUCUCUAUUUGAAAUAAUGGAAACUAGCACCCCGUGCAAUCUAACAAUCACAGCAACAUAUAGUUCGGCUAAUCUCUCAAGAGAAUGAUCUGUAGGAAUUGGGAAUAAAAUAUGCAGACUUCGUCAGACGACUAGAAACAACUCAAAUUGCAUCUUUCCUUCUCGGAGACAAGGGUAAACCCGAUACAAAAUCCGUCAUGACUCGCUCUGAUUUUCAUUCCGGUAUCAUCACUGGCUAUAACAAACCAGAAGGUACUUGAUGUUCAAUUUUAACUUGCUGACAUAUUAAACAUCUAGAUACAAAGUAAAAAAUCUCUCGUUUCAUACCCGGCCACCAAUGCAUUAGUUUCAAAUCACUAUACAUCUUAUUGCUAUCAGGAUGAACAGACAAGUUACCACUACGAGAUUCAUGCAUAAUCUUCCGAACAAUCUCUGAAUUCCUCGGUACGCAAAUUCUGCCUCUAAAAAGUAAACAAUCAUCGAAUCCAAUUUGAAAAUUUGAAUUAGGAGUCUACUCACUCUAUUUGAAAGACUAAUAUGUUGUCUAUCAAGUACAAUUGAGGAGAUUCUUUUUCAUGGGCAUCAGAGUGGAUGACUCCUAGAAAAUAGAGACAUAGAUGUGACUGACUGGACUUAUAAUACAAUGGCCUAGACCGAAGAAGGAUAGAUUCUGAUUUUGUUUAUGGAUUUAUUCACUUGUGACAUUUAUAGUGUGACAUACCUAAAUUUUGAGUAGAUGAAGGAUUAUGUACAUGUGACUUGUACACUUUAAUGUAAGGAAAAGUUUGAGUUCGAAUAGAUAAGGAACCAAAAGUUGAUGUGUUGGGUGUAAAAAUUCUUUAGUAUGUAGCGUAAAUCAUAACAGUGGAAUUCAUAGCCCAAAACAUGUGUCAAUGAUAUCCUUUCAUUAGCAUUACAUGGUUUAUGAAAAGUAAAUGUGGCCACGGGUCAUCUGUCUUUAUGAUGGAUGACUUGAUCAAUAUUUGAUGGUGAUUGACUUUUCAUGAAAGAAGAUGUAAUGGUUAAUUACCAUGAGAUAAAAUAGGAUCAUAUUGGUAGAUUGGAUAUUAUCCCAAAGAGAUCAAGGAUAUCCUACGAGGGUAACAUACUUAUGACAAGGUUAUUAGACAAGCAAUGAGUAGAUGAUUUCGUAAUGAUAUGUCGUUAGGGAGAGUUCAGUCACAAUACUAUAGUGGGAUGACUUCGUGACUAAAUGAGUUUAUAAUUAAUAGGUGAAAAGUCAGAACUUAAUUAUAAAUAAUUUGAAACCUAAUUACAUAUGUCCUAUUGGUCCCUCUGCAAGCUCGUUGGAACUAGAAAUGAAUUGAGAGUUUGAAUAGAAAUGAACAAAAUGAAUAAGAAAAGAAAAGAAGAAAACGUUUAGGAAUGAUUAUAGUUUUUUCCAAAAUGAAAAAUGGAAUCAUAUUGAAAUGAAUGUAGGUUUUCAAAAAUAGAAAUGGAAAUAAAAAUGAUCCAUUUGUAAUUCUCUAUGAAUUACUUAAAACUGAUCGAAAGAAUGAGUUUAUGUUUUAGAGUUGUUUUGAAGCCCAAAAAUAAAAAUAAAUUAUUCAGUCAUAGUGAACAUGUUGAGUUUUGAAAUAUUAAACAUAUUUUCUCAAAAUUUUACCAGGGGUAAAAUCAUCAAAAUUUUACUGGGGGUAAAAUCGUCAAAAUUUACCGAGGGUAAAAUUGUCAAAAUAUUAUUGGGGGUAAAAUAGGGAUGAAAAAAUUGUUUAAUAUAGAAUAGUAAUGUUUAUUUUAGAAAAUAGAUAAAUAUGUAUUGGGUUAGAUUAAAUUUUAAAGUAUCGGGUUGAAAGUCCAUAAAUCACAUAUAAUUAGGCCCAAUACAAUGAGAGGCCCGAAUCCCAUCAUAAUACAUACAAUGAGAGGCCCGAAUCCCCACUCCCUCUCUUAGUUGGACUAGGAAGUUGGUUUUCUAUUUGAAAUAGACCUUUACAAUUCAAGAAGGGUUCUAUAUUCACUCCUUAUAAAUAGAUGACAUUGGUAGAGCUAUUUAAAUAAUUUUGAGAGAUUGUUAAUCUGCCGAAAAAUAGAGAGAAUUUAUUCUCAACUAUUAAAAUUAUUUGUUGAAAAUAACAAUUCUACCAAUUUCUAUUAAAGAAGAGAGAAUUUCAUUUUCACCCCAGAUAAAAGAGAGAAAACUUUUUCUAGUUCUGUUUUCAAUUCAAUUGGUUCGAAUCCACACUUAAAGCAGUUCAUGGUACGAGAAUAGUGGAGAAUAUCGUUUGGUUGAAAUUCGGGAAUGAAUGUCCGCCUAGCUGAAAACACAUGUAUGAAUUAAAUUAUGGUUUAUUGCUAUAAAUAUCACAAACCCGGUCGAUUUUUAAAAUUUUAAUUUUUCAAUGUGUAAGAAAACCAUUUUCAAACUGGAUUUUUUUUCCAAAAUUUGGUAUCAGAGUCAGGUUGUGCUAUGUUUAUGGUGUAAACCGAGACCAAAUUUCUCUUUUAAUCUUAUUUGAUUAAUAUUUGAUAAGAUGUGACAUUCUUGUAAUUAUUCACAUGUUUAGGAGAAUGUAUGUGAAUGAAUGUGAUUAUAUAUAUUUUUAUAUAAUAAUUAUUUUUUUGCCAAGGUUGUGGUUAUUAGGAAAUAGACUAUGGACUAUCAUUUCUAUGUAGGAUUAUUUUUUUAUAUAGAUUUUUUGUGAGCCGAAAAUGGACAUAGGAUAUAAAUGUUUUUUUUUUCAAAAAAGAGUCAAUGACGAGAAAAAGAUGGAGUGAUGGCGGUUGAAGACCCAAGAAAUUUCUUGUGGUGAAAAAUUGUGUAAUCUUGUUUUUCAUUUAUUUUCUAUAAAUAGAACUGUGGAAACCUUUGCUGGCAAUUUUAUUUUAUUACUCAUCUCCUUAUAUAUCUACUUAAUAAUUGUUAAUUUGUAUGAGCUGAUCCACAAUUGAUCAAUUAAAGAUAAGAAGUAUGGUAAUUAGAAGAUGGAUGUCUAGGAUUAGAUUUGGCAAUGAAAGGCUUGACUUUUAAGCGGUCGAAUACGAUUCACCUCCCUUUGUUGGGACCCAACCUAGUGCACGAUUCACAUUCACUUCUUCAUUUUUUCCCUUAAAAGGAAAAUUAUGGAAAAUCAAAAUUGUUAAUUCUUAUGAAAAAAUAAAUGUGCAUAUAUUGUAAAAUUGUCAUAACAUGUCAUAUAUGAGAUAAUCAUGCCAUAUAGUUUAGGAAAGAAUGCCACAUAUACUUGUCAUGCAUAUAUUGAUCAUUCAUGAUUGAAACAGGAAAUAAAAAAUCUUGCAUGUUUUUAAAAUAUUGAGUGGGAGAAGGUCCCUAAACAAGAACCACGACCUUCUUCAAUGGUCUCUUGUGAUGACAUGAAAUGGACCUACCUUAAUGUAGACAUUGUCAUGCGAAUUUCACUAAGGAGACUUCCUGAAAGUAAGAGAAAUUUUCUUAUCAUCAUAUGAUAAUUGGAUCGACCCCUGUGGUAGGUAUUAUCAUGUAAUACAUUAAGAAAUUCAUUUUUCAAAGAGGACUGCUAGUCACAGCAUGCUACUCAGUGAGGUUGUCCCGAGAGGACUCAUUUGUGGUGCAUGAUGCGAUAGGUGUUGAGUUGAUGGUUAUACACUCAAGAUCAUCUAGUUAAGUAACUCCGCAAAGAGCUAUGCUUAGGUUAGAAUGAUGGCCAAACAUUACAUGAUUAUUAGUACGUAUGAAUGCCUAAGGAAUUAGGUUCAUGUACUAAUUGGAUGAAAAGUCAUGUUCUUACUAGUUGAUCAUGAUCACUCCAAGGUGGCCUGAUUCAAUGGGUGUAGGGAUUAUCGUUGCAAGGACUUACAAAUGUUUUCAAGGUUUAAUGUAAGACGCAUACAUCAUCUUAAUACAUAUCGUAAUGUUGGAAAACAUUUUCAAACAUUUGUUUAAUACAAAGAUAUUAACAUAUGAAUGUUUUAUUUCCAGUUCAUAAAUGACACCAACUCCCUUAUUGAACAUACUCACCAAAAACAAACUGAAUGGAAACAAAUAUAGGAAUGGAAAAGGAACUUGAUAAUUGUCCUGAGCUAUGACAAACUUAAAACAAUUCUUGAUAAUAAGUGUCCACCGACCACUCAAGCUGAGGCUAGAAAAUGUCAGGAGGAGUCUAAUGAGAUAACUCAUUGCUAUAUGUUGACAAGCCUGACCAACACCCUAUAUAAGUAACUAGAGAGUUGUAAGACUACCGAAGUGAUUCUGGAUAAGCUAGAAGACAUGUUCAGAGGCCAAGUUGCCUUGGCUCAAUAUUCUGCUAUAACUAGCUUGAUGAAUACCCAACAAAAUCCUGACAUUCCAGUCAAAGACCAUAUGAUUACUCUUAUGGGAUACUUUGUCGAGCCCGCGGAUAAUGAGGCCAAUUUGGACUAAAACACUUAGAUUGAGAUGGUGUUUGACUGUUUCUAGAUGUACUAAUGUCUAAAGUGUUAAUACUACUACCAAAUAUAUAAGUUAGGCAACUUCCGCAAUUAUACGGGGUAUGUUGUAAUAUAGUUUGUUUACAACGAAACCUUUGGUAAGUAUUUCAAGGAUCAUACCCUAAGGAUUGCAGUUUGGGGAAAACGGCUAUUAAGUCAAUUACCGAAAAUAACUACUAAUCUACCCGAGUCACAAAUUAGUAGUGUUAAUCUGGAAGCAAGAUGAUAAUAAUAACACUAAAUUAAAUGAAUUGAACUAAACCUAAAUCUACUCCUAAGUUCAUGUAUCGGUUUCGCCUAUUCCUUUUUUCGACUAUACGAGUUCCUUUAGCCUAGAUCCAAGUGUUUUACCCAAUUAACUAUUGAUGAAAGGUUCAAAAUAAUUGGUAACUUAUUAACCUAGCAGGGCGUCUCAGCCUUCUACUAACCUAACUAGUCGAUAAGAACUACUCACGUCUUGAUGACACAGUUUAGACUAAGGAAGGGUAAGCUUUUCACGGAUAGACAAUAACGAUUUUAGGUUAAUUCCCACGUAUAUGAUUUCUUAGGGUUGUCAAGCCUAUGGUUUAAGUUCGUCAUUCCUUAACCAUUGAUCUACUAAGUGAUGCUUGGUAGGAAAUACUGAUUUCGGGUUAAUUCCUACAUAGAUGACUUCCUAGGGUCAUCAGUUCUAGGGUUUAAUUACUCUCAACUAGAUCCAACCAAUCCAAAUUGAACUCUAAUUGUCAAUCAAUUAAUUAGAUAAAAAUAGUUGAAACAUGCAAAAUAUGUAUAAAGCAUCAAUUGAUUCUAAUCUUUACACAAACAUUAAAUUACAAUGUUAAAGAAAGAAAUAUAAAUAAUAGAAUAAAUGAAAGAGAUGCUCAUGGAUUUAUCGAUGAAAGCGUGGCUUCGAAACAAUCUUCGCUCACGAAAGUCUCACUUCAGAAUGGAAUCUUCCAAUUAUAAGAACAUAUAAUAAACUAAGUAAAAACUAAAAACGAAAUAAAAAAUUAAGAAUCAAUCCCUCAAAAAAUGUGUGCUUAAUCUGAUUACAAUAGCCAUUAUAUAGGCUAUCCUUGGAAUAUUAAAGUGCCUAAAAUAUUCUUGAAGUACUUAGAUUUCAACUAGGAAAAAGAUUCCUAAUUGGUCUAAAAACGCAGAUUUCAUGUGCAACAUAGGUCUGUGGUGUUGCAACAUCAGACCUAGUGUCGUGAUAUAGCAGGGACAUGUAGUGACAUAGUAGGGACAUGUCACGACAUAGCAUGCAGUUCUGCUCUAGAACUUGUUUUUGCUUCUGUCUUUGAUGUUGCGACAUCGAUGUCUUGGUGCCGUGACAUAGGUAGUAGUUUUGGCCUGAAUAUGCGUCUUUAACUUCUGAUUUUUCCUACAAGACCAUGUAACCUUAUUUAGAUAUCUAAGAUGUAACAAAAACUACUUUAAGCAUGAAAACCUAAAUAUAUACUAAGAUGCUUUGAUUUACUAUUAAACAAGCUACAAUUAUGUGUAAAAGGGGAUAUAAAUAAUUGUGUAAUUCAUGGCAGAUCAGUGUUCAAGAGCUUGUCCAAUGAGUUUCCAAGCUUUUAGGCCGCAUAUAACCUUGGGAACAAGAACUUGACACUUACACAACUCAUGAAAGAGAUAUAAUCCUAUGAGUUGAUGUUCAAUUGUGGUCAGCUCAUCUAAAAAGUAGAAGCGAACAUAUCCAUCACUUUUUCCUCAAAAGGCAAGGGAAAGUGUGCUAAGGAAGGAAAUGUUAAGGUCUCUAGGCCACCACAAGUGAAAAGGAAAGAACUAGGAAGCCUAAAUACUUAUCUAAAUCCAAAUGCUUCUUUUUUAGUAAGAAAGGGCACUUCAAGGUGAAUUGCAAAGAGUGGAAAGAAUACCUAGCAACCAAAGGCAAAUAUUUGGAACUCUUUAUGAUAGAAGCUUGUUUAGUGGAGGAUUCAAUAGACCACUAGGUCAUUGAUUUAGGAGACACUUAUCAUGUUGUUGUUUCUCUACAGGGGUUCGAGGGGAAAAAAAAUCUUAGACAUAAAAGCUUAUUGUUACAGACUAGGAAUGGGACAAGCGUGGCUGUAACCCCUAUACUUGGCAUGGUCGCCAAGCCCAAAUAGGGGAUGCCACACCACCAUCUUAUAUCAUAUACAACAACUAAAUGUUCAUUUUAAACGAAGCAUCUUCUAUUUUAGUAUUCGUGAAGGUUUUAAGCCACUCAAACUUGAUAGUUAUCAUUGUUUCAUGCAAAUCUUACAAUAAUUAAUCUUAUAAAAAUUUUAUAAUAUGCACAAGGUCCAUUUAGUAGAAUUUCCAAAACAUGUUCGUAGGUAUCGGUACUGGCACUAGGGUAUUCUUUAUUUUCUCUAAGUGGUAUUGAUACCACCUAGAAAAACGAUACCAAACUUGUGUUCUAUUUGUCGAUUAAAAAUCCAAAGUCUCAAAAAUUAUCGAUACCUAUCAUGAAAUAUCAAUAUUUUAACCCUGAGUAUCGAUACUCGAGCAUAUGUGUCAAUAUCAAAUCUCUAUUCUAACUUCCUACAUGUUUCAAGCAUAAAAGUAUCAAUUUUUAAAACUCGAUUAUCGAUACCUCUGCUUCAGACUUCAAAAAUGCAGAAUAAAUAUGCAAUUAAUCCAUUCCACUUUAGUUCCUAAACAUCAUACAUCAAUUACUUCAACAAAUAAUCAUUUAAUGACCUAAUUAACAUUUCAAUAUCACAGAAUUAUGUUUGAGCAAGAAACAUCAGUCCAUCCUCAUAUUCAUGAACCCAAGCAUAUCAAUAACAUGUAAUCCUUAUAAACUGAACCAAAAACCAGUAUAAUGUCUAAAAGUUAACAUGUAAUAAAUAAGUCUACCACAUUGCCUUUUUCCCAAAAUGUAAAUAAAUAAAGAACACCUACAGAAUAAUACCAACUGGGUUGGAUCACCUCUCAAAAAACCACACCGCUCAUACCAGUACUUUACUACUCUCCAAAGGUUUUAAGAAAGGAGUUGGUGAGCUUAACAAGCUCAGUGAAUUCCUAGAACAAACUACCAUGCAAACAAUUCAUCAAGCAUCAACGAAACAAUCAUAUAGCACAACCUCAUCAGUUCCAGCUCUAGUGUCAUAUUAUACUUACUUAUGCAUUAUUUACUAGUUCAUUUACGUAGUAAUCAUAUUCACUUUUAAACAUGUAUCACAUUACACAUAUAAUUACAUAACAUUUAAAAAUAUAUCACAAUACUAAAAAAUGUGUUUAUAGAUAAAUUGCAUAAUGGUCGCGUAUCAUAUAAACAUAUAACACAAUACAUACAUAUUCAUAAUUGAAGUUAAUUUGGCAUUUGAGCUAUGACACAUAAAAGUGAGCUCUACCAUCACUCGUCUAAUACACAGAUCUCUAGCACACCACAUAAACUCAUAAAGUCAAACAUGUCCCAAAAGUGAAGCAUAAAGCUAACACUCUUCCAUUGAAUGGAGCUUAGCUCCCAUUCCCUUAUCCUUCCAACAUGUCCCAGGGCCUCAACACCCAAAACCACUGUACAUAUAGAUGAGUACUCAUAAUUCUAUGGCAUGUCAACUAUAUCCAACGGUUUUAAGAUCACAAGGCUAAAAUAUUCGAAAUCAAACACGUCAUUUAUCGAUUAUCCGUGCACUUUCACUGUAGAUUUGCAUCUUUAGCAAAACACUGUCAUUGACAUUUAAAAUAUACAUAACAUGUACAUAUUUGCACUUUCACAACGGUUAUUAUAACCACAUAUAACAUGUUAUAACAUCUCAUCUCAAUUCAUAUAUUCACAAUCAUAUAAGCAUAUAGUUCACAAGAUAACAUAGGUAUGAGAAAGCUUGCACUCGAAAUUUAGAGUAGGGAUUUAGGCUACUACCAAAUUCUCUAAUAACACAUUAAAUCAUGUCUACAAGAAAUUAUUCCAAAAACUCACCAAUUACGCUUUCGUCGAAAAGUCAAAAGCUCAAACUAGUAUUUCCUUACCUUUAUCUAUACUUGUAGAAGGUCCUAUCGAAUUUGGAACUUCAACACAAUAAUUCACACAAUAAUUUAUUUGAUAAUCAGCUAAGAACUCACUACAAGCAAUCAAAAACAUAAGUCUAAGCUAUGUUCCCAUGUAACUGAAACUUAUAACAUAGCAAACUUUAAAUUCAAAUAUCUCGAUCUAUACUCAUUCUUUUCGCCUAUAACUAAUUUAGUUCAUCUUAUAAUUCACAUACGACUAAUUCUCAACCUUUAAACUAUACUAAAAUACUCAAUUCAUAGUAUCGACUUUUUUGACAUGUUUUAUGGCUAUUUUCCAAAAAAUUAUUAAAACGUGAGAAAUCUUUAAUGAACUUAAAAGUAAGUUUAGAAAACUUCCAAUCACAUAAAAAUUAAUUGAAAACUCUUUGAAACAUCAUUUUUAUGCAAAAUCUCGAAUUUCACCAUUAAGGACCAAAGUUUCAACUUUUACUUAAAACAUGUGAUUUAAUGGCUAAAAACUUAGUUUUAAAGACUAAAUAACAUUUAAAACUAAUUAGAAGUUGGAUCCUUACCUUAGAUGAUGAAAAAAAGCGUUUGAUAAAAAACCUAAAAGCUUGACAAUUGAGAAAACUAUGGUAUUUUUGGAUGUUUCUCUUAACUUCUAUGGAGGUUUAUGACUAGGAGGAUGAUAGAAAUCAAUGGAAUAGAGUUUAGGAAUCAAAAUCGAUUGUAAUGGGCCUAGAGAAGCAAGGACAACAACAACAAUAAAAGGUGAAAAAGACUAACGUGAAAUUUAUAGGUGGGGGAUGAUAUUAGGGUGUUUUUUAAAUUUUAGUUUAAUUGCCUUUUAAAAAUUCACAAUUUUGACUCUAUUACAAAUCAUUCCAAUUGUCAAAAUUAAAUGUAUUUAAAAAUAAUUUCAAAAAUUGAUUUAAUUUUCUAAAAACCAUAGUAAACAUUCUAAGGCUAAAAUCUCUAAAAUACCCCUAAAACUCCUAGGCCUUAUUUUGGGUGUUAUAGUGACAACUAAAGCAGUGGGAGAUGUACAUCUUUAUUUUGAUAAUUUUAGGAAGAUUAUUUUAAGAGAUAUUUUAUGUGUACCAAGUUUCAAAAGAAACUUAAUUUCUGUUGCAUGUUUUUUUAUAUAAAGCGACUUAACCGAUAAAGAAUCACUAGACUUGUGAAAGACGACAUCUUAAGUUCACUUAAAGAAGUUAAUCUUCCACAAUAUGAAUCUUUCUUGGAAGGUAAGAUGAAUAAGAAAUCUUUUAAUUGAAAAGGAUCGGGGGACGGAAAACCCCUAGAACUUGUGCAGACUGACGUAUGUGACCUUAUAAGUGUUAGUGCAAGAGGUGAUUAUGAGUAUUAUGUAAACUUUAUUCAUGGCUAUUGCAGAUAUAAGUAUCUAUACCUAAUGCACUACAAGAGUGAAACCUUUGUUAAAUUCAAAGAGUUUCGUGUGGAAGUGGAGAAACAAUUAGGUUUACCCAUAAAGGCACAUCGGUCAAAUCGAGUUGGGGAAUAUUUAUCUAAUGAGUUCUUAGGGAACCUCAUAGAGAAUAGGAUUCUAUCCCAAUUAACCACAUCGGGCACUCCACAACAGAAUGGCAUGGAAGAUAGAAGGAAUUGAUUGUUUUUAUACAUGGUACGUUCGAUGUUAAGUUAUUCAAAGCUAUCAAUCUCUUUUUGGGGAUGUUGUACAAACAGCUUGCUCUAUUCUAAAUAAUGUGCCAAUUAAGGCAGCAUCGAAAAACCUAUACGAAUUGUGGCGUGGUAAGAAGUCAGUUCUUAAUCAUUUUAGGAUUUGGGGAUGCCAAACCCACGUAUUAGACAAAGAUGUGAGGAAGCUGGAGUGAUAGACAUAAUCAUGCAUGUUUUUAGGAUAUCCAAAAGGAACAAAGGGUGGUUUGUUUUAUAACCCGAAAGAGCAAACUGUUAUAGUGUCAACUCAUGCUACUUUCCUUGAAGAAAGUUACAUGAAUGACUUUAAACCUCGGAGUAAGGAGAAGGAAAUUUUAGGAAAUAUACAAAACCCUAAUAAAAUGAUUCUAGAACCAACUCUUAAUAGUAGACCUGCAAACGAUCAGAAGUCUAGGGUGCUUCGUCGUAGUGGGAGGGUCUCUCAUAUUCCUAAGUUUUUUCAAUUUGGUGGAAGCUUUUUUAACAAUGAGUUUGUCGAAGAGGAAGAUAAUGAUCAACUCAAAUAUGAUGAAACAAUGCAGAGUGUUGAUUCCAAGCUCUGGUAAAUAGCUAUGAGAGAUUAUAUGGACUCUAUGUAUUCCAACUUAGUGUGGGAACUUAUAGACUUACCGAAGGGAUAAAACUCAUAGGGUGUAAGUGGAUCUACAAGCGGUUCCUAAUUACGUAUGUCCAAUCUGUCCUUCCGCUAGCUUGUUGAAACCAGAAUUGAAUUGCAAGCUUGAAUAGAAAUGAAUAGAAUGAAUAGGAAAAGAAAAAUGAAAAUUAUUUAGGAAUGCUUAUGGUUUUCUCUGAAAUGGAAAAAAUGGAAUCAUUUUGAAAUGAAUGUAGAUAUCCAAAAAUGGGAGUAGAAAUUGAAAUAAUCCAUUUGCAAUUCUAUAUGGAUUACUUAAAAAUGAUCAGAAGAAUGAGUUUAUGUUUUUGAGAUAUUUUGAAGCCUGGAAAUGAAAAUAAAUCAUUCGAUCAUAGUGAACAUAUUGAGUUUUGAAAUAUUAUACACAUUUUCUUGAAAUUUUAUUAAGGAUAAAAUUGUCAAAAUUUUACCGAGGUAAAAGUAAAAUAGGGAUGAGAAAAUUAUUUAAUAUAGAAUAUGAAUGUUUAUCUUGGAAAAUAGAAUAAAAUGCAUUGGGUUGGAUUACAUUAUAAAGUGUUGGGUUAAGGAAACACGAAAAUUUAUGUGUUUUUACAUGCCCUUUUUAACUUAAAAUCAUUCUAUUUCGGUUAAAUUCUUGUCGAAAAAUAAUUAAAUAUUAUAGAAUAAUUAAAUUAUGUUAAAAAUAUGAACAUGAUGAAUUUUUAAUUAAUUUUAUAGUUAAUUUUGAUUAAUUUUGACUAUUUUCGACAGAUUCGCGUAAAGGGCGAAAAUUGGCUCGACAGACAAAGCUCGAAGAAUAAAACCGAGAAGCAAUUUGAAGCAUCGAGGAAAAUUUAUUUCCAGCCUAAUAUGGUCCAAAAAUUUGUGUUAAUUCAUAAUAUAAUUAAUUUUAAUUUAUUCCCAAUUUAAUUUGGGCUAAAUAAAUUAUUAUUAAUUAAUUAUGGAAAAAAGGGUCUAGUUGAACCGCAUUGGUUGAACCGAAUCUAGUGAACCGAACCAGCCACCAAUUGGGCUGCCCAGAACCAUCCAUAUGCUGACCCAAAUCAGCAUUUUAACUGACUAAAUAAGCUUGCAAAGAAGCCCUUGAAGAACUUUGAACUUUGCAUUCAAACCCCUCUAAAAAAUGUGGCUUUAUGGAUUUGCCCCAGGCUAUUUUUAGCAAAGUUGAAUCUCUCAACUUUGCCAUGUGUGUGGCCAGCCAAGGGGGGUCUCUUUGGCUGAUGGAAUUUUCUAUUUAUAGCAGCCACAAUCAUCUAUAAAAGCCACCCCUUGCUGGUCAUUCAACUCAUCCCUCACACUCUCAUUCUCUUCUCCUCUCUCACUUUCUCUCAACUUUCCUUCCCAUUUUCCCUUUUGUUCAAGUGCCAAUUUCUUCUCUUGGGAAAGAUGUCCUCAUCAGCCAUUUUUGAGUAGCAAUUAAAUUAUUCAUAAGCCACCUUUAUAGCCAAGGACAACAAAGAACGAAGAACAGAGAAAUCAGUCAAGCCACGGAGAAACAUCAGAUUUGCUUCUUGUUCCCUAUCUCUUUAAAGUUCGUUGUUGUUUUGAAAAACAUGUUUAUGAAUAUUUAUCUUAUUUAAAUGGUUAUUUUAAUCAAUCUAGCUUGAAUUUAAUCCGUGUUGGGUUGAUUAUAUUUUGCUUGCUUGAAUUAUUGAAAUUGUGUUUCUGCUGUUACAGGCCUCGGUAAGAUGCUUGAUUAAGUAAAAUCAUGCCUAAGUUAUUCUUGCAAUAUUAAUUGUUAGAUAAAUAAUGAAUUAAUUAUUAAAUCAUAUUGAAAUUGUAAUUAAUCGACACAAUACUUAAUCAGUGCAUGUUUAUUCUUCUAAGGUAGCUGAAGUUAAUUUAGCAUUGUAUUUGGUGAUACAUAUGCCUUGCAUAACUUGAAAGAUUAUUGUGAUUAAACUGUUUCAAGGUAGAAAUACUCUGUUACCUCACUUGAUCUUUUAUAUGCUUGUGAAGAUUGAUUAAUCGCUUGGAUUGACAUUAAAAAAUGUUCAAGAGAUUGAUUAAUUUAAUAAGUAUGUAUGAGUAGUAGUUAGCAAAUUACAUAGUUGCCGUGAAUUUGUUCGUAGCAGUAUAAACAUAAGUUUAAUAAUUCUAGGUUAAAGGAAUGUAAUUAAUCCAACACAAUUAUAUCAUCUUGGUUAAAACUUAUUUGAAAUUGUGCAUUAGAAUAUUUUUAUUUUUAAUUUUUUUUACUUAGUUUUUAACCCUUAGUUUUUAAUCAUCUUUAAACCAAAAUAUUUUCCAUCACCAAAGUGUUUUAACAUUAAUUUCAUAAAUAUUCUUUUUUACAGUCCCUGUGGGUUUGAUAACUCGACAUUUACUUGUCACUUUAUUACUUGUUGCGAUUGUGUACACUUGCACGUUUUCGUCAUUCCAGGUUAAAAGUCCAUAAAGCACAUAUAAUUGGGCCCAAUACAAUGAGAGGCCCGAAUCCCUAUCAUAAUACAUAUGAGGGGAAACACACCCUAUUAGCCCCCCUCUCUCUCCUAGUUGGACUAGGAAUUUGUGUUUGUAUUUGAAAUAAACUUCUACAAUUCAAAAAUGAUUCUACAUUAUCUCCUUAUAAAUAGAUGGCACCGGUAGAGCUAUUUACAUAACUUUGAGAGAUUGUUACUCUGUCGAAAAAUAGAGAAAAUUUAUUCUCAACUAUUAAAUAUAUUUCUCUAGAAUAACAAUUCUACCUGUUUCUAUUAAAGAAGAGAGAAUUUUCAUUUUCACCCCAAAUAAAAGAGAAAAAUUUUUCUAGUUCUGUGUUUCAAUUUAAUUGGUUCGAGCCCACACUCAAAGCAUUUUGUGGUACGAUAAUAGCAAAGAUCAUCAUUUUGUUGAAAGUCGAGAACAAUGAACGUGCGCUAAGCUAAAAAAUAGGUAUGAAUUCGUUUAGGGUUUAUUACUGUAAAUAUCACAAACCGGGUCAAUUUUCAAAAUUUUAAUUUUUUAUUGUGAAAGAAAACCAUCUUCAAACCAGAUUUUUCCAACGGUAAUAAUGGGUGGUGUACUACAUGCUAAUGAUACAAAUACAAUUAAUUAUGUGAAAUGCUUGUAAUGCAUAUAAUGUAUGGGGUACAGAGGGAAGUACCAUGAUGGUGGUAGUUGAAGAUAGGAAUACUGGGUGAAAAUGAGGAAUGAGUGGAUUAAAAUGGGGAUUCAAGGGAGAUUGAAUGACAUUACAGAAUGUUAUCGACUGGCUCACUAGAGCGAUAUUGUGACCACGAUCUAUUGAAUCUAUAGAGUGACAUUGUGACGGCGGCUAUCGGCAGGUCCUUCGGGGUGACACCAUGAGAACAAUUUGUAGGUCUUUCAAGGUGACACCUUGGAAGAGGUUUAUUGAUUCUUCGGAAUCGGGAGUCUGCUAGGAAAUUAGAGAUGGGGUAUACUGUAUAAGACCAUAGCUCGGCUAUGGCAACAGGCCAAAUCUGCCAAGUUAAACAUGGGGUAUAUUGUGUAAGACCAUAGCCCGGUUAUGGCAACAUGUGAAGUCUGUCAGGACAUUAAAUAAGGCUAUACUGUGUAAGACCAUAGUUGGGCUAUGGUUUCAGAUAAAUUUUGUCAAGAUGAUGAAUUGAGAAACUAAUAAAGUAAAGAAAUAGGGAUAAUUGUAUGUCUCGUGCAGAAAGUAGUAUAGGUGGAUGAUCACGACGCGUUUGAGAAUGAGGUUAAAUAAGAAGGUAAGAGAAUCCACCAAACAAUAAAGAGGAAAAUAAUUGGUAGAAGUAUCCAAGAAUAUGGAUAAGCUUGCUCUGCCAAAUUUGGUAGAAAGUGGAAUCAGACAAGUUUGUGGUCAUCAAGACCAAAGAAAUAGAAGGGUACCCAUUCCAGUUAAGGGGUACCCAUUAUUAUAAAUCCGCUAGUGGUUAGCGAGUAAUAAAACAUGAAGUAUAAUAAGCAAGUCAACAAGGCAAACUCUAAGCUAAACGAUUGGAGCGGUAAGUCCUCCAAUGAUCUACUGAAAGGGGGAUGAUAGAGUAAGACUAUAUGGGGCUACCGAAGGUUGAGAUUGCCAGGAUUACUUAGGCAGGAAUAGUUCCUUAGGGACAAUCAAUAAAUUGGAGCAUGUAAGAAGGUUGGGCUUAGGAGAAUAAGCACUCUGGGGGUUACAUUCAGGGUAUGAGUCUGCCUAGAAAAAGGGGUGCCAACUCAUUCAACCAACUAACUUAUUGAGUCCAUGGAGAAGAAUGAUAGAAAGAGACCUUAUCUAGAAAAAGGGGGAUUAGGCAUAGGUCAAGUCAAAAGAAGAUUUCUAUUGGAGUAAUGGGAUAAAAUUUUAUGAAGAUCAAGGUCGAUCAAAGGGAUCAAGGAAGAGAUUCACAACUAUAGUGAAAUCUUGAUUAAAAUGCCAGUAAGUUGUCAAACCCGUGAUGGGAUCUACGAGAAUUCCAAGUUGAGGCAUACCUGUAUGAGUUCAAGGGAAGCUUUAAAUAACGACAAACAGGGUUAAGACCCAUAAAAAAAGAAUUUUCGAAGAUUUUUUUGGUGGGUGGAAUGCCCUUUGAUAGUUCAUUUGGAAAGAAUCUAGAAAAUGGCUAUGACAGAGAAAUUGCGGGUCUUCCUACAAGUUUAGGGAGUUUCUCAUCUGUGCUUUAAAUUUUAUAUUCCCUAAUUUCCAAGAAAUCUUGAAUGAAAAAUAAUGUAUAGGAUCUCACUAAGUUCUCCUGAGCUUAAAACAUUUUUUGCUUCCAUGCAAGGUAGGUGGUGUCUUAAAAUUUUAGUGGAGGGACCUAGCCAAACACCACCAGUUUCAAGAGAUGGGUGAGAUAGUUGAUUCAUAUACAUAUAGGGCAUGCCUUAAGGAUUAAAUUGGUUAUAUUCAUAUUGGAGUUUUAAAUUUAAAAUUUAUAAAUAGUUGUUGGAAUCAAAGUUGUAAGAAUUUAACUUUGGUUCUGUACGAUUGUUAAUAUCUUUUGAUCCUUAAUUUAUGUGUUUAAUAAUGUAAUUAGAGUAGAAUCAAAAACAUCGCUAAGAUAUUUAGGUCUUUCUAUCAUCCAGUACCUGGACCUAGCAAACAAAUUGGGUCUAAGGUGUUACAUGAAGUUAUUCCACUAUAGUUUCGUGACUGAGCUCUCCCCAACGACAUACCAUUAUGAAUGCAACUUGAUUAAUGCUUGUCCAAUGACCUUGUCAUAAGUGUGUUACCCUCAUAUGAUAUCCUUAAUCUUAUUUGGAUAAUAUUCAUUCUCCAAAUAUGAUCCUAUUUUAUCUCAUGGUAACAAUUACAUCUUCCUUCAUGAAAAGUCAAUUACUAUCAAAUAGUAGUCAAGUCUUCACCUAAUGUAAUAACAUGUUUAAUUUCCAUCUUCCAUCACGAACAACCUGUGACCAUGUUUAAUUUCCAUCAACCAAGUAAUAACAAUGAGAGGAUAUCAUUUACCCAUUCCUCGAGCUAUGAAUUCCACUAUUGUGAAUGAUGCUACAAACUACAGAAGUCGUACACUCAAUGCACCUGCUUUUGGUUCCUUAUCUAUUCGAACUCAUGCUUUCACUUACAUCAAAGUGUACGAGUCACGCAUACAUAGCCUGUCAUCCACUCAAGAUUUAGGUAUGAAAAUUGCAAUUGAAUAAAGAAUUAAGUGUGGUGUCUACAAGUGUACAUGUCAACUUGUAAUAUAGUUUAUAGUUACAACGUUACACUUUGGACGUAUUUCGAGGAUCUACACAGGGGAGGUUUGUUUAAACUAAAUUAAUAGAAAAAGUCACACAUUAACUAAGUCAAAAUAGCUACUCACGUACUUGUCAUAUUACGUUUAAAAAAAUGAAUCAUUAAACAAAACUAAAUUAUAUAAAAGCUAAACACCAAAAUCACAUUCAAAUUAAGCAGACAGUAGGGUGAAUUACUUCCAUGUUCAUGAUUAACCAAGGUCUAGGGUUUUUACCAAUUAGCUAACAAUCAACCUAAUUUAAUACCUUUUAACUUAUAACUAGAUUAAUUGAUCGAAUUAACUUUCUUAUCUUUCUACCUAAUAAAUUAAACUAGGUUAGAUUAAGUUGGUGCUGAGUAGACUAUCCUUUCGGCCUCAUCUACCUAAGUGACUUCCUAAAGUCGUCAAUUCUAGGGUUUAAUUCACUUAAGGUAAUCCAUCUAACUAGUGUCAAAAUCCUAACCCAAUCCACUCACUCCCACUUUAGCUUGUCAACCUUCCUAGGGUUUGAGUUCAUGGCCAUUCUAGAAGCAACCUCUCCUAACCGAUUAUCAAACAUCCAAACAAAUGUAAAAAUAAAUAAAAAGGGAAAAGAAUGUUAAGAAUCCAAAAAUCUUGAAACAAAACUUCUAUUGUUGAACCCACAAUCGAUGUUGAUAUUUUAUUUGAUGAAGAAGAAAAUAACCAAAAAAUAAUGAAAAGAAAACAAAAAUGAAAUUGCUAUUAAAAUUAACUUAGUGUUUAACAACUAAAAAAUGAAAUUGUAAUCUAUCUAAAACCCUAAUUAAUCCCAUAAAACUAAAUUUAAAAAUAAAAAUCGGCUCUCUAAUCAAGUCUUAUGAGCUAAUAUUUAUAGUGUUUAUGUUAUAUGACCAAAUUAUUUCAAUCACAAGUUGUGUAACAAGUUAAUUAAGAUUAUACGGAUAAAAACACCCAUUACAGUCAUAUUGGCCUCAUUAAACCGGUGUCGGGACAAACUAUAGCUGGUGUUGUGAUUUCGUUGGAAGAAUACUUGGUCUUCAAAACUUGGUGGAAUGUCACGACAUUAGUUUCUUGGGGUCACGAAAUCAUUGGCAGUAUGCUCCCUUUUGGAAUCUGGAUUGAAUGUCGCGACAUCGCCUCGAGUAGCUCACCUCUUGAAAUUGUGUUGGAAUUUCGACUAAGUGUUGAGGCUUGCUUUAAUGUCGCAUAUUCUUUUUGAAUGUUACGACAUCCAGGGUAGUCCAUUGACUUCUUGACCAAAAACAUUGUCCAGCACACUUACUCAACCUGUUAGUUCUUUCUUAGGUCCUAAUUGGCCUAAAAGGUCAUAAAACACCACUAAAAGCUCAAUCAAUUAAACUUAACCUCAAAAUAACUAAUCCUAAAAACAUAAUUAAAAUAUGAAAAAUCACUUGAAUACAAGCUCAUUAAGUGGUGAAAAGAGCCUAAUUUGUGACAGUGAAUUGUGGCAUAUCAUUAACCCUAAGCCCAUUUUAGGCAUGUCUGUAACCACCCAAACCUGACUUAGACGUUAUGGUCAAAUCCUGAAGAUUACAUUGGCCAUUGGAAUGGCAUGGAAAAAUGUUCCUAUUUUAAAUCACUCUUUAAAACAAAUUUCCUUUUUAUUUAAGACUAGUGAUCUCAAUUAUUUGUUUUAUUUCAAGAAAAUCAUAUUAAUUACAAAAUCAUCAAGCAUCUUUAGAGUGUCGCUUGUAAAGAUUAAUCAUUUCGGAAAAAAAACUAAGUUAUAUUUUGUUAAAAACAAACCUUUAAGUAUGGUAGUGAAAAAUUCAAUUAAAAUCAUAUUUCUGUUAAAAAUCGAUUUUUCAUGCAUAGUCAAUAAAACAUUCAGUGAGCAAUUUAAAACUUCAAAUCAUGCAAAAAUAAAGUAGAAAUCCCAAAAUAUAAAGUUCCAUGCCACAAUCUAUAAGAAAAUUAUUACAGUCCCAAAAAUAACCAUAUAAUAAAGUUUAAAGUAUUUAAAAUAAAAACCAUCCGAGAACACCUUCGAUAGCCGUGUCCAAGUCCUAACCUCGGGGAUUAUCUGAAAUCAGAUCAGAAACUAAUGUGUGAACUAAUAAACUUAGUGUGAGUCUUAUUUCAAAUAUACAGUAAUAAUAGUAAAUAUAACACUCAAGUCAAAAAAAUAUAAAGAGUACAAUAAAUAGCGCAAAGCUCACAAUUUGUGUCAUGCAUGAUCAUGUUAAUGUAGAAUUUUUAGAAUAUUCCUACCCAACUCCACUACACAUCAAUAUACGAUUUCUCUAAAACUCAUUCAACCAAUAAGACACCAAUUUGUGGACAAGCCACCAGGAUUGCAGAGAAAUUGUCAAAUUUGUAGACAAGCUACUAGGAAUAUGACCAUGCCACCAAAAUUGCAGGUAAACUACCAGAAUUAUGUGGUUGAACCACCAAAAUUGCAGAUAAACUAUCAAAUCUUCCUUCUUACAUAUUUGUCCCAACUCAAUGCAAAAUUACAUGUUACAACUAAAACAGAGUGCAAAUAAUAGGCAUGAUCAAAAGAGCAUGCAAACAAUGGAAAAAAUAGUAGGCAAGAUUUAAACAUGCAAUCAUAGUAAGAACAGUGGCAUAAAUUCCAUGCAAUGAGUAAAACAGUAUAGUAAACGCAUUUAAUGACACUUUUAGAAUUAUUAGUAUCAAAAUUCACAUUUUUAAUAUGUGACUAAAUUUUAGUUAUAGUGUGCAAGGUUUAUCAUGACAUCAAUCUCAAUAAUAGAUUUGCAACAUGCAUCAAUAGCACAUAUUAUAUGAAUAUCAUCAAGUCAUAAUACAACAGCCAUACAUAUUUAUGACAUCACGGAUUUAACAUAUCAGAGUCACUUACUUGGAAACAAUCCUAUUAAAGGAUUUAUCAAUCACCGUGAAUACUUAGUGUAUUCAAAUAACCAUGUUUCAGAGAAAAUAAUAAAUAUUAAUCAUAAGUAUAUAAUAGUUACUAAAUAAUCAUAUAUAUUUUUAUUUGAUUAAACCCACACCUAAAAAUAUGCCUUGUCACUAAAUCUACACCCACACUCCAAUGAUAACUAAUCUAGACAGUUCUCGCUUGAUCUGAUCAAAUAAUAACGGUAUGAUCCCAAUAGGAAUUCAUUAGUUUCAACCAUAAACCAAAAUAUAAUUCUCUUAUGCAGUCAGAUAAGAAACUUCCUCAAUACCUUUUUUGAAAGGAGAUCCAAACAUUUUUCUUAUGCUCGAGUAAAUUCGAAUGAUCCAGAUUAGAUCCUUCAAGAAACAUGUUACACAAAUAUUGGAACAUAUAUUCAACUCACAUAAGAAAAGAAAUGAUUGUGGUUAGAUUUACUAAUCAUUACUUACGCUAAACCGAUUGGAUUGUGAAGAUUAAUGAUUCACCGAAAGUUUUGAUUUGAUAGAGGAGUAGUGGCUAAGAAAAAACAAAAUAAGGAAUAAAGUGACUAUGUACAUUGUUUAAUAAUUAAAGAAAAAAAGAAGAAGAAUAAGAGAUGUUAAAAUUCAGUUAUGGCCAAGUAGAUGAAAGGAUGAUGAAGAAAGAAGACAAUCAGUGGAAGCUGGCGGUGGUGGUGCAAUGGCGCUACAGCGGCGAUGGCAUAGGAGGUUUGAUAGUGGCAUGAAGAGAGUGGGAGAGGAGGGACAGUGGUGAAGUGGUGGUGUUUAGGUGGUACGAUGGUGGCUAAAGUUGGUGGAGUGGUGGCAAAAUAAAUUUAAAGUAUCGGCUCAAGGUGAUGCAAGAGGAGGAGGAGAGAAAAAGAAAGGGAAGAAAGGAAACAAAGAGAUGAAAUAAAAUGAUUUUGUUUCUCUAGUUGCAAGGGACGGCUAAAGGGUUCAAAGGGGAUGAAAAUAGGAAGGGAGUGAAAAGAGGGGAAGAAAAGGAAAGAAGAGGGAACAUGUAGAGUGGAAAAAGAAGAAAGAAUGGAAAGUAGAGCAAAAUAUGACAGGAAAGAAUGAGAAGGGAAUCAAACUUGGGUUAGUUGGAAAGUUUAGCUUGAUCUUAACCACUAGGCUAGAACUCUCACUUGUUUAAGAAUUAAUGAUAACUUGGGUUACUUGGAAUGUUUAGCUUGCUCUUAACCACUAGGCUAGAACUCUUACUUGUUCAAGAAUUAACGAUAACUAAAUAUAGAUGGGCUUUGACAACUCUACUCUCAUUAAAAAAAUGAAUUCCGUCUUUAAAAUUUACCUGAUUAGAACAUAUUGGGAUAUUGUUCACAAAUCGAGUCCUCUAGCUCCAAAGUAGUUUCCUUAGUUCCAUGAUUUCGCCAUAACAUUUUUACCAGUGGAAUCUAAUUUUUCCUUAACACCUUAACCUCACGAUCCAAGAUCUAAACUGGAUCCUCCUUAGAAGAUAAAUCUAGUCUCAUCUCAAUCUCCUCAACUAGAACCACAUGAGAUGGGUCAAAUCAGUAUCGCCUCAACAUAGAGAUGCGGAACACAUCAUGGAUCCAGUCCAGUUUCGGAGGUAACUCCAACUUAUAAGCCAUUGGUCCAAUACUCUUAAGGAUCCUAUAAGGUCCAAUAAACCUUGGGCUCAGCCUGCCCUUCCGACCAACUCUUAGAACCUUCUUCCAUGACGAUACCUUAAGGAAUACCUGACCCUUGACAUUGAACUCUAUAUCCUUCCUCUUCAAAUCUACAUAGGAUUUUUGUUGAUUGGAUGCCACUCUCAAUCUGUCCUAAAUGAGAUUAACAAUACCCUCAGUCAACUAAAUUCGGGCCCAAUACUUUUUUUUCACCUAACUCGAUCCAUCACAAAGGUGUCUGACACUUUCAACCAUACAGUGCCUCAUAGGGUUCCAUCUGAAUACUUAACUGGAAGCUGUUAUUAUAUGAAAAAUCUACUAUUAGCAAGUGCUCCUCCCAACUACCUCGGAAAUCAAUUACACAAACCCUUAGAUAUCUUCAAGGAUCUAUAUAACCCGCUCAAACUAUGGAUGUAAAGCCAUGCUAAAUGAGAUGUAAAACGAGGAUCUUGAUCAUAAAUAAUCAAUACUGGUACCCCAUACAGUGUCACUAUCUCAGAGAUGUACAACUUCGCCAACUUCUACAGUGAAUAAUCUAUACAGACUGGGAGGAAGUGAGCUGACUUAGUCAAUCUAUCCAUAAUCACCCACACUAAGUCCUUUAUAGUAAGUGUGAAUGGAACCCACAAAAAAAAUCCAUAGUCACUCGCUCCCACUUCCAUUGAGGAAUCUAAAUAGGCUGUAACAAGCCAGAAGGGAAUUGAUGCUUAGCUUUCACUUGCUGGCAUGUUAGACACUUAGCCACAAACUUAGUUACCUCAUGCUUAACACCCGACCAUCAAUACAGUUCUCCAAAAUCCUAGUACAUCUUAUUCCCUUCAAGAUUGAUAGCAUAAGGGCUACUAUGCGCUUCCCAAAGGAUAGACUAUCUCAAAUCUUUGUUGUCUAGUACACAAUAUCUCCCACGAUAACACAAGAUUCCAUCAGAAUUAAACCCAAAGUAUGUAGUCUUACCUUCCUCAAUCUAUUUAAUUAGAGGCACAAGAGACACAUAUAAAGGUUUCUUCAUCUUAAUCUUGUCAACCACAGUAGGCUUUACUUGAAAUUCCGUGAGUAAGCCACCAUCCUCACACAAAUUCGGCUUAGCAAACAUUGGUCUCAAAUCAGUCAUCAACCUCCUACUCAAUGCAUUUGCCAUGAUGUUAGCUUUCUUAGGUGGUACUCAAUGGUACAAUCAUACUAGCAUAGCUCUUUAAGUACCAUGCAGUAAGGAGCAAUGGACACCGGAGUAGUCCUAGGCAGCAAAUCUAUCCCAAAUUCAACCUCUCGCUCUGGAAGUAAUCUAAGUAGCUCUUCCAGAAAGAUGUCGGGAAACUCUCUCAUAGUACGACUACCUUCCACAUUUGAUCCACUAACACUCAUGUCCAGAAUAUAAGUCAGGUAAGCUUCACAUCCCUUAUGAACCAACUUUUCAGCUACUAAAGCUGAGAUCACAUUAGACAAGUAAUCUCUAUGCUCACCAACUAUCAUAAUUUCCUUACCUAUCGAUGUCUUCAAAGUAACCCUCUUCAAAGCGCAAUCCAAACUGACUUGGUGUUCCACCAACCAGUUUAUACCCAAAAUUAGAUCAAAUUCCCCAAAGGGUAGCUUCAUUAAAUUUGCCAAAAAUACCUCUCCCUAAACUCAACGGGCAUCUUCUAUAAAUCUUAUUCAUAGUAACAGAUUGUCCUCUCUGCAUCUAGCCACAUAGACAAGAACAAUUUUCCUGGCAACAGUUCAUUUUGCACCCUAAACUCGUGCUCACUGUCCCUGUCCAACAUUACCUCCUUUGUAUUGACCCUGACCCCUCUAAGGCUAAUGCCCAGCCCUCUGAUUCUGAACCUCAUUCUGUACUAGAUCUUGCAUGUGGUCAUUACGGCAUGGAAAGUCCUUAAUCUUAUGGUCCAUAGACCCACAUCUCAAACAAGUACUCAUCUCUCUCCAACAUUCACCUAGAUGUCGCUUACCAUAGUAAGCACAGUUCUGAGUCUUGCCUCUAGUACCAACUACCACUGUAUUCUGUCGAGGCUUAUCAUCUCUUCUUCGCUUAAUGGGUUGUGAAGCCGUGAUAGUGGGAUAGAAAUCCCACUCAACAGAAGCCUCAUCCUUCUCUUUUCUCUUAUGCUUCACACACUUAUCUUCCUCAACUAUCUUGGUUUUCUCCACCAUAAUUUCGUAAAACCUCUCAUGGUGUAGAGCGACCUGGAUAAUCAAAUCUGACACACUUAUCUUUCUCGACCGCAACCAUCCCUUGAACAUAUCAGCUAAGCCUCAAGAAUCCAACCUCAUACCCAGCCAUCGACAUGUCUCCUUACUUCAACUCAAUAGAUUCUAGCCUUUGGUCCACAACAUAUCUAGUGCCCAUGCAUUUCUUCUAGAAAGCUUGUUGGAAAUAAUCCCAAGUUAAUCUUUCCACCUGCGUAUGUAACAACCUAUUUUUAGUAGUGUUAGAAAUAGUGGUUUUGGGACCACAAUUCUGAUGAGAGAGUCCAUAGAUAUAUUUAAUUAAUAUUUAUGAGUUAAAUAUAAUAUAAUAGUGAAUUUUGAUUUAAUAGAUUUUAUUAAUUGGUUAGUUAGUUAAAGUACAAAUGGUGCGUACCGAAAGUCAAGUGGUUUUGGAAAAUGAGGGAUCGGGACCUCGUUACUGUAAACCAAGCCCAUGAAUAUUUUUAUUAAAUAUUUACGGAGCUUUUAUAUAGGUGAAUUGAAUUUUGGUCCAAAAAUUUUAGUGGUUGGAUGGCUAAUUAAGGUAUAAGGACUAAAUCAUAAAAAACUAUAAAAGUUAAUCACUAUUAAUUUUUAUUAGUUAAAUUUCUUAUCUAGUAAUUUUUUAAGGUUUAAUAUAACAAUUAGGCCAUAUUUAAUUAUAGUGGGAUGUCUUGUAGUUAGUUUUGUUAUAUUUUAUAUGUUAAUUUAAAUUUAAAUUAAUAAUAAUAAAGUUAAAACAUAAAAAUAAUGGUCAUCUUCUUCAUUUUGAGUUUCAUCACCAAAAAGAGAAUCAAAGCUUGAGAAGCUAUCAUUAAAAUUUCCAAGGCUCAGCCAAGUGCAUGUGAGUCUAUUUUUAAACCGUUUUUCAUAAAUUUUAUGUUUUUGAGAUCGUUCCAACUAGGUCCAAAUAACCUGUACCUCUGUUUUCAAAAUUUUCAAAGAUUUAAAAUGUUUCCAAUGAUAUUAUUUGAUUAUUUUGAAUGUUUAUGGUAGAUUUUGAAGCAUAUAAAUGAAAUAGGAUUAAUUUGUUAAGUAAAUUUUGUUAGUUUUGAGUUAGGGACUAAAUUGUGAAUAUAUUAAAAUUGGUAUGAAAUUUUUAUAUAUUUUGAUAAUAUGGGACUGUAUAUGGACAUAAUUAAAGUGGGUUUAAAAUUUGGAGUUCAAAUUUGGAAGAUAUAAUAAGUUCUGUUUUAGGGACUAAAUUGAAUAAAAUGUAAAAGUUUAGGGGCAUUCAAAUAAUAAAAUUAAAAUUAUAUAUACUUAUAAUAGGAUGACAUAAGAUGUUUGGAACUGAUAAAUUGAAUUGACUUAUUGAAUAGAUUAGAAAUUAGACCAAAUUAAAAAAAAGUAGAGGAAAUGACAAAAAAAUUGUUGAUUAGUCCUUAGAGAGUUGUUUAGUUGUUUCCUUAACUAGGUAAGUUCAUAUAUUAUGUUUGUGCUAAAUUUUUAUGCAUUUGGAAUUAUAAUUUUAAUGAUGUUUAAAUGAAAUUUUAAUUGUUUAUGAUUUAGCACAAAAAUGUGAGAUAAAUAAUUAAAUUGAAAUAAUUAUGGAAUUGAACUUAAAUUGGACUGAAAUAGGAUAUGUCAUGUGAUGAGGUAAUGAACUAAGCUGACUUGAUUUGAUUUAGACUAGUUGAUAGUGAUAAGGAAAAAAUUGAAUAUAUAUGAAAAAUGUGUAUGUAUAUAUAUGUGUGUGUAAUUGAAUGCAUAUAGAUAUGAUUGAUGCUGUCAUGAUUAUGGAUGAAUGAUACGUGAAUUGAGAUGUUGAUUGAUAAUAAAUUGAGUAAUGAAUACCUUAUUAACUAUUUGGGUAGAGUCGGUUAUAGUUGACAUACCAUGGGAUAGGAAGAGCUCAGAGUUACUUCGACUACGAGUCGAUGAGGCACUGGGUGCCAAUUUGCUUCUGUUAUAUCGAUGAAACACUGGGUUUCAAACUUAUUGGUAGCAUUGGGCGCAACUAUUUUCUUCGGAUUUAUCUCAUGAGGCACUAGGUGCCAAACUGGUGUGUUGGUUCUAUCUGUGUAUCUGUUCGAGUUCAAGUUGUGUUAAUAAGUAAAUAAAUGAUUGAAAAAAGAAAUAUCACAUAUUUGAAAUGGCAAAUGAUGUGAAAUGGAAUAUGAAAUUGUGAAAUGAGUUGGGAACAAUGAUUAAUUAUGUUCAAUAAAUCCCUGAAUUUGGAAAUUGAGAUGGAAUGUGAUUUGUAAUUCGUAUUAUGAAAUGAAAUAGUAAUUGACAUUAGAUUGGAAAUUGAUAUAUAUAUUUGGUAUAAAGAUGAAUUGAUAUGAAAUAGGAAUGAAGUUUAUACGAUUUAAUAUGAAUUUGAUUGAGAAUUCGAAUUAUGAAAUGAAAAAUAAUGUUUGGCAUUAAUUUGAAAUGGGAUGCAUUAAGGGCAUACUAGAUUGUUUUGAAUAUGGUAUUAUGUUUGAAUUUGAAUUGUUGGAUUGAGGUGUCAAUUGUGGCAUAUUGGUUGUAUGUAUUUAAUGGAUUGAAUGAGUUCUAUAUAGGCUAUUUGUGUACCUAUAUGUAUCUAUGAGCUAAGAUAUAGAUUUGGGCAUGAAAUAAACUUCUAAAUUUGUGAUUUUGACCAUCUAGGUAAAAGUAUCGACACCAAGGACCAAGGUUAAUAUAAGGUAUUAAUACUUGACCAAAUGAACAGUGUUUUGAAAAUGGCAGAAUGUCAAAAUGGUAUCGACACUGAAGUUUGGCAUCGAUAAUUUUGUUAAAAAUAUCAAUACUUGUUCCUUUUGUAUCGAUACCUAGUUCCAAGUUUUGAAAAUUUUCAGAUUGGUCCUUAAUCAUGCUCGAAUCUAUUAAACUAUGUUCUCUGUUUGGUUCAUAACUUUUAUUAUACAUGUAUUUAGAAAAACUUGAUUAUUUAAAUUAAAUUCAAUGUUAUGAUUUGCAUAUGAAUGUUUCGAUAACUAUAGUAGUAGGAUCAACAUGCAAUUUACAUAUUAACAUUUGAUAUCAUAACUUAAAAUCAAUUAACCAUAUCUUUCCUAAUUUCAAAGACCAUGCACAACCAUUAACAAAAGAUAUUAGGGCAUACAAAAGCUUGGCACAACCAAAAGCAUACCAAUUUAACAUACAACCCUAUACAUGUCAUGUAUAACCAUUUCAAUAUAUAUUCAAAGGUUACCAUAAUGGAUCUGGAUAGUGUGACCAUGCUCUGACGUUGGUUCUAACCGUUCGAGCUUCUCGAUGAUCUAUAAAACAAAGAAAACACAUACGUAAGCAAUUAAUGCUUAGUAAGCUUGUAUUAGGAACUUAAAAUUACCGUAUAUAUUAAAUAAAAUAAUUAAAGAUAAUUACAUUUCAUUAUAGGCCAAACAUCCUUUCCUAUACACAAAAAUUCAUAAGGUUAGUUUGUGAAAUAAUGCACUUUUAUGAUCAACCAAGGCGUGACAUAAAACAUAUCAACAUUUUAAUUUCACCAUCCAGCACUGCUACAUAUAUCAUGUAACUUCAUUCUCUUUACAUUAUGCAUAUCAUUAUAAUGUAUUUCAUUAUCUAAAAUCAUGAUUCAUUUCAUAUUUUCAUAUACCCAUUUAAGCUUUAUUUACUCGUUCAUAUCAUGGAAACAAUUUCACUAUAUAAGUCAUUCAUUCACAUAAUUCAAAUGUUACCUUUUCAAUCCAAAUACUUACAUUACAUUUUUCAUUUUGUAUUUUCAAUAACAUAGUUCAUUUAUAUACAUACCUUUUCAUUUUAAUCUUAGUUGUUCAUUGAACCAAAUAGAAUAACAUCGGAUAUUGGAAAUAAUAAUUUUAGUACAAAUUACCUGAUACAAUACAUCGACACGAAGCCUGCUAGGCACAAAGCCUAGUAUAAUACACCUGCACGAAGCCUGAUAAAAUACACCAGCACGAAGCCUGCUAGGCACAAAGCCUGAUAUAAAACAUCGAUAUGAAGCCUGCUAGGCACAAAGCUUGAUAUAAAACAUUGGCAAGAAGCCUGCUAGGCACAAAGCCUAAUAUAAUACACCAGCAUGAAGCCUACUGGACUCAGGGCCCAAUACACUAUCUCCAAUACAACUCAAUUUGAUUAUUAAUUUUCAUCAACCAACAUUAAAUAAUUACAAACAUCACAAUUAUUAGAAUAAAAAAAUAUCAAGGAGUUUAAUUCACAUUACAUAUAAUAAGAACUUACUUGAACUCAUGUAACAGCCCGAUUUUGGGCCUAGUCGGAAUAGUGGUUUCGGGACCACAAAUCCGACGAGGGAAAAUAUGGUUAUUAUUAUAUUUUUAUGGUCUACAAUUUCACGGAAAAUUUUCGUAAAAAUUUCGUUCGAAAAUUUCGACGUUUGGGCACUCAAUUUAGUCAAAAGGACUAAAUUGUAAAUAGUGCAAAAGUUGAGUUCUAUAUGUAGAAGUAUCUAAUUGAUAUGAAAUUUUAAAUUGGAGGUCUUUAUGUGGUAAUUAGACCAUUAGUUAGUUGAUGGACAAAAAUAGACAUAAGAAAUGAGAGAAAUAGAUUUUUUUUAAGUGGGGGCAUAUUAGUCAUUUGGUAAUAAAAAAAAAUAAAAUGGGAAAAAGAUGACAAAAAUCAUCAUCUUCCUCAUUAGUUGCUGCCGAAAUUUGAAGGAAGCCAUAGCUAAGGUUUCUUUGCUUUCUCAAGCUCAUAGUAAGUGCAUCCUAGCCCCAUUUUUAAUGUUCUUCGCAUUUUUGGAAUCCUCGUAACUCGGUUUAGCUUAUUCUAGCAAUAAUUCGUGUUAGGGCUCAUAUUUGGAAAAAUACCCAUAGGUGAAAUGUGUUUAUUUUGCUGUUUUAUGGUGGAAUAUGAAGCUAUAAAUUAUGUUAAACAACUUUUGCUAAGCGAUUUUAAGCGAAAACGGGUAAAUAGGCAUAAUCGGUAAAAAUAAUUAUUGUUCAUAAGUGUAUGUUAGAGUGAGAAUUUGAUGUUGCCAUAGAAGGGAAAAAUGUUCAGCAUGUCAUAAAACCUAAGAAUAAGUGAUGAAGUUUAAUUUCCGAGCUUGGGGACAAAAGUGUAAUUAUGCAAAAGUUUGGGGGCAAAAUUGUAAUUUUCAAAAAGUUGGGUGGUGGAUUAUUUUAAUGAAUGUGAACAUUAAAUGAGUUAAAUUUGCUAUUAUAGAUCAAGAAAGACAUGAAGAUUAUCUCAAACGAGGAAAAGAAAAGAUAGUGGAGUGAAGUGCAAAAUUACGAUAUUUUGCACCGAGUGACUUCCGACAACUCGGAAAUUUGGAACGAAGUCAGACAAUCAUCCACACUAUCCUUCACACUUGGGGUAUUUUGCUACUAUCGUUCCGGAAAAUUAUGGCAUGUAAAGACGACCUAUGAAAUAUGGAAUCAUCAUGUAAAUAUAUGUUAUGGUUUGAUUUAAAAUGUGGUGUUCAUUAAUAGUUAAAUUGUGAGUAUUAUUAUAAAUGAGUUUGGUUGAUAUAUAUAUAUUGGAUUGUGAUUUAAAUUUGCAGGAGGUUUAAGCAAAAUUAAGCAGAAAUGCUGUCGAAAUUUUUUUUAAAAAACUUAGUAAUACCUCAUACUCUGUUCCGAGCCGGAAUACGAGUAAGGGGUGUUACAUUUUAGUGGUAUCAGAGCUACGGUUUAGUCGGUUCUCGGACCAAUAAAAUAUGUGUGAAAGUCAGUCUAUACAUGCCAUCAAUAUAUUGUGAUAGUGUGAUGAUUUCUGACAAUUUAAAAUUUUGUUUUAUAUAGUAAAUGGAUCCUAAUCGAAGUAUGGCAGAUGAUGUUGAAAGUAACACGCCGGUUCCCGCACAAGGGACCGCGCAUGAAGAGAGUAGACAUGAGACACAUGGACAGGAUGAGGCUCGAGAAGCCUUCCUCCGAAUGAUGAGUGAUUGGUAUACAGAAUAUGUCCGUGUAAAUCCGAAUGUUCCACCUCCUCCACCCCCUCCUAUUCCUCCGCCGGUCCCCGUAGCUCCACGAAGUGCUGAAUUGGUGAGAUCAAGUAAACCACCCGUUGAUAGAAUUCGAAAGCAUGGGGCUGAAGAUUUCAGGGCCAAUGUUGAUGAUGAUCCGGAAAAAGCCGAGUUUUGGCUUGAAAAUACUAUCCAGGUAUUUGAUGAAUUAUCUUGUACUCCUGAGGAAUGUUUGAAAUGUGCUGUGUCUUUAUUGAAGGAUUCGGCAUACCGUUGGUGGAAAACAUUAAUAACGGUGGUUCCAAAAGAAAGAGUUACUUGGGACUUCUUUCAGGAAGAAUUCAGAAAGAAAUAUGUAAGCCAACGGUUUAUUGAUCAGAAGCGCAAAGAGUUUCUCGGAUUGAAACAGGGCCGAAUGUCAGUAGCAGAAUAUGAACGGGAGUUUGUCCGGCUUAGUAAAUAUGCCCAGGAAUGUGUGCCUACGGAGGCUAUUAUGUGUAAAAGAUUUGAAGAGGGGCUAAAUGAAGACAUCAGAUUACAUGUUGGAAUUUUAGAGUUAAAAGAAUUUGUGGUACUAGUUGAUCGUGCUUGCAAAGCUGAAGAGCUGAGUAGAGAAAAGAGAAGGGCAGAGAUGGAAGCUCGAGAUGUAAGGAAGAGGUCAAUGGGCAGAACAUUUCAAUCUCACCCGAAGAAGUUUAAAGGGAUGGAUCCACGACCAACCGGUUCAGUUGGGUAUUCACGCAGAGACCGAGGGAGGUCAUAUUCCGGAACUACAACUCGAGCUACCUCAGUGGCAAGUGUGGGUAAUGUAGGAAACACCAGACCUGAAUGUCAACAGUGUGGCAGGCGACAUACUGGUGAGUGUUGGGGAUUUAAACGAGCUUGUUUCAGAUGUGGUUCCCAAGAGCAUUAUGUAAAAGACUGCCCUGAGAGAAUAGAAGAAGAAAGAUUACAAAGAGCUGGAUCGGGUGAUGUUGUCAGUAGAGGCAGACCACCGAGAAAUGUGGGAAGCAAAGCCAGUGGUAAGAGUGUGAUAAAAGAUACAGCUGGAGGAUCAGAAACUAGAGCGCCUGCCAGGACUUAUGCUAUACGCGCUCGAGAGGAUGCCUCAUCUCCCGAUGUGAUUACUGGUACAUUUUCUCUUCAUGAUAUUAAUGUUAUUGCUUUGAUUGAUCCCGGCUCUACUCAUUCAUAUAUAUGCAUGAAUUUGGUGUCUAGUAAGAAAUUGCCUGUUGAAAACACUGAAUUUGUAGUUAAAGUAUCAAAUCCUUUAGGCAAAUAUGUCUUAGUCGAUAAUGUUUGCAAGAAUUGUCCCCUGAUGAUUCAAGGUCACUGUUUCCCGGCUAAUUUGAUGUUGUUACCAUUUGAUGAGUUUGAUGUUAUUUUGGGGAUGGAUUGGUUGAUAUUGCAUGAUGCCAAGGUAAAUUGUAGACAGAAAAUUCUUGAAUUAAAUUGUGAAAACGGUGAAAUUCUCCGGGUUGAAACAAAGGAGCCGAAUAAGUUGCCUAUGGUGAUUUCGCACAUUUCUGCUCAGAAAUACUUGAGAAAGGGAUGUGAAGUUUAUCUUGCUUAUGUGCUGAACACGGAUAUUACCUGGUCAAAGCUUGAAUCAGUGCCGGUAGUUUGUGAAUUUCCAGAUGUAUUUCCAGAGGAAUUGCCUGGGUUACCUCCGAUUAGAGAAGUUGAGUUUUCUAUUGAUCUGUUACCUGGUACUGUACCGAUUUCUAUUGCACCGUAUCGAAUGGCUCCGACUGAGUUGAAGGAAUUAAAAGCUCAGUUACAAGAGUUGACAGAUAAAGGAUUUGUGAGACCGAGUUUUUCUCCUUGGGGUGCUCCUGUGUUAUUUGUGAAAAAAAGGACGGCUCUAUGAGACUUUGUAUUGACUAUCGUCAGCUCAACAAGGUGACUAUAAAGAACAAGUAUCCUUUGCCGAGAAUUGAUGAUUUAUUUGAUCAAUUAAAAGGGGCAACAGUGUUUUCUAAGAUUGAUUUGAGGUCUGGUUACUAUCAGUUAAGAGUUAAAGAGUCUGAUGUGCCGAAAACCGCCUUUAGAACAAGGUAUGGACACUAUGAAUUUCUGGUAAUGCCUUUUGGGUUAACAAAUGCUCCAGCUAUUUUUAUGGACUUGAUGAACCGAAUUUUUCGGCCGUACUUGGAUAAGUUCGUGGUGGUGUUCAUAGAUGAUAUUUUAAUCUAUUCUCGGGAUGAAUCUGAGCAUACAGAAUAUUUAAGAACUGUGUUGCAGAUUCUGAGAGAAAAGAAAUUGUAUGCUAAAUUCAACAAAAGUGAGUUUUGGCUUCGUGAGGUUGGAUUCUUGGGACAUAUAGUUUCAAGUGAAGGUAUUCGUGUUGAUCCAAGCAAAAUUUCAGCAAUUGUUGAUUGGGAGCCACCAAAGAAUGUGACAGAAGUUAGAAGCUUUCUGGGCUUAGCUGGGUAUUACAGACGCUUUGUCAAGGGAUUUUCGAUGAUUGCUUCUCCUAUGACUAAGUUACUGCAGAAGAAUGUCAAGUUUGAAUGGACCAAUAAAUGUCAACAGAGUUUUGAAAAGUUGAAGGCAUUAUUGACUGAGGCGCCAGUGUUGGUGCAACCUGAGUCCGGGAAGGAGUUUGUAAUUUACAGUGAUGCAUCGUUGAAUGGCCUUGGGUGUGUGUUAAUGCAAGAGGGCAAAGUAAUAGCUUAUGCUUCGAGACAAUUGAAACCGCAUGAGAAAAAUUAUCCGACGCAUGAUUUAGAAUUGGCUGCCAUUGUUUUUGCUUUAAAAAUUUGGCGUCAUUAUUUGUAUGGUGAAAAGUGCCGAAUCUUCACUGAUCAUAAGAGUUUGAAGUAUUUGAUGAGCCAAAAAGAUUUGAAUUUGCGGCAACGAAGAUGGCUCGAGCUAAUCAAAGACUAUGAGCUAGUGAUUGAUUAUCACCCCGGGAAAGCUAAUGUGGUUGCUGAUGCCUUGAGCAGAAAAUCUUUAUUUGCUUUGAGAGCUAUGGGUACGAUGUUAACUUUAUCUGAUGAUGGCUCAAUGUUGGUUGAAUUGAGAGCUAGACCAUUAUUUCUUCAGCAAAUUCGGGAAUCUCAAAAGAAUGACAGUAAAUUGCAAGCCAAGAGAGCUCAGUGUGAAGCAGGUGUUGACUCAGAUUUUCAAAUUGGUUCAGAUGAUUGCUUGAUGUUCCGGGAUAGAGUAUGUGUACCAAGAAAUGAUGAGUUAAUUCAGACCAUUUUAUGUGAGGCACAUAGUGGUGACUUGUCAGUUCAUCCGGGUAGUGUGAAAAUGUAUAAUGAUUUGAAGAAGUUGUAUUGGUGGCCAGGCAUGAAAAAGGAUAUCUCGGAAUUUGUAUCAAAGUGUUUAAUCUGUCAACAAGUGAAGGCUGAGCAUCAAGUACCAUCGGGUUUACUUCAACCGAUAACGAUUCCAGAGUGGAAGUGGGAUAGUAUUACGAUGGAUUUUGUGACAGGAUUGCCUUUAACUCCAAAGAAGAAAGAUGCUAUUUGGGUAAUUGUUGAUAGAUUGACAAAGUCGGCUCAUUUUAUUCCGAUACGCAUUGAUUACUCACUUGACAGGUUGGCAGAAUUAUAUGUUGCUGAAAUAGUGAGAUUACAUGGGGUGCCUAAAUCUAUUAUAUCGGAUAGAGAUCCGAGAUUUACUUCGAGGUUUUGGAUAAAGUUGCAGGAAGCCUUGGGUACAAAAUUGAAUUUCAGUACUGCGUUUCAUCCGCAAACUGACGGGCAAUCGGAAAGAGUGAUUCAAAUUCUUGAAGAUAUGCUCCGGUGUUGUAUUUUAGAAUUGAAAGGCAGUUGGGAGAAAUAUCUACCAUUGGUUGAAUUUGCUUAUAACAAUAGCUAUCAGUCAAGUAUACGAAUGGCACCGUAUGAAGCAUUAUAUGGGCGUAAGUGUAGAACUCCUUUAUAUUGGACUGAGCUCGGUGAGAACCGGAUUCAUGGAGUCGACUUGGUGAAAGAAACUGAAGAAAAGGUGAAAAUAAUUCGUGACUGUUUAAAGGCUGCCUCAGAUCGGCAAAAGUCGUAUGCGGAUUUAAAGAGAAAAGAAAUUGAGUUUCAAGUAGGUGAUAAGGUGUUCUUGAAGGUGUCUCCAUGGAAGAAGAUUCUGAGAUUUGGUCGUAAAGGCAAACUAAGUCCACGAUUUAUUGGACCAUAUGAAGUUACCGAGAGAGUUGGCCCUGUAGCAUAUCGGUUAGCUUUACCACCGGAGUUGGAAAAGAUACAUAAUGUGUUUCAUGUGUCGAUGUUGCGACGUUACCGUUCGGAUCCUUCACAUAUAGUUUCCCCUACAGAGAUUGAGGUCAGACCAGAUAUGACUUAUGAGGAAGAACCAAUAAAGAUUUUGGCUCGGGAAGUCAAGCAGUUAAGGAAUAAAAGUGUAUCCUUAGUAAAAGUACUGUGGCAAAAACAUGGGAUGGAGGAAGCUACGUGGGAACCGGAGGAAAUUAUGAGGAAACAGUACCCAAAUCUCUUUUCCGGUAAGAUUUUCGGGGACGAAAAUCCUUAAGGGGGGAGAGUUGUAACAGCCCGAUUUUGGGCCUAGUCGGAAUAGUGGUUUCGGGACCACAAAUCCGACGAGGGAAAAUAUGAUUAUUAUUAUAUUUUUAUGGUCUACAAUUUCACGGAAAAUUUUCGUAAAAAUUUCGUUCGAAAAUUUCGACGUUUGGGCACUCAAUUUAGUCAAAAGGACUAAAUUGUAAAUAGUGCAAAAGUUGAGUUCUAUAUGUAGAAGUAUCUAAUUGAUAUGAAAUUUUAAAUUGGAGGUCUUUAUGUGGUAAUUAGACCAUUAGUUAGUUGAUGGACAAAAAUAGACAUAAGAAAUGAGAGAAAUAGAUUUUUUUUAAGUGGGGGCAUAUUAGUCAUUUGGUAAUAAAAAAAAAUAAAAUGGGAAAAAGAUGACAAAAAUCAUCAUCUUCCUCAUUAGUUGCUGCCGAAAUUUGAAGGAAGCCAUAGCUAAGGUUUCUUUGCUUUCUCAAGCUCAUAGUAAGUGCAUCCUAGCCCCGUUUUUAAUGUUCUUCGCAUUUUUGGAAUCCUCGUAACUCGGUUUAGCUUAUUCUAGCAAUAAUUCGUGUUAGGGCUCAUAUUUGGAAAAAUACCCAUAGGUGAAAUGUGUUUAUUUUGCUGUUUUAUGGUGGAAUAUGAAGCUAUAAAUUAUGUUAAACAACUUUUGCUAAGCGAUUUUAAGCGAAAACGGGUAAAUAGGCAUAAUCGGUAAAAAUAAUUAUUGUUCAUAAGUGUAUGUUAGAGUGAGAAUUUGAUGUUGCCAUAGAAGGGAAAAAUGUUCAGCAUGUCAUAAAACCUAAGAAUAAGUGAUGAAGUUUAAUUUCCGAGCUUGGGGACAAAAGUAUAAUUAUGCAAAAGUUUGGGGGCAAAAUUGUAAUUUUCAAAAAGUUGGGUGGUGGAUUAUUUUAAUGAAUGUGAACAUUAAAUGAGUUAAAUUUGCUAUUAUAGAUCAAGAAAGACAUGAGGAUUAUCUCAAACGAGGAAAAGAAAAGAUAGUGGAGUGAAGUGCAAAAUUACGAUAUUUUGCACCGAGUGACUUCCGACAACUCGGAAAUUUGGAACGAAGUCAGACAAUCAUCCACACUAUCCUUCACACUUGGGGUAUUUUGCUACUAUCGUUCCGGAAAAUUAUGGCAUGUAAAGACGACCUAUGAAAUAUGGAAUCAUCAUGUAAAUAUAUGUUAUGGUUUGAUUUAAAAUGUGGUGUUCAUUAAUAGUUAAAUUGUGAGUAUUAUUAUAAAUGAGUUUGGUUGAUAUAUAUAUAUUGGAUUGUGAUUUAAAUUUGCAGGAGGUUUAAGCAAAAUUAAGCAGAAAUGCUGUCGAAAUUUUUUUUAAAAAACUUAGUAAUACCUCAUACUCUGUUCCGAGCCGGAAUACGAGUAAGGGGUGUUACAACUCAUAAACGACUUCUAACACGAAUCGACCACUAUUCCGCUACUUUGACUUUUCUGCGAUUUGUGUCCAUUCAAGUUGUUUCUUGAUCUAAAUAAAUAUUUUUAUUCAAUUAAUCUCAUUCCAAAAUUUCAAAUAAUUAAUUUAAACCUAUAACCCUUAUUCAUGUUAAUUUAUUAAAAUUACCCCCAAUGGUUUUUUUUAUACAAUUUAGUCCCUAAACCCGAAACUUACAAAUCUAACACUUUUAGCUAAAAUUCAUGCUAGCAAAAUUUUACCUAAUCUUAUGACAUCCCAUAUUUAUCAUCAAUUUAUAGUAUUUUUCUUGAAUUUUACCGUUUUCAUAAAUAAGUCCUUAAACCUUAAAAUCAUCAAAAAAUACUUAACAAAAUAUGUCUAUGUAACAACCAAGCUUAACAAUCUAUCAUAAAAAUUAAAAAAUAUAUCAAUUUCAUCCAUGGCAUAAUCUAUAACAUUUAACAAUUUUACAAAUUGACCCCCGAGUUAGCUAGAUUAAGCUAAUACGAGCUCGAAACCAUAAAAAUUACUAAAAAAGGGAUAAAAUUACACACCAUGCAUGAAGAAUUGAGCAUGGUCGAAUGCUUUGGUUUCUUUUUCAUGGAGAAUUAGGCUACUCAUUCCUUUUGGGGAAGAUGACAUUGUUUUCAUCAUUGUUUAAACUUAAUUUAUUAUUUAAUUACCAUUUUACCCUUAUAAUAUUAACUUAUAAAAUGACUAAAGCAUGCCCAUAUUUUUCCACUAUCCAUAUACAUGAUAUAAUUACCCACUAAGUCCUUUAAUGUAAGAUUUCAUAGCAAUUUGACCCCUUUAGCAUAUAAAAUUCAACUUUUGCAUGUUUUACAGUGUAGCCCUUUUCACUUAAUUAACUAUUUAAACGUUAAAACUUCUUAGCCAAAUUUUAAUAUAACCCUAAUAACACUCUGUAAAUAUUUAUGGUCUCAUUUUAUAGAAAUGAUGUCCCAAAACCUUAUUUUCCAAAACCACUUAAUUUUAACGAUUUACCACUUGAACUUAAUUAUUUGUUCAAAUAACAUAAAUUAUCAAAUCAAAAUUUAUUAAUAUACUAUAUUUGACUCGUAAAUAUUAAAUAAUAAUAUUUAAGAAUUCUGUUGUAGUUUUUGGGGCCCCGAAACUACUGUUUCUGAAACCACUAAGUAACGAUAUGUUACAAGUAAGCUCGUCUUUCAACAAUGAUACUAUACCUUGAACUCCUACUCGAUGGUACAAUCCAUGCCAUCUAGAAUUCUUUUCGUAGCCUCCAUCCAAUAUUCAGGUAUGGUAGGGGUAGCCCAAACAACACCCUUAAACAGCUUAGCUCUAUUGGGUCAAAGCCUCUCAACUAUGGUCCCUCGACUAUCGGUUCUAGUUUGGGCUCUAGCUACCCACUAUAACACUUUAAACAUGGCCUGUGAUACAACACCAUCAGCAGGCUCCUGAUGACUACCCUCAACGGCAGGUGUAUUCUCAAUGUGCUCGGCCACAGGCUCAAGAGUACGCACUUGAGAUGCAAAAGAUUCAAUUUGGGCAUUGUGGCCUUGUGCUCCUCGGGCUCGCAUGCCACGAUUUCGUACACCUCAAGUGUUCAUUUCGUUAUCAAGAGUCUAAGUUUUAUGAAAUUAUCUACAGUUCAAAAAUAAGUUCUUAUUAUUAACCUGAAGUGUUUUCAAUCUAAUAGUUUAACUAAAGUUCACAAUCUAUAGUUUUUCUAUAGUUUUAGUAAUAAAAGUACUUAUCUAGGAUUGACUUCAGAGUCUCAUAUUUUUGUUUUGAAAAACAUACUUCAUAAAAUUUAUCUAUGGCAUGGUUCCUACAAUACCCUUUUAAAAUAUGCAUACAAAUUUUGAGUUUUGAAUCGGGCUCUGAUACUACUAAAUGUAACCUCCCAAACUCGGCCUCAACAUUAUGGUUGAAUCCUGAAAAUUACAUUGUUCAUUGGAAUGGCAUGGAAAAACGUUCAUAUUUUAAAUUACUCUUUAAAACCAAUUGUCUUUUUAUUUAAGACUAGUGAUCUUGAUUAUUUCUCUUGUUUCAAGAAAAUCAUAUUAAUUUUAAAAUCAUCAAACAUCUUUAAAGUUUCAAUUGUAAAGAUUAAUUAUUUAGGAAAAACUAAGUUAUAUUUUGUUAAAAAAAAACCUUUAAGUAUUGUAGUGGAAAAUUGUAUAAAAAUCAUAUUUUUGUUAAAAAUCAAAUUUUCAUGCAUAUUUAAUAAAACAUCAGAGACUUAAAACUUCAAAUCAUGCAAAAAUGAAGUAAAAAUCCUCAAAUGUAAAGCCCCAUGCCACAGUCCAUAAGAAAAUUAUUACAAUCCCAAAAAUAAUCAUAUAAUAAAGUUUAAAGUAUUUAAAAUAAAAACCAUUCAAGAACUCUUCCGACAGCCUCAUCCAAGUCCUAACCUCGUGGAUCAUCUAAAAUCAUAUUAGAAACUAAGGGGUGAGGUAAUAAGCUCAGUGUGAGUCUUAUUUCAAAUAUAUAGUAAUAAUAAAUAUGACAGUCAAGCCAAAAAAUAUACAGAGUACUAUAAACAGUGCAAAUUUCACAAUGUGUACCAUGAAUAAUCAUGUCAAUGCAGAAUUUUCAGAAUUUUCCUACCCAGCUCAGCUACACACCAAUAUAAGAUUUCCCCAAAACUCAUCCAACCAACCAAAUUAUGGACAAGCCAUUAGAAUUACAGAUAAACUACCAGAUUUGCAGAUAAGCUACUAGAAAUAUGGUUAUGCCACCAGAAUUGUAGGUAAACUACCAAAAUUAUGUGGUUGAACCACCAUAAUUGCAAAUAAACUAUCAGAUCUUCCUCCUUACAUAUUUGUAACAUCCUUAACCCGUAUCCAUCACUAGAAUAGGGUUAUAGAGUAUUACCGUAAAAUCGUAACAUAAAAACAUACAUUUCCAAAUGUUAAUAUAAACAUAACAUAAUCCCUACAUAUACAUGCAUAUCAUCCCUUAAUCGAGCCAUCGAGGCCUUAAAAAUACUUUAGAAAUGAUUUGUAACUAAAUCGAGAUUGAGAAAAUAGUUAGAAAAAUUGAACUGUAGGGGUCACACGGUCGUGUGACUACAUAGGUUAGACACACACUCGUGUCUCAAGCCCUGUAACAAUCGAAAUAGGGACACACGGUCGUGUCCCUGCCCGUGUCCAUGCCCGUGUAACUCUUUGAGUUGGGUCACAUGGCCAAGCCACACGUCUGUGUGCUAGGUCAUGUAACACUUGAAAUAGCCUCACAGGCCUGUGUGCCAGGCCGUGUGCUAGGCCGUGUAAUUGCCUGACUUGUAACCUUUAAAACCUACAGGGGGCACACAGCUGUGUCGCAUGGUUUUGUGUCACACAUGGUUGAGACACACGCCCGUGUCUUAGGCCGUAUGAACAAGAAAUUAGCCAAAAUCAAGCCAUUUCUUUCACCCAUUCCAACAAGUACCUACAAGCCAUAUACACAUAUGAUCAAGGCACCAAAAAUCCUACCAAAACAUGCUUAAUUUAACCAAUUCAAAUUAUCUAAAAUCCAUUUAACCAAUAUGGCUUACAAGGCACGCCAAUCAAAAUCAAACAAACUUACCAAAACAUAUGCAUAAUUAACCUUACUUCCAACAUACAUUUCUAGUUCCAUAUCAUCUUAAAACAUACGAUAAUUAAGACCAUUUCUAGCAUAGCAACUUAAUUCACCAACAAGCCAAAACAAACCACAAGUGUAUACUUUUAUAUCUUUCUAAUUGUACCAAAAAGAUACCUAUUUACAAUCUUAGUAAAAUACUUAACAACUUAGUUUAGUAUUUUGUCAAAAAUGUACCAUAACAACCUCUAUAGCCAUAUAUACAUGCCACAACCCUAAGGAGCACAAGAACUACCAACAUCGGUGGAUAGUGUGAGCCGAAGAUUCGAUCUAUACAAAAGUCAACAAUAACAAUUUACAAAAAAAUACACGAAAACGUAUAAGCUUAUAGAGCUUAAUAAGAACAUAGUAAAUCUUUUAACUUUAACAAAAAUUGAAUGCAACUCAUAUUUUACUUGAUUUGAAGUUAUCAAAAUGUAAGCAAGGGCACGUAUGUGAAAUUUAAGGGUAUCAAAGUACAAACAGGGGGCACGCAUGUGCAAUUUAUGGGCACCGAUGUAACACCCCAAACCCAGCCUGGACAUGGUAGUGUGUUUGAAAACCGAAGCUCGUGUUGAAAACAAACUAUAACUUUGCUUAAAAAAUUUUCCAUUUAGAGCUCGUUGUUAUCUUUUGUUAAUCCUAAAAAAGUGUUUUUUAUUCAAUCGUUAGUUUGCAAAUCAUUAUACGUUGCGGAAGCUUUUUAAAAUAGUUUGUGUCAUUGUGGGUAUUUUGCUAAAACACAUGCAUUUCUUUUUAAAAACCCGUGUUUUAUCUACCUCUAGCAGAUGUAAAACAUAAAGCUGUGUUAAAUCCAAAUUUAAAACAAAAAUCUAUAGCAGCCAUUAUUACAGAUAAAAAAACCCCAAAUAAAUCUUUAAAAAUAAAUAUAAUUAGGUACGAAAUAGUAAAAAGGAGUCGUGUGGCCACCGCUGAGUCCUCCACCGCACCGAUCUACUUAUGACUGGGGAUUACCUGUACAGAUUAACAGAAGGGGGUGAGUUUUCAAAACUCAAUGUGUAACCCCUCUAUAAACAAGCAGACAGAAAGCAAUCAUAAUAUAGGCCUAAGCCCAUUUCAACAACAGUUUCAGUUUCAGUUAGGGCCUUAGCCCAUUACAAUACAGUAGCAGUCAUGUGUUUGGGCCUCGGCCCAUUACAAUAUCCAUAUUCAAUACAGUAAUAGAUAUGCAAUAUCAAAUCCUACCCAAUCAGCCUCUAUAUUCCAACUUCGUCCAACCCUACACUCCAUGUGGGGAUAUAAUCAACUCACCCAUCCCUACACUCCAAAAAGUAUCGAAUGUGGCACUAGACAGUGGUUUGCAGCUGAACUGCCAGUAAAUUAAGCUUGAGGCCUUUCAGUGCACUUCCUUCGAACAAUAUAAACUCCCACCCCAAUGCAAUGCAAUAUAUAUGACAUGCUAAAACAUAAUAUCAUGCAUAAAGUCGUGGCAUACAGUACCAAACCAGUGGGACAUCAUCAUGCUUAUUAACAUGCAUAAUCGUAUCUGUCAUACAGUCAUUUCAAUCAAUUAGGGGUCUAGGUAAGCUUACUAACCCUACGGUAGGUCCACAGUUGACUCGGGCGACCCAUGCAACCUUAGCCAUCAAACAGUGAAAAUAGGCCCACAAGCCCAUGACAUUUGCCCGUGUGGGCCCACACACCCAUGUGGCCCACACAACCCAAAAAAGGCCUUGGCCGUGUGGAUCACACAGCCUAGCCCAAUAAUCUCACACGCCCAUGUGGUUCACCCGUGUGGGCCUACACGCUUGUGUGGCCCACACAGCCCAAUUCGGUCCAACUCGUGUAUCGCACACGACCAACCUCGUCGAUCACAUGCCUGUGUUUAGUCACACGGCCUAUCGCAUGGGCGACCACACGCCCGUGUGGUGUCGACAGUCCCACUUUUUGGCUUUUCGCCAAUUACUGAUUUUCAAUGUUGUGUUUACACACCUUUUUUCAUUUGAAGUUAACCCGCACUCCGAGUACUCCAAAACCUAGAUUCAAUCAAAACAUCAUUCAAUCAACUACUUAACUCGUUAUUCAAUCAAGGCCUAACGAAGUUAAAAAUCGAUCAACAAUCGAAACCCCCUUACCGAAGUCAACCAGAAUUGCACCCUCAAUUCCUUAAAGAUACACCAACCAACCCUUGGUCUCCACCUAAAACGAGAGUCACAAACCUUCUCGUUAAGCCUUUAAUCGAAUUACACUACAAAAUUCAAUUACAUUAUACUUACCGAUCAUACACAACCCUUCAUUCAGUAUCUUAUAAAACGAGACAAUAAAACACCUAAAUCACUUACCCAACUGACGAAAGAACAUAGUGCAAUUUGGCAACGCAAGAGAGAACGAAUCGAAAAGGGGAAUCCAAGACUGAAAAGAGGAAAAAUAGAGGGGGUGACAGUAAGAGGAGGAAAAGGAAAACGAUGAGAAGGGGAGUGCAAAGCCGAAAGGGGACAGAAGGCAAAGCAGAACUCACCUAGCAAUAUUCGGCCAAGAAGAGGAGCAAGAUGACGCACGGUCGGCUUGAGGGGAAGGGAAACUAGGUCAAAAAUUUGGGAACAGAAAAGGGGAACCGAAUUUUUUUAAAAAAAAGGGCAGCAAGUGGGGAUAUUUCGGCUAAAAACAAAAAAUAGGUAGAAAAGAUGGAGAGUAGAAAAUCGACAGAACACAAAAAGAAAGGAGGAAGAAAACUGUUCAGCCAAAAAUUUUAUUCUGGCCGAAAUUCCUCAAGAUAAUGCCCAUAUCCCCCAAAACAAAAUCCCUAAAAUCUCCCCCCCCCAAACCGUCCGCCACUUCCCUACUACACCUCAAAUUCUCAGCAUUUGACUACAAUCCAAACUCCUUCACGACACAAAUAACAAAAAUAAUACUCAUGCCCAGACUUGAACACAAGACCUUUAGCACACUAACUCACCACUUAACCCCCAAACCAGCAGACCCAUUCUGUCAUAUUUUACCAACAUUUAUUUAUAAGCCAACUAGUUAGAGAUAAAGGUUUAUUCAUUUAAAAACCAAAAAUUUGCCCAAGCUAAAGCUUGAACUUAAGACCUCACACACACACCCAGAACACUUAACCACUGAAGUAGACAGAUAUUUGUAUCACAAACAUACAAAAAUAAAUAUACAAGGGAUUGUUGGGGUGUUACAACCAAAGUACAAAUAAGGGAACGUAUGUGUAAUUCAGGGGUACCAAAGUACAAACAGGGGCACGUAUGUGUAAUUUUGGGGUACCGAAGUACAAAUAGGGGAACAUAUGUGCAAUUCAGGGGUACCGAAGUACAAAGGGGCAUGUAUGUGAAAUUCAGGAAAUAAUUAAGUAUAAGCAAUUAAUUACAUAACUAUAUUGAAAACAUACAAGUAGAAAUUCAAGUACGUAUACAAAUACUAUGGCCUUCCAUUGACAACUAGAGCGUAAAAGUACGGUCAAGCUAAUUCGUGAUUUUUAUCUUUCCUCGGUUUAGAUCCUGUUGAGAUUUAUCUUGAUCUAAAUAAAUAAUUAUAUUCAAUUAAGUGUUUCAAUCAAUCUCAAACAUUCAAUUCAAUCCAUAAUCCAUAUUCAUAAAUAAUUACAAUUUUGCCCCUAACAUUUUAACUUUUUUACAAUUUAGUCCUUAAACUCAUAAAUUGAAAUCUAAGUAUUCUCAUCCCUAACUCAUGCUAAAAGAAUUUAUUAUGAACCCAUAUCAACUCAUACAAAUCAUCAUUUCACAAUUUAACCAUGAUAUUUUACUACUUUUACAAAUAAGUCUCUAAAUGAUUUUUUUUUAUCAAAAAUCACUUUACCAAACUUGUUUAUUUAUCUACAAGGACUCAUAAUAUUUUUUUAAACUUUAAGAAUCAUACAAAAAAUUCAUGGAAAACCCUAAAUCUUUAACAAUUUUGUAAAUUAGUCCUCGGGCUAACUAGAUUAAGCUACAACGAUCCCAAAAACAUAAAAACCAUUAAAAACGGGGCUUGAACACUCACCACGCACACAACCCUAGCUCAACCGAAAGUUCCCUCUUCUCCAAUUGCCAAAAUCAGUUUUGGUUCAUCAAAUAAAGAAGAUGGACAUUUUGUUUUAAUUAAUUUAACCUUUAUUUACUAAUUUACCUUUUUACCCUUUAAAAACUUUAAUAAUUUCAAUAAAACCAUGUUAUGGAUGUCCAACAUUUAAACCCACUCACAUUUAAAUUUCGUAGCAAUUAAACUCCUUUAACUUAUAGAACUCUAUUUUUGUACCUUUUACGAUUUAGUCCUUUUUACUAAAUUAAGCAUGCAAAUGUCCAAAUUUCUUAACGAAUUUUUUAUACAACACUACUAACAUACUGUAGACAUUAAAAUAAUAAUAAGAUAAAAAUUCUCUCAUCAAAUUUGUGGUUCUAAAACCACUAUUUUUAUUUUACUAAAAACGGGUUGUUACAAUAUUCAUCCCAACCCAAUGCAAAAUGACAUGUUAUAAUUAAAAAAUAGCAGAAACAAGGCAUGAUCAGAGCAUGAAAACAGUGGCAAAAAUAGUAGGCAUGAUUUAAACAUGCGAUCAGAGUAAGAACAAUGGCAUAAAUUCCACGCAAUCGGUAAAAUAGUAUAGCAAGCGUAUUUGAUGACACUUUUAGAAUUAUCAGUAUUAGAAUUCACAUUUUUAAUAUGACUAAAUUUUAGUUAUAGUGUGCAAGGUUUAUCAUGACAUCAAUCUCAAUAAUAUAUUUGCAACAUGGUUCAAACACAUAUUAUACGAAUAUCAUCAAAUCAUAAUACAACACCCAUACAUAUUUAUGACAUCAUGGAUUUAACAGGUUAGAGUCAUUUACUUAAAAACAAUCCUAUUGAAGGAUUUUAUCAAUCACCAUGAAUACUUAGCGUAUUCAAAUAACCACGUUUUGAAGUAGAUAAUAAAUAUUAAUCAUAAUUAAACAAUGAUUAAGAAAUAAUCAUAUAUAUUUUUAUUUUAUUAAAUCCACGCCUAAAAAUAAGCCUUGUCACUAAAUCUACACCUCAAACUCCAACGAUAACGAAUCUAAACAGAUCUCGUUUGAUCUGAUCAAGUAAUAAUAGUAUGAUACCAAUAGGACAUUCGUUAGUUUUAGCCAUAAACCAAAAUAUAAUUCUCUUAUGAAUUCAAAUAAGAAACUCACCCCAAUAUCUUUUUGAAAAGAGAUCCAAACGUUUUUCAGAUCCAAACGUUUUUCUUACGCUAAAGUAAAUCUAAAUGAUCUGGAUUAGACUUGUGAAGAAACGUGUAACACAAAUAUUAGACCAUAUAUUCAGAUCACAUAAGAAAAGAAAGGAUUUAGAUUAGAUUUACUAAUCGUUAAGCUAAACUGAUCAAAUUGAGAAGAUUAACGAUUCACUAGAAUUUUUGGUUUGAUAGAGGAGUAGUGGCUAAGGAAAAACAAAAAAAUGAAUAAAGUGAGUAUGCAUAUUAUUUAAUAAUUUAAGAAAAAGAAGAAGAAGAGAUGCUAAAAUUCAGUUAUGACCAAAUAGAUGAAAAGAGAAUAAAUAAGAAGAAAAUUGGUGGGCGUCGGUGGCGCGUUAGCAAAGACAGUGGAAUAGGUCCGACGGUGGCAAGAAGAGAGUGGGAGAAGAGGGAUGAUGGUGCAGUGGUGGUGUUUAGGUUGUGUGAUGUUGGCUAAAGGUGGUGAGUGGUGGCAAAAUCAAAUGUAAGUGGCGACUCAAUGUUGUGCAAGAGAAGGAGGAUGAGAGAAAAAGAAAGGGUAGAAAGGAAACAAAGAAAUGAAACAAAAUUAUUUUGUUUCUCUAGUUGCAAAGGACGAAUAAAGGGUUUGAAGGGGAGAAAAAUAGGAAGAAGGUGAAAAGAGGGGAAGAAAAAGAAAGAAGAAGGAACAUGUGGAGUGCAAAAGGAGAAAGAAGAGAAAUAAGAGUAAAAUAUGGGAGGAAAGAAUCCCGCUUGCAAAGAAACUAGAACGAAGGACAAUAGGGAGGUUUGAACAAAAAUUUAAAUGCAAAUUUUUUUUUAAAAAAAUAAGAAGAAGGAGAGGGAAAUUGAACUUAGAUCACCUGAAAAAUUUAGCUUGCUCUUAACCACUAGGCUAGAACUCUCACUUGUUUAAGAAUUAACGAUAACUUAAUUUAGAUGAGGUGUGACAUAACCUUUUUUAAUAUUUAUAUUAUAGAAAUAUUAUAUUACUAUAGAUUUAAUUUUUUUGUGCUACAAAUUACAUAAUAUAUAAAAAAAUAACAUAACAUAAAAUAUUACGAACUUAAAAGCGAGUCAGACUGGGCUGAUUCGAGCCUUGAAUGUUCAAGCCCAAGCCCGACCAAUAUUUUAAACAGGCCUAAUUUUUUUGUCAAAACCCAUUUUUCGGGCUUACUAUUUUUGUUCAAAUCCUCUCAAAUUUUAAGCCAGCCUUCAGGCUUGGGCAGAUAGCCUGUCCCAUUAACAAAUCUAGAGCUUUGAAAUUUAAGCAUACUUAGGGCUCGUGCAUUUACGUGUGGUUAGUAUCAAAACAGUACUGACGAUGAGAUUAGAUUCUAUAAUGAUGCUAUAACGUGAGACAAGACAGAAAAAACUAAACGUAUCGCACGAGAACUAAACGUCCAUCCAAAGGGAAAACUGAGUGUGGGUUUGGAUGGACGGUGCGGUGCGUUUAGCUUACUAUUUUUCUCACGCUAUAAUAUCUAAUUUCACCACCAAUGCUAUUUUUACACUAAGCGCAAAGUAAAUGCACCGUCCAUCCUAAUUAUCCCCUAAUUAAAAUUCCCUCCUGAUUUUCACCUAAAAACAAUUUUUGAAAUUGCGAUUCUCUUCCCUUUGGCAUCCCAAAAUCUAAACUCUAACCUUUUCCAACAUCCUCCAUCAGUACUUCCUUGAUGCUCUCCAGUUUUCGCUUCUCAAAUCCUUCAAAACCCACCAAGAAACCUAGCACCUCCAUGCAUUUUCCCUCAAAAUUGGCAUUUUCUCUCACCCCUACCCUCUUCUUGUCUCCUUUCUCUCUAUGCCGACCACAACAUUAGCAACCUCCACUAUGCUUGCUCCGCUUUCGAUCGAAUCCAAUACCCCUUGUUGAUUCUCUAGAAUAUCAUCCUCAAAUGCUACAUACAAAGGGUUAACAAGGGUUAUAAUGUAGGGGUGUAAGGUAGGCUGAAACAAAAGUAAAGAUCAGUUUAAAUGUGGCAUUUUAAGGAUGGGUAAAUAGGAAUAGUAUGAAACUCACUUGAUCGAGACUUACAAAGAAAGAGUAACAAGUAUUUCAACACUUCACUUUUUUUUAUACUCGAUUUUUUUUUUACUUCAUAUACUUUUUUUAAUUCAAAUACAAUUGAACAAUACAAAAGAACUUUGAAUACAACUUAUUUUUUUUAAUUCGAAAUUUUUUUUACAAACCUAUUUCGAGAUGAAUACGAACGUCGGUGCUCCUCAUUUUAAUAGCUCUGAUACCAAAUGAUAUGAACUGACUCAAUAAUGUUGAUUUGAAUCACUUUAAUUGCCUGACCAUCUACGAGAAGAGUCGUUUGUUUUGUAAAAUGAUGGAUUUUGGUUAACUUAUAAACGAAAGUUGGCAAAGGGGUUCAAAUGAUAGGCUAGGUUUGAUAUUUGAUAGGCUCGGUUUAACAAAGAAAUAAAGUAAAUAGUUGAUAGAUAUGAUGGAAUGGAUAAGUGAACUCAAGCUUCAAGAUCGAUUUAAUACUAUAAUGAGUAUUGCCCCGGAACUUAUAUCGCUUAAGGUGGGUUAAUGAAAGAUAGAAGAUGGACCUUGAACCGUUACCUAAAGAGGUAGGAACCAAAGGUAUAAUUUGAUGCAUGAGCACCACACCAAGGUUGGUGAUAAGUUCAAAGAGUUCGGGUUGACGCCACUAGCAAGCUAGAUAAGUCCAUUCGAGACUCAAACGAAAUAGAGAGGAAGAAACCUCACAGGAACAAAUGUUAAUUCAAUAAUUUGGCAAAAAGUUCCUUCAAAUGUUUACAAGAAAGCUAUUUAUAGACACAAAGAUAACUACUCAAAUUCAGAAUCUAUGUGUUCACACAAUAAUAAAAAUGUUCACACUAAAGCAUUAAAAUUCGAUUCAUGCUUGAAGAGGGUGCAUGAAUUGGCCGAACCAUCAUGUUGCUUCACUUGAUGCAUUCAUGCAUACUUAGCCUUGAAGAAUAGAAAUAAUUCGAUGAAUAUGCAGCCCUUUAAUGCUUCUACAUCUCCCAUGGCUGAGUGAAGCUUUAAUGUGCCUUGAAUACUUGAUGAUCAUCUUAAAUAUGCAUGAAACAUGCAUGAAAACUUCCCAAUGCAUGUUCCUCCAUAAAUAUGGUCCAUGAAUCUUCAAAUGGAUGAACAUUCAGCAGCUCCCUUGUAACACCCCCGAACCCGAGACCGUCGCCGGAGUCGAACAUGAGGUGUUAACAGACUUCAAACCACUUAUUAAAAUUUUUCCAGACAAGCUGCCAAUCUGCGUACUAGUCACUUUAAAAAUCAUAUCUUGAGCUCUGGAACUCGAAAUCCAGUUCCGUGAAUUUUCCCUGAAACUAGACUCAUAUGCCCUUCUACAUAUUAUUUUUCUAGAAUUUUUGGUCGGGCAAAUUAGUACAGUUUAUUAGUAAAAGUCUCCCAUGUUACUGGGGUCGACUACACUGACCUUUGCGCAUUACGACCUGGAUAUCUCCCUGUACAGAGCUUCAAUACUGAUGCCGUUUGUUUCUAUAGAAACUAGACUCAGAGAGGAAUCCAUAUAUAUAUGGAUUGACUCCUAAUUGUCUCUGGUUAAUUUGUAAUGAAUUUCCAAAAUCGGAACAGGAAAUCCAGAAACCGUUCUGGCCCUGUCUCACGAGAACCUGAAUAUCUCUUAAUAUACUGUUCAUAUGAUUGUUUCGUUACUUUCAUAUGAAAAUAGAUUCAUCAAGGUUCGAUUACAUAAUUUAUUCACUAUUUAAUUCCAUUCCUACAAAUUUUUGUGAUUUUUCAAAUCCACACCACUGCUGCUAUCAGCAUCUGUUUUCAAGGUAAACUUUACCUAUUUCGUGGUUACCACGGACCAACUAGGGUUUUGUCAUACAUAGGUCCGCAUAUGAUCAUAUUUAGCCAUUCCAAUGGCUGAUCAUUUGCUCAACACUUCCAUUCCAAACCAUAGUCACAUCAUGAAACCAUAUAUACAUACAUAAACACAAAUGGUCUAAUGCCAUACUCCACUUCUACAAGCCAUUUUCGCAUGGCUGUACACACAUACAUCACAAAAAGUACUUGAACAACAACAAUGGGUAGUCCUAUACAUGCCAUAUCCAGAGUUCAACUAAAAGAGUACCAAAAGGGCUUUGAUAGUGUGGAUGACUUCGACUUCGAUGAUCCCGAAUCCGAUAUCUAACGAACAAAAUCUAUAAAACAGAGAGCCAAAGCAACGGGGUAAGCAUUUUAAAGCUUAGUAAGUUUCAAGUAAUGAAAUCAGCUUUGACUAAAGUAUUACAUUCACAUAGCUAAAUGAACCACUUUAUUAAUACACAUUCUCAUAAUCAUGCUUACUUCACACUUCAUCAACAUAUAUACACACACAAGGUAUCAACCCAUCUAAAAGCCCAAAAGUUCGUUAGUCGAUUGAAUGAAUACUAUUUAAAACGAAUCGACUUUCCGAAGCACAUGCAAACAUACCUUAUCGUUUGGGUUUGUCGAGCGUAUUAAUUGAAUUUAUUACAGCACAAAACGCUCACAUUCAUACCCAAGUUUCUUCGGAAUUUAGCCGGGUAUUACCACAAGCACAAUUGCCUUCGGGUCUUAACCCGGGCAUAGCAACUCGCACGAAUGCCUUCGUGUCUUAGCCCGGAUAUAUCAACUCGCACAAAUGCCUUCGGGUCUUAGCCCGGAUCAAAUCACUAGCACAAAUGCCUUCGGGACUUAGCCCGGAUCAAAUCACUAGCACAAAUGCCUUCGGGACUUAGCCCGGAUCUCAUUCAAAUGCUCAUGCACACAUAAAUCAACAGUCUUGGCACAUCCAUAUUUCAUUUUCGUUACUAAGGCUCAAACACAAAACAUUUAUUAAACCUUUCCAAUUUCGGCUCAAUAGCCACACACAAAGAGCAUGAUUUCAAUUGGCUUUAUAACAUAGUCUCUAUGCACAUUCGGCUAUCCGUCAUAGUAUGACUAAUCAUUUCAAUAUAAUUCAAGUAGGGUCAUUACUCGAAGACUUACCUCGGAUAUUUUAAAUAGUUGUGGAUAGACUACUCGAUCGCUUUUUCUUUUCCUUUAUCAGAUUUUGACCCUCUUGGCUCUUGAGCUUGAUUCAAUAAAUAGAUUUUAUUAAAUAACUUAUCAAUUUAGCGAUUCGAUUUAAUACAUGUAUACCAUACAAUUAAGUACAAAUGAUGUUAUUAACUAGAUAUUAAACAUCAUACAUAUGCUCUACUCAAGUACUAAAGAACAUAAUACUAGCUUAAUACCAUGCAUAAUCGAAUUUAUUUAGCAUCAUUUAGUUUUAUAAAAAUACACAUAUCAUCCCAACUCGACACAAGAGUCAAAUUCAUCACUCAAACAUUCACACCAAUUUAUUUUAAUAUUUUGGCCGAAACCCUCAAUUGGCUAACAUAGCCUUAAUAUUUCAAUAUAAACACGUAUACAUCAAAGGCAAUUUAAAACACUUAACCCUUAUACUCAAUAAUGAAACCAAACCGUAUACCUAAUUUUUAAACACAUCACCUCCAAAUGCAUGUAUUAACUAACAUAUAUCCAAUCCACAUGCCAAGUUACCAUGAAUAAAUUAAACUUAUAUAUAUAUAACAUAGCUAAAUAUUCCUUAACAUAAAGGCAUUUAGUGACAUUUAAAAAAAAUAUAAUAACCAUUUCCAUAAGUAUAUUUUCAUGCAAAGACCGUACCUAAAUCACCAACAUUUUAACUCCCAACUACUUAGACUUAACCUUUCAUACCCUUAUAUCUAAUGUCAUAAGAAUAGCCGAAUGUCCAAAUUAACCAAGCUUAAAGAUUUAACCUUCAACACUUUAAUAUUCCACAACCUAUUCUUCAAGGCUUCAAAUAUAAAGUAAUUAACAUUUAUACUCUUAUGCCGAAUUAGCUAACACUUAUAAUCCAUAGCCGAAUGUCAUUAAACCUAAACCACCAUGAAAAUUUUACUUAUCACCUCAUACCUUAUUAUCAAAUUGAACUAAUUAUGCUUAUAAAAAUAAUAUCAAAACCGAAACCUUUUAAUAAUUAAGCCUCUAAUUAUUUAUUUCAAUUACCCAAACGAAAUUUUCUCACAUUUAACACUUAUAUACCCAUCAAUUGUUGAAGACAAACAAAAUCUCAUUUCCUCCCUUGACAACCACAACCGAAAGCUCAAACCAACAUCUAAAAUUCCAAGUUUUCAAAUGGGCUAAUAUGGAACUAGCUAAUUGACUUAAACUAAGCUUAAAAUUUCAAAAAACUAGCAAAAUUUUUACUAACCUUCUCAAGCUUCAAGUGACCGAAUGUUUUUGCCCCAAUUCUUUCUUUCAAUUCGGCCAAGAAGACAAAGAUGAAGCUUUGUCUUCAUUACUUUUCUUUUUAUUCUUUCUUUAAUUUAUUUCCUUUCUUUUGCAUAAAAUAAUGGCCAUUUAAUUAAGAUUUAGUACAUAUUAUAUAUAUAUGACCAUCAUGGCCGGCCGCCACUUAAAAUAAAAGGGGUAUUUGACAUGCAAGUACAAUUAUUUGCAACAUGCAUAAAUGGGCCAUUUUACAUUAGCCUAGCACAUUUCUAAAUUUUCUCACAUAAGUCCUAUUUAAUAAAAUUCACUUACAAUUUACAAAAUUCAACCAUGAAAUUUUCACACAUGCAUAUAUACAUAUAAUAAACAUCAAAUAUGACGGUCAAUUAUUUUUGUGACUCGGUUUAGUGGUCCCGAAACCACUUUCCGACUAGGGUCAAUUUAGGGCUGUCACAUCCCUCUUGCAUGAAUGUCCCAAAUACAUGUGCUCUUUUAAAUGUCAUCCAUUGAACCUCAAUUAUGCAUGCACCCUUCCAUACUUUGCACUAGGCCCUACAUGAAUCUUGUAUUAAAUACAUCUUCACAUUCGGCUGAACCUAGUUCAUAUCAAGACAAAUUAAUUAAAAUACUAAGAUAAAUUAAAAAUAAUUAAUUAUGGACUAGCUAGUAUAUUAAGUUCGGCUAGCUCAAACAUGUGAAAAUAAUUAAUGAACUCAUUUGAGCUAGGGAAUUCAGUCAUGAGCUGUAUCAAAUUAAAUAAAAUAAAACUAAUACUUCGCUUAUAAAAGAAAAGAGCUGAAACUAAGCUAGGUUGAGCUCAAAUGAGCUUAAAUGAGCUCAAGUGAACUGAUUCAAGCUGAAUGGAGCUUGGGGAGCUGAAGAUGAGCUAACAUCAGCUUGCACUAUGGUGCAAGGAGUCUUUAAGGUGCUAGCCCGACCUUCUCCAUUGACAUCGAGCUUGUUCUCUUCCCAAAAUUGAGUGAUUAAAGCUGAAACAGCUUCUUGGAAUUGCCUAGCUCGAGCUCGAGUCAUUGGGCCUUUAGGGACCUCAAUAGGUGCUUGGCUCAAAGUCCUCGAGCUCCCAACCGUGCUUACAUCAUCAUGCAUAACUUAUACCUUGUCAUUAGAACUUAUCAUUUGAACCAUAAUUUUCAUGCAUCCCAAAUAUACAUAUAUCUAACUUAUACAUACUUGACUAUAACUUAUCCAUAUAUAUAAUUUAAUUUCAUACCAAGUUAUACCACAAUUGACCACAUGCCAAAAUCACAUUCAAACAUACCAAUUUGGUUAUUCAAAACACAACUUCAAAUGACCAUUUCCACUCCAACCAUCAAGGACAUCUAAAUGACACAAAUCUAACCAUAUUUAGAUGGUUCCAACAAUCAACAUGUAUACAAACCAUAUUUCAAUCAUGCACAUCUAUUCAAAAAGCCUUACCAAAGCAUACUAUAUCUUGGCCAUGUUGAGGUUAAUUCAUCAUAUAUCACUUUGGUCAUUCAAACAUGCUUUAACACAUAUCAAUAAGGCACCAAAUGUACCAAGGCUUCAUCACCCAAAAUGACCUAUACAUGCCAAACUCAUCAACUAACAUUCGACUAAUCAUCAACCACAAGUUCACCUAUACAUGCCAUUAUAACCUUAACCAAGACAUCAAAAUCUACCGAUAUAAUCGAUGGAUAGUGUGAUGGAUCUCCGACUAGUUUCCAACCCGAUCGAGCUUUUGAUAAUUUGAAAAGUAAAGGAAAAACAACUACAUAAGCAAUGAAUGCUUAGUACGCUCGUAUAACUUUAAUCAUAUCAAUCCAUUUCAAAUAUGAAAUUUAUACAUAUCAAGAAUAAUCCUAUACCAAUACCACAAGAUUUAUGAAACCAUAAUCAACAACUCACACAGUGAAUAAAACCACAACAUCACAUAUACAUAUCAUCCCUAGCAUAGUAGGAUUUUUUAAAACUUUAAACCCUUUCAAAUUUUAUUAUUUUCAUUUACAUUUCAUUACUUUCCAUUACAUUUACUUUCUUUAGCUUAAACAACAACAUUAGUUUAACUCAUCAAUCCAUUUUUCAUCAUUUUACACUUCAAGUAUGAACUUACUUUUUCAUUACCUUUCCACACCCGUUUCAUAUGCAUAGCACACAAGACAUAAGCAUAUCAUCAACCAUAGCCACAAGCUAGUGCAUUUAAACAUAGCUCUUUUGGAAUUAACCACAUGAUAAACCAUUUCAUAAGAAAUUACAUAAUUUAAACCUUACCACUCUUUCAUGAACACAAGCAUAUUUCUAUUUGGGCACUUACAAUUUCAAUGCAUAACUUCUAAGUAAACAUAAUAAAAUCCAACCAAUAGCUUGACACAUGCCUAAGCAUCAAACAACAACACAUGUUAGCAUACUUGAACAUAUUUCACAUAAAUUCAACAUGGAUAACCAUUAUACUUGAAUACGAUUCAAUUUGGAUAUAACAUCCUUCAAAACAUAACAUGUUUUCCAUAUAUCUCAUCAUUUCAAUGUAUUUCAUGUAUACCUGUAUUUUCUCAUAUUGAACAUUUACAGUUCCCUGUCCAAUUCGUGUCCGUUGAACCGAAUAGAAUAUCAUUGGAUACUCGGGAUAGCUUACACAAAGUGGGCUAACUCAUAUAAUCGUAAUGCGUCAAUUCAUGUACAUAUAUGCUCACAUGAGCUGUGAAUAAGUAUGCUCACAUGAGCUAAGAAAAUAGGCCUACUCACACGAGCUGUGGGUCGGAACGUAGCUAUACGAUGCUACUCAUACGAGCUGUGGAGUAUGCGCAACACAUGCCAGACCUGAACCAACAGUAGGACAUUCAAGACCAGCACCUGAAUCAUGUAAACCCUAAUGACAUGUCAUUUGUAUCCUACGAAUUCCUAAGGUUUAAAUGGGGCUCAGUAGUCGUCGUACGCCGUUGAAUUUCUAUCGUUUCAUGACAUAAUAAUUUGCAUAAUAUCAUCUAUAUAUAUUAAUUCAUGUACAAUACAUUAAACAGUUAAUUUAACUCACAUUUAAGUGUUUAUAUUUCAUACGAACUUACCUGGCUAAAUUGCAGAAAUGUCAAAGUAUAAGGGCAUUUUGGUAAUUUUUUAUUCUCCUCUUAAUUUUCCACUUGAUCUUGAUCCAAAUUAAUAAUUUCAUUCAAUCUAUCAAUUUAGAUAGUAAAACAAUGUAUUUUAUGCACUUUAUUCAUUUUUUACAUUUUUACAAAAUUACCCCUAAAGUUUUACUUUUAUUCAAUUUAGUCCCUGAGCCUAAAACAUGCAAAUUAACCAUUUUUACCCAAAAUUUAGCCUAUCAAAAUUCUUAUGGCAUCCAAACAGCUCAUUCAUGCAACAAUUUCACAUCAAAUCCUUGUACUUCUACUAUUUUAACAAUUUAGUCCCUAAUAAAAAAAUUCAUCAAAAAUCACUUAAUAAAAUACUUUUAAAUAACAACUAAUAUUUCAAAUUCAUCAUUUAACGUCUAAAAUCACUAGGUUCAUCAAUGGAAACAUUCAAAAUCUUUAACAAUUUCAAAAUCGAAGGUACGGGCUAGCUGGACCUAGUUGCAAUGAUUUCAAAAACAUAAAAAUUAAAAGAAAUGGGGCUAAAACGGACUUACAUGCAUCAUCCAAAGCAAGACCGAAGCUUGAAGCUUCUCCCAUUCUUUUUCCAUGGAAACCUUCGGUGGUGAAAAACAAAUGGGGAAGAAAACAUUUUGUUUUCUUUAUUUUAGUAACAUUUAAUUUUAUUCUAUUAAAUAAAUAACAUAUAAAACAUUAUAAUUAAAAGAAAUUAAGCAUCCAAACUCCCUACCAUAUUUAGGAUGGCUAUUUUACUCAAUAAGGCCUUCCAAUUAUAAUUCUUUCAGCAAUUAACACCUUUAAACUAAUAGCAAUUGACUUUUUCAACUUUUACAAUUUAGCCCUUUUUGUUUAAUUAACUAUCGAAACGUUAAAAUUUUUUAACGAAACCUUAAUAGCACCUUAAUGACACUCUGUAAAUAUUUAUAAAAAUAUUUAUGACUCGGUUUAUAGAAACAAGGUCCCGAUACAUUAUUUUCUAAAACCAUUUGACCCUAAGGUCUUACCACUUGAACUUAAUAAAUCGCUUAAAUAACAUAAAUUAUCAAAUCAAAAACCUUUUUAAAAAUCACAUUUGACUCGUAAAUAUUAAAAAAUAACAUUUACGAACUUACUCGCCAGAUUUGGUGGCCCCGAAACCACUGUUUCUGACACCACUGAAAAACGGGUUGUUAUAGUACCCUAUAGGCGACACCGACCUGUUGUUUCUGCCCUCCUCUACUUCUCCGUGCACAAUGGGAUGAGACCUUUAAGGGUCUUGUGAAAAAUAUUUUUCAGGGACCUUAUAAUGGUCCCCUAAUGUGAAAAAAAAACAAAAUAGAAGAAGAAGAAGAUUUAGAGAAGAGAAUGGGAAGGGAAAAAAUAAAGAAAAAUGAGAGUAGAAGAAUAGAUAAGAGAAGAGAAUAAGAAGGGGAAAAAAGAAUAAAAGAGAAGGAAAGAAGAGAAUGAGAAGGGAAAAAAAAGAGAAAAGGAGAAAAGGAAGGAAGAAAGGGAAAGACAUUUGGGCUUUAAGGAGUUAAGUUUAGGGUUUGAAAAAAAAAGACUAGUGGGUUUUGUUUAAAGUUUGGAAAAAAGGAUUAAAGGGUUUUGUUUGGGGUUAUAUGGGUUUAUGAUUAAAAAGAAUUCAAAAGAGGUAUUUUUUUUAGUAUCUAUACAUUAUUUGUUAGUUUAGUAAUUUUUUUUUAUUUAUAGGUUAUAAAUGUUAAAUUUUUUUUGUUUAACCAUGUUAUUUUAGAAAUGUUUUUGAUUAAUUUAGAUUCUGAUUAAUUUUUUUAUUUUUGUAAGGUAUUAUUUCGGUAAGAAAUAAAGGUUUUUUAUAGGUAUUAUUUUGGUAAGGUAUGUUUCUAUUUUAUUUUUUGAUUUGUAUGGUUUUUUUAUGCUUUGUAUUAGAUUCAAAUAACAACAUUAAUCCCAUUAGGUUUAUUAUGUUGAGAUCAUUUCUACUGUUUCAACAUAAAUUUUUUGUUGUUUUAUAUAGGUAAAAGAUGAUACCAUUGAGUUGAAAUUUAUGAGAUAUUUUUUCUGUUCUUUAUUAACUUAAGUAGUAUAAAAAUGUUUAUUAUAUACUGAAAUAAUAUGGCAAAAAAUGUGAUGUGCACCAAACUCUUUAGCAUUUUUGUAAUUAUAUUAUUAGUGUACUAUAUUUAUUGUAUAAUAUUAAUGUGUUUUGAUAAUUAUUUAAGAUGUGAUAAUUAUUUUUUGUUAGGGUGUCUUAUUUCUGUAUUUUAAUAUUUCUUCUCCUAUUAUUGGGAUAAAAAGGCUCAAAUAGAAACUAAUUACCUACCGAAAUGUGUUUUUAACAAAAAACUAAUUACACUCUUUUUUUUAGGUUGCAAAUAUCAAAAUGGGUUCUUUGAUUAAAGAUGAUAAUCGCAUUUCAAAAAUGGUUAAUAUGAUGGUAAUAAAAUUGUUUUUUCUUACCUUAUAAAAUGUUCCACGUCAUUUACGAAUUUAAACUAGGUUAUAUUAACUAUUUCUGUAAUUUAAUAGUGUUAGGGCCUAUACCGCACAUUGAGGGGUCGUACGAAUGAUUUAGGAUAUCUGCUGGAUGAACGUGUAAUUCCAUACUUGGAGUUAGCCAGAUUCGGAUCAACAACAUUGAUCCGAACAUUUGAUUUACGGUACAACUUAAUAUCCGCUUUGGUCGAGCGAUGGCGUCUAGGGACCCACACUUUUCAUUUGCUGUGUGGGGAGUGCGCCAUCACUUUAGAGGAUAUUACACUGCAACUCGAGUUCCCAAACGAUGGGAAAGCGGUAACGGGCAUAAGUGCGAUCCUAGAGCCGUCCACCCUUUGCUAUAACCUACUGGGAGUCUCGCCCGGUGAUGUUAGGUCGAAAUUUUUGGGUUUGAGGUUUUCAUGGCUGAAGGCCAAUUUUGAGAAUAUACCGAUUAAUUCCACUGAUCGGGAGGUAAUGUGCGUCACUUGAGCGUACAUUAUGCACAUUAUAGGGGGUGUACUCAUGCCGGAUGCAGAUAGCAAUAAGGUCCAUUUGAUGUACUUGCCCCUGUUAAUUGGUUUGCAUAACGUCACUUCAGAUGGAUCUUUCUUUCGAUUUGCAGCCCUUGUUACAAUACAUACAGUGGUACUCCGAGAAGGGGAAAUCGUAUUUAUUUGGUGGGAAAUCAAUUCUAGUUCUUCUACACAUACCAUAACUUGGGCAACCCGCCCAUCCCCUUUCACAUCCGACUCCUGCACUCGAGCUAGAGCCCUAGUCUAAACCUGAGCCUACGCCCAAACCCGAGCGGUCUCAUACAUAGCCUGGAGAUAGUUCUUUUCAUUCGGACCUAGGGUUCGAUGACUAUUCCUCGGGCUCAUCAGGCCACGAUAUCAUUCAGGGUUUCUCGGAUCCAAUUCUGAUAUACCUAAUUCGAUAUCAUCAAUGACGUUUGAUAUCUUCAACCCUUACCACCGUAAUACCCUGCUCCUCCCAGAUAAACAUUUGGGGCAUACGCCCCUAGGUUUCAGUGAGGACCACAUUGAUAACCGCGAGCACCCUCAAUGUGAACACCAACCACCACAACAAUUUACCCCUAGGACCACACCAUCAAACCAUCAAUUUUUGGGGUUUCUAUCAUUUCAAUGAUCAUGUUUGUAUGUAUAUAAUUGUUGUAAAAUUUGUAGUAAAAUUUAGGCAUUUAAACUCAAUUUUUACUUAACCUUUAAGUUUUUGGUACUAAAUUUAAAUGAGAUGGUGCCUAAGGUAUAAACUAUCGAUUUAUAUACAUGCAAAAAUAUAAAUGCAAAAAUAUAUAUUUGGUAAUAUAAAUGAAAAAUACAAACUUUAUAAUAUAAAUGCAAAAUUACAAACUUUGUAAUAUAAAUUAGAUGCAUUGGAGUACAUUUGUAACACCCUUUAGCCGUAUUCGACACCAGAAUAGGGUACGAGGCAUUACCAGAACACAUACACUUGUAAAUGUAUUUAACCGAGUUAUAAAACUUCAUCUAAAUUAAAACUUUCAAAUUUUAUAAUUCUUCAUAAUAUAUCCUCAAAAUAUUAUAUUCAUAAUAAAUAGGACCUAUGAGACCCGAUACAUAUUCAUGCAAUUCACAAGUCUUAAUAAUUCAAUGCUUCAUUUCCAUUUCAUUCAAUUCUCAAAUUUCUCAUGUUGACAAUUCAAAUCAUUAAUUUCAAUACUAAUACGUAUUUAUCAUUUAACUCAACGUUCAUUGAUUAUACCAUUCAUUAACACAUUUAUGAAAUUCUAAAUUUUUGCAAUGAAAAUAUCACUUAUCUUAUAAAAAACAUCAAUUCAACUCAUCAUCCUAGUAUAAAUUCACUACCACUUAUCCAUUUACUAUAAUUCUUUUGGGUUCAUUUGUCACUUACCAUUCUGAAUCAAAUUAGGGAACGGUUACGGAAAAUUGAGUACUUCACUUCCACCUUGCCAUAGUAUAACUAUGAUCUUACGUAUGAUCACUUAUCACUUGUCCCUGAUCAGAUAAGUGUAGCUAAGCUACCACUUAUCACUUGCCACUUGUCACUGAUCAGAUAGGUGUAGCUAAAGCUACCACUUAUCACUUGUCACUUGUCACUGAUCAGAUAAGUGUAGCUAAAGCUAACACUUAUCACUUGUCACUUGUCACUGAUCAGAUAAGUGUAGCUGAAGCUAUCACUUAUCACUUGCCACUUGUCACUGAUCAGAUAAGUGUAGCUGAAGCUACUACUUAUCACUUGUCACUGAUCAGAAGUACUCAAAUCCGACGUUCCGCUCAAUUUGAUCAUUUAUUCAGUUUUCGUAUUGUUAUUUUAUUCUCAAUUCAUUAAAAAAUAUAUCUCAUCAUACAUUAUAUAAUUCAUGAAAUUAACAUGUAAUCAUUAAAUUUCAGCCAUAUGAACUUACUAUUUCAUUAACUUUCCACACUCGUUUCCUAUGCACAUCACACAAGGUAUAAGCAUAUCAUUCAACCAUAGUUGCAAGCAAGUGUAUUUAAACAUAACUCUUUUUGGAACUAACCACAUGAUAAACCAUUUCACUAGAGAUUACAUGAUCACAACUAAAUAUGUUACCAUUUCGACCACUACUUGGCCAAAGCCUAAGCAUGUACGCCAAAUAUGUUAGUCAAAUACACAUAUAGCAUAAACAUUAUAAGCAUGGAUGAGCACAACAUUUAUUCAUGUAUCACACUUACCAACAUGUGUUAAUUCAUAAAUCAUUCAUGACAUUACUUCAUGUCAAAUCAUAUACCGAAUAUACCAUACACACAUUCUAUGAAACUUUAUUUUCACACAUGAGCUUAGACCAUGACCAAUAAUGUACAAAUAUAAGCAUCAUUUCUAUUUCAUCGUUUAUCAAUUAUAAUCAAGCAUAUGACCAAUUAUACACAAAUCAUUCAUAUAUUUCCCAAUUUUCCUCCUCCUCCUCUCCAUUCCACAUCCUUAAUGUGUAUAACAAAUUUAAACAACAUUAUCCAUACUAUCACUAUUUUUCCUGUAUGUAAAUUCAAGUUAUCUGUCUAAGUUAGAGUCACUAAUUUAUUUAUAUCUCGAGAUAAAGAGCUCCAAAUUAAGAUCAGUUAAUUUUCCAUAAAACUAGACUCAUAUAUCUUCAAAGCAUAAAAUUUUAAAAAUUUUUGGUUCAGCCAAUAAGUACAGUUUAUUCUUUAAAGUUUUCCCUGUUUCACUAUUUGAUAGUUCUGACCCCUCUUCACUAAAAAUUAAUUAUCUCUUUAUAUAGAAUUUAGACGAUGUCCUCGUUUGUUUCUAUUGAAAAUAGACUCAUUAAGGAUUUUAAAUAUAUAAAUUAUAACCCAUAAUUAUUUUUAUACAAUUUUUAAUGAUUUUUCCAAAUCAGAAUAGGGGAACCAAAUUCAUUCUGACCUUAUCUAACAAAAUUCAUUAUAUCUCAUGAUUUAGAAUUCCAUUACUUACACCGUUUCUUCUAUGAGAAACUAUACUAAAUAAGAUUUAAUUUCAUAUUUUUUUCAUCCUCUAAUUCAAUUUCCAUGAUUUAUGAUGAUUUUUCAAAGUUAACCUACUGCUGCUAUCCAAAACUAUUUUAGUGCAAGAUGUUGAUAAUCAAAUUUAUAACACCAUCCUUUCCUUUCUCUACAAUAUUUUUAUCAAUUCCUCUUGUUUCCCUUCACUAACAUAUCAAGAACAUAGAACCUUAUAUAAUAAAGAACCUUAUAUAAUAAAACCCUACAUUAACAUCAAUUUCAUACUUUUUCAAUAAUAUCAAACUUAAAAAUAUAUUGAAACCUUGAUGUUCUUACCUUGCUCUAUUGAUUUCAAUCUUUAACUUGAUUUUCUCUCUCCUCCAGCUUCUAUUUCUCGAAUCUAACUUGAUAUUAUAGCUUCCCAUAGUCUCUUUAACAUUUUUCUCUCUUGGUAGCUAUGGAAAUUCUUUUAAUUUCUAGGUGAAAAUGGUAAAUUUUUGGUGAAAUGACCAAUUUGUAAAGAAAGCAAAACUUUCUUUCUUCCCUUCUCUUAUAACGUGAAAUGCAUGGGAAAGGAAGAUGAUUCUUCAUCUUUUCUUCCACAUAUAUAUAUACUAAAUAAAAUAAUAAUAAAAUGAUAAAAUGUCAUUUAAAAAUCAAAUUAAAAUAUUAAUAAACUAAUAUUUAUUUAUUUAUUUAUUUAAUCUAAAAUAUCUCUAACAUCAUCAUUAUUUUCUAGAUUUCUCUUUCUUCUAAUUGACCAUUUUGCCCUUUAGAUCUUUUAAAAUCCCAUCCUUAAGUCAUCACUUAAUUUGGUAAAAUUAUGAUUUAGCCCCUCAUAAUUCUUCAUCUAUUCAAUUUGGUCCCAAUUUAUCCAUUUUCCUUAGUUUCUAGAUUAUUCCACCCUUAAAAUAUUUACACUAUUGGUCCUUCAACUUUUUCAUAUUUACACUUUAACCCUUCAAAUUUUGAGUAUUUACUCUUGGAUAACAAAACUUUUCUCACUUUUGCAAUUUAAUCAUUUCUUUAAUUAAUAUGUCAGAAUAUACUUCCCAAUGUUGUCAUAACUUAAAAUUUUCCUUUUUGUCACUUUACUUCCUUACUAUAUCAAAGAUAAUAUCUUACUGUAAAAAUUUUCGGGGUAUUACAACAUUGGCUCAAUUUCCACUUGAUUGCGAUGAUUGACCAAUAUGGUAGGUUCGUUGCAGGCAUGUACUCCGAUUAUGCCCAGCUAAUCUACACACACCAAAAAGCUUCCUAUCAGUUUUCUCCCUAAUGUCCAUUUCAUUAUGAAUUCUAGUUGAUUGCGGACGACCUUUUGGAUUCCUACGUAACCUCUUGUCCAAGACAAGCUCAAAAGUCCUCGUAGGCACCUCAUAUAUAGACAGAUCAGGCAAGAUGGGGAGCUCAUUUUCCUAAACACACAACAUGUUCUUAAGAGUAUACACCUCAGUGAUAAACUGUUCAACAUUGAGCGAGGUGCGAGCACAUACUGUCACGACAUGCACAUAGGGAUAAUAUAGUGUUUGGAACCUUCCGUAAUCACACUGUCAGCUUCAGAGAUCAACUUCGUAGGACCUGGAUGGGAUAUCGGGCUGACGACCGAUGCUUUCUGUAACUCAAAAUGUUUCAAACUGUUGUGAAUAUAUUUCCACAUUCAUCGACCUCGCCUUACAACGGUUCACAUCCAUUGCAUCCCUGGCAUCUUCGACAAACACGUGUCCCGCAUUAAUCUGGUUGACUUGUUUUAGCCCCAUUCUUGGCAUCAAGGUGGCCAACCUAUAGAACGUACUCGAGAACACAGAUAAAAUCAAAAGAUGUCGUGUGUUCUUCAAUAUGGAGUUAACUGCCUCUGCCAGGUUGGUGGUCAAAUGACCAUAUCGAAACCCGUCAUUGAAACUUUGAGCCCAUUGCUACGGCUUCAUGGUACCCAACCACUAUCGGAAAAGAGUGUUCGUUUCACCUUGCAUGUCACCCUCAAGUGUCACCAUCCUUUACCGAAAAAGGUGUGGUUCUGGAUCGUACGCUGUGUAUGUAUUAAGAAAAGACAAGUUACAGUCUCGAAUUGUUCUAGUAUUGAUAAUAUUAAAACAUAUAUUGAAACUAUAUUUUACCUAUUUUCACAACUUGUCUCCGCAAGUUUGCAUUCUUGUACUACUGGUGAAAGUUAGCUGCUAUGUGCUGCAUACAAUAAACUGAUCUCCAUGGUACUCCAGAACACCUAAUGGCGACAAUUAUUCCCUUCCCUCUAUGAAAAAUUAUGCAAAUAUUAUUGUCACUAAUAACAUACCUUAGUAGGUUCGUAAGGAAGAAUUCUCAUGAUUCCAUGUUCUCUUUGUCUACAAUGGAAAAUGCUAUCAAGUGCACAUUUUUGUUCCCAUCUUAAGCAAUCGCAAUAAGUAGGAUCUGCGUAUAUUUACCAUAUGGUUAGGCCUUAUCUACCUGCACAAGCAGUUUGCAGUAGGGAAAUGAUCGCACGCAUGGAUCAAACAUCCAAAACAUCCGAUGGAAAAUUCUUCUUCUCGGUUGUAGUUGGUCAUUUGGAUCAUAAUAAGGUCAUGUCUCCAACUCAAUGACAGUCCCCGGACGUACUCUCGUAUAGCGGCUACCCACCCCCGUAGCUCAUUUUACGACGCAUCCCAGUCUCCGUACAACUACUCUAUUUCCAUUUGUUUAGCUAUCCAUGCUUUCCAAUAUGAUACUCGAUACUGGAAUCGUGCUUGCAUUUUUCCAAUCAAUACCGAAACUUUAAUGGUUGGCAUGUCCUUCACCAUUGGCAUGAUGCGUGUGCAAAUAGUUUUGGAAUCAAGUUUUCGAUGGUCUUUUGUCAUACAUGUUGAAAGGCAUGUGUGAUGCCAAACAAAUUUUAAUAUUUCUUCUCCUAUUAUUGGGAUAAAAACUCCCAAAUAGAAAUUAAUUACUUAUCGACACGUGUUUUUUGCAACAAACUAAUUGAACUCAAUUUUUUUUAGGUUAUUUGAUUAAAAAUGAUAAUCACAUAUCAAAAACGGUUAAUAUGAUGAUAAUAAAAUUGUUAUUUCUUACCUUAUAAAAAGUUACACAUCAUUUACGGAUUUAAACUAGGUUAUAUUAACCAUUUUUGUAAUUUAAUAUUGCCAGGGCCCAUACUGUGCAUUGAGGGGUCGUGUGAAUGGUUUAGGAUAUCCGCUGGAUGAACGACUAAUUCCAUACUUUGAGUUAGCCAGAUUCAGAUUAGCGGUAUUAAUCCAAAGUUUGAUUUUUCGUACGACUUAAUAUUCGCUUUGGUCAAGAAAUGGCGCCCGGAAACCCACAUUUUACAUUUGCUGUGUGAGGAGUGCACCAUCACUCUGGAGGAUGUUGUACUACAACUCGGGCUCUCAUUCAAUGGGAGUGCAAUAACGAGCAUAAGUGCGAUCUCUGAGCCGGUCACCCUUUGUUGUAACCUACUGGGAGUCUCGCUCGAUGACGUUGAGUUGAAAUUUUUGGGUUUGAAGUUUUCAUCGCUAAAGGCCAAUUUUAAACAUUUACCGAUUAAUGCCACUGAGCGGGAGGUGAUGUGUGCCGCUUAAGCGUACAUUAAGCACAUUAUAGGGGGUGUACUCCUGCCAGAUGCAAACAACAACAGGGUCCAUUUGAUGUACUUGCCUUGUUAAUUGAUUUGCAUAACGCCUAUUCGUAUAGUUGGGGUUUCACGGUACUAGCUAUGUUAUAUCGCGAGCUUUCUUGAACGAAAAAUCCUUUUGAUGUGGACAUAAAUGGAUGCCUCAUAUUUCUGCAGUCUUAGGCCCUUUACCGGCUGUCAUUCUUGGCAUCGGUUAGUCAUGAAUCAUAUGUCUUUCCACGUGUGAAUAGGUGACAAAAAUUUGACCCAUUAUAGCAAUUAUUUGACAUUUCAUUUUUAAUGAUAUUAUUCUAACAAGUUUUUGUUUUCGUAGAUGGAGUACUAAUUAAGGUAUCGAGAGGUUAUGUACGGUUCUGAUAAACCAUCUGAUGAUUGAAACACAUGCUGGGGAAGGGUUAAGCUAUUCCAAUAUUUAAGACAUGUAAUUACUUUAUCUGUCUUAUUCGAACCGUGUUAAUAUAGCCAUGUUAUUAAUUAUGCAGUUCAUCUAGAUGCACUAUUCCUUCCAUCAAAUUGCGACUAUGAUUCCCUUGUCUACCCACAUCCACUCACACCUGUGGUGCAUUAACGCACCCAUUAUCAAUGUCCAGACAGUGGAGUCGUAUAACAAGGAUUGAGUACUCUGAUAGUUUGGAUGCAUACAAUAUAUCCCGGCACCACUAGUGCAAUUGGAGAAGAUCCACGGGAGUAACAGGAGGGGAAAACAAGGAAAUAAUUGGACAAUAGUGCAUAAACAAUAUAUUGCAAUGUGGAACAACCGGAUGGGGUGGAGACCUCAGAUGGAUCUUUCUUUCGAUUUGCAGCCCUCGUUAUAGUACAAACAGUGGUACUCCGAGAAGGGGAAACUAUAUUUUUUUGUGGGCAAUCGAUUGUAGUCCCCUCGUACAUGCCAUGACUUGGGUAACCCGCCCAUCCCCUUCCAUAUCCGCCUCCUGCACUCGAGCCAGAGCCCUUACUCAAACCUGAGCUGACGCCCGAACCCGAGUAGUCUCAUACACAGUUUGGGGAUAGUUCUUAUCAUCCGAACUUGGGGUCAAUGACUAUUUCUCAGGCUCGUUAGGCCACAGAUAUCAUUCAGAGUUUCCUAGAUCUAGUUUUGAUAUACUUGAUUCGAUAUCAUCGAUGAUGUUUGAUAUCUUCAGCCCAUUACCACCGCAGUACUCUACUCCUCUCAGGCAAACAUUUGGGGCAUACAAUUUUUCCACUAUGUUUAGCACACCACCAGGUUCGAGUGAGGACCACGUUGAUCACUGUAAGCACCCGCAAUGUAAACGCUAACCACUACAACAAUUUACCCCUAGGACCACACCAUCAAACCAUCAAUUUUAGGGGUUUUUUUCAUUUCAAUGGUCAAGUUUGUAUGUAUUUAAUUGUAGUAAAAUUUGAGCAUUUAAACUCAUUUUUUACUUAACUUUCAGGUUUUCUGGUACUAAAUUUAAAUGAAAUGGUGUUUAAGGUAUUAAUUAUCGACUUAUAAACAUGAAAAAAAUACAAACUUUGUAAUAUAAAUGCAAUUGAAAUAUAAAUGCAAAAAUAAAAAUGUUGUAAUAUAAAUUAGAUUCAUUAUAGUACAUUGGCUCAAUUUCCACAUGAUCGCGACGAUUGACCAAUAUGGUAGGUUCGUUACGGGCAUUACUCUGAUUAUGCCCAACUAAUCUGCACACGCCACAAAGCUUCCCAUCGGUUUUCUCCCUAAUGUCCAUUUCAUUAUGGAUUCUAGUUGAUUACGAAGUCAUACGCAACUUUUUAUUUGGGACAAGCUCAAAAGUCGUCGUAGACACCUCCCAUGUAAACAGAUCAGGUAGGACGAGGAACUCAUUUUCCCAAACACGCAACAUGUAAUAACCCAAAAUUCAUGGGCAUCGGAAAAGCAUAAUAUUGGGCCUCCGUCUUAGUAAAUUGAGUUUGAAAAUAAUUAUUAGAAAUAUUUACGAGGCUAGUUGUGUGUUUAAUUAGAUUUUUAUUUAGUGAAUAUAGCUUAAUUAGGAGUAAUUAGCAAAAAGGAUUAAAUUGCAAUAGAAGUGAAAGUUUAAUUAUAGAUUAAAAGAAAAUAAUAGGGACUAAAUAGGAAAUUAUGCCAAUUGCCAAAUUUGAGGCGGCAUAAGCAUAAUAUCUAAUAUUUUUAUGUGUUAAAAUAUGUUAUUAAAUUAUUUUUAUUAUAUUAUAAAACAAAUAAGAUAGUGACAAAUGUAUGGUAAUAAUUUACACAUGUGUCAUGAUAAUGAUUGUAUAAAUACACUUGUAUUAAAAUUUUGUAAUUACUUAUUAUAUAAGAAAAUAUUAUUAUAUUAUAUUAUUAAAAUAUUACAUUUAUUAAAUAAUAAACAAAAAAUAAAACAAAAUAAAGUAAAAGAAAGAAACAGAAUAGCAUUCGAAAAUAGAACAGAGAAAGAAGAAAAAGAAAGAAAAAGGGAAAAUAGGGUUUUUAAAGCUUGGAAUUUAAUUUGGUAAGUCAAAUAAGCCAUGUUACUUAAUUUUGAUGUUUUAGAAGUUUUAAAACAAGGUUUGAUGGAAUUAAGUUGAUAUUUUGUAAGUUCAUAGGUUUUCAAGUACAGUUUAUGUUGAACAAAAGAGAUGAAUUAGGGAUUUAAUUGAAUGAAUUUCAAGUUAGAAUUGAUAAAAGGAUUAAAUUGUGAAAGAAAUUAUAAUUUUUAUGUUGUAGGGAUUAAAUUGAGAGAAAUUCAAAAUUAGGGAAAUAUGCUAAAAUUUUAAUAGUUAAAUUUGAGUUAGGAUGGAAUUUGAAUAAAAAUAAAGUGUGAAUUGAAUUAGAAAAGUAAGAAAACUUAGUUAGGAUUAAAUUGAGAACAAGGUAGGAAUUGAUUAGAAAUUUAAUUAAUUAUUAUAAUUAGUGCUGUAAUUAAUAGUAUAAAUUAUUAUUAUUUUCGUAGCUAACAAAGAACCCGAGCCAUCAGCAUCAAAAGGAAAGGAGAAAGCUAUCGAGGACUAAAACGUGAGAUUUACGGUUUGUAUUACUAUAAUUCAAGUUAUUUGUUAUUAAUUGUUAAAUUUAAAUUUAUGUGUUUGGUAAAUGAAAUGUGAGGUAAGUAUUAUUAUUAUUAUUAUUAUUAUUGUUAUUAUUAUUAUUAUUAUUAAGAUGAGUGGGAAUUAAAUUGAAUAGUUGAUAUGAAUUAAUAUUUGAAUUGUUUGUUGAUUGAAAGCGAGAAGUGAAUUUGAAUCGAAUUGUGACUGAUAUUAAAUUGAAUGAAAAUGUAUUGAGUUGUGAAAAUGUGUGAAUUUUUGGAUUAAUUAUUGAUUGAAAGGUGGAAAAAUGAUUGAACUGAAAAUGUGAGAAAUUGUGAUUGAAUUGGGGUUAUAUGUGAUUUAAAUACCCUAUUAACUAGUCGGGCUGAGUCAGAUAUAGUUGGCAUGCCAUAGGAUUGGAAGAGUUCAGGGAUACUUCGACCUCGAGUCGAUGAGACACUUGGUGUCACUAUAUUUCUUUGGAUAGAUUCGAUGAGGUACUGGGUACCAACUUUCUUCGGCUUUGCCGAUGAGACACUGGGUGUCAACUAUUGCUUCGAACUAUCCGAUGAGGCACUGGGUGCCAUAAUGGAGUGUUUGGUUGGAUCCGUGUAUCCGCCAAAGUCCGAGUUUUGUUAAUAGGGUAAAUAAUGAAAAGAUAAACUGAAUGAGUGGAUCAAUCGAGCUAUUGAAAUGAAAUGAAAAGUUGAAUGGUGAAUUGAAAUGUGAUAUGAGAUUUAAAAAUGAACCUAAGGUUCAUGAUAUGUCCAAAUUCAAAUUGUGGAUAUAUGAUAUUGAUUGAUGGAUUGCUAUUGUUGAGAUAAUGAAUUAAAAUUUGUAUAUACGAUUUAUGUAUUAUAUGUUUAUUAUUGUUAUAAUUUGAAUUAUGGUAAUAUCACUGAGUAUGAAAUACUCAGCGUACGGUUGCUUCCAUGCACAGGUUGAUAGAAGUAAAAAAAUUUCGGUUCAGCAUCUAGAUCAAUCCCGACUUCAGCAUAACUUUGGUGAUGUAUACUUUCUUUUAGUAAUGUGGCAUGUUGGAUAUGUAUAAAGGUUAUUAUGUUUUAAUAUAAAUGGUUAAAAAUAUUAGUAUUAAAAGUUUAUGAAUUAUAAUGAAAGAAGUUUAUCUAUUUUUAUUUAAUUAGUACAUUGUUAAAUUUAAAUUGAUAUUAUAUUAAUUGAGUUUGAUUAGAAGGAAUUUAGAAUAGAAAAUGAGAAUGUGACAUGAAUUGGUUGAUUUGAUUAUAUUUGAAAAUGAUAUGAUUUUAAAUUGCAGGGGGUUUUAUGUAAAAAUAAGUAGAAAUGCUGCCGAAAUUUAUAAAAAAAUGAUGUCAAUUGGUAAACAAACAUAUAAAUUUAUGAUUUAUUUUAAUAUGUUGGUUAAUUAUUUAAGAACUAUUUGUAAAUCGUUUGAAAUGUCCGGUAAUGCCUCGUAACCCUGUUUCGGCGACGGUUUGGGGUUAGGGGGUGUUACACAACAUGUGCUCAAGAGUAUACACAUCAGUGAUAAAUAGUUCAACAUUGAGCGAGGCGUGAGCACAGACUGUCACGACAUGCACACAGGGAUAAUGAAGUGUUUGGAACCUUUCGCAAUUGCAUUGUCUGUUUCAGAUAUCAACUCCGUAGGACCUAGAUGGGAUACCAGGUCCAUGACCGAUGGUCUCUGUAACUCAAAGUGUUUCAAACUGUUAUGAAUAUAUUUCUACAUUCAUCGACCUCGCCCUCCAAUUGUUCGCAUCCAUUUCAUCCCUGACAUCUUCGACAAACACGUGUCCCGCAUUAAUCUGGUUGACUUGUUUUAGCCCCAUUCUUGGCAUCAAGGUAGUCAACCUGUAGAACGUAGCCAAGAACAUAGAUAAAAUCGGAAGAUGUUGUGUGUUCUUUAACACAGAGUUAACCGCCUCUACCAGGUUGGUGUUCAUAUGACUAUAUUGAAAUCCGUCAUUGAAAAUUUAAGCUCAUUGCCACAGUUUCAUGGUACUCAACCACUAUCGGAAAGGAGUGUUUGUUUCACUUUACAUGUCACCCUCAAGUCUGGCCAUCCUUUAUAAAAAAAUGUGUGGUUCUAACUCGUACGUUGUGUAUGUAUUAAGAAAAGACAAGUUACAGUCUCGAAUUAAUUUUUUCUAGUAUUGAUAAUAUUAAAACAUAUAUUGAAACUAAAUUUAUCCAUUUUCACAACUUGUCUCCGCAAGUUUGCAUUCUUGUACUCUUGGUGAAAGUUAGCCGCAAUGUGCCGUAUACAAUAAACUGAUCUCCAUAGUACACCAGAAUGCUUAAUGGUGACAAUUAUUCCCUUCCCUCUAUCAGAAAUGAUACAAAUGUUAUUGUCACUAAUAACAUACCUUAGCAGGUUUGUGAGGAAGGAUUAUCAUGAUUCCAUGUUCUCUUUGUCCACAAUGACAAAUGUUAUCGGGUGUACGUUCUUGUUCCCGUCUUGAGCAAUUGCAAUAAGUAGGAUUUGCGUAUAUUUCUCGUAUGGUUAGGUCCCAUCUACCUACACAAGCAGUUUGCAGUGGGGAAACGACCGCACGUAUGGAUCAAACGUCCAAAACAUCCGAUGGAAAAUUCUUCUUUCCGGUUGUAGUUGGUCAUCCAGGCUGUAAUAAGGUCAUGUCUCCAACUCCCCGGCACAUACUCCUACAUAGCGGCUACCCACCCCUAUUACUCAUUGUACGACGCAUCACAAUCUCUAUACAACUGCUCCAUUGCCAUUUAUUUAGCUAUUCAUGCUUUCCAGUAUGAUACUCGAUACUAAAAUCAUGCUUGUAUUUUGCCAAUCAGUACCGAAACUUUAAUGGUUAGCAUGUCCUUCACCAUUGGCAUGAUGCAUAUGCAAAUAGUUUUGGAAUAAAUUUUUCAAUGGUCUUUUGUCAUAAAUGUUGAAAUACGUGUGUGAGGCCCAACAAAUUUUAGCAUCUCCCACAUCUGCGAGUUCUUGGUAAAUGUGGCUCAUACCCACUAAUUGCAGCCUUCUGUCGACCUCCAAUAGUUUCAAUAUACAAUGUCGGUUUAGACAUGACGACUUUGUAGUCUAUUCAUAUAUUCAUGCUAUACCGCUUAAUGGCAAAUACGCACUCUUCCUUGGUUUCAAAUUUUUGACCCAUGAAAAAUCCUUAGGUUCGGAAUCUACGACCAACCGAUGAGCAGGUAGUAUAUCAGGAUACUCCAAAAACUUGACUAGAUGCGUAGCAUCGAGGUCUAUUAGCGACAUGUGUGCCCCAGGAUCAUUGCAUAUCACAAUGUGUCGAACCAGGUUUUUGACUGAAGACUCAUUAACAUUUCCAUCAUCAUUCGCGCCUUCGUCGUGGAUAUCAUCUGAGACCUCGUACACAUCGAGAUCACUAUCACCAUCGACCUCAUGAUCAGAAGGAUCACUACUAUUAGUUCCAUCAUCAGCAUCAGUCUCAAGUGCAACAUUAAGAUCGAUGUCGAACCCGCGUACAAUCGAUUGACAAUCAACAUAGGAUAUCGAAACCACCAUACACAGAUCUUGAACUCUAUGUUCGUCACAUAAUGGAGUGGGAUCUUCAGCUUGCUCCACAUCAGCUAACUCAGCAAAUAACUGAAUCAGUGCAUUUUGGUGGCUCUAAUUCCCACAAUAAAGAGGGACCAUUGCCUCCACGUCUUCAUCGUUUACAAGUUCCAUCUCGGUGAAUUUGAUGGGAUCUGUCAAAACUAGAAACUUUUAGAGAAGUUUCGAAAUCUUUCUCCCAUAACGUCUAACAAUUUUUGCACUAAUCAUUUCAUUCAUAUCAUAAACCAAGACAUUUCUAUUAAAUCUCAUUGCUAUUUGUUAGUGACAUUCAAAUAUACGUCCAACUGUUGUUGUCAAAAUUACUCCAUCAAAAUAAACACAUACAAAAAAUUGAUUAUCUAUCUUCAAUAUUAGAUCUGUUAAAAAAGAAAUAAAAAUUCUCAAUACAAUUUCAAGCAAAAUAAUUACUGUAAUAUAAAAUAUGAAUUUCAUAUCUACUAACCUAGUGAAUUCUUCUUUGUUUGUUUACUAUUCUUCUACAAAUUUUUUAUUGCUGUUAUUUGAAUUCUCAAAACUUUUUUCCCAAACACUGCUUAAAUAAUGGUUGAGAACAGGUGAUACCCACAAGAUUGGCACCACUGGUGCCACCUAUAACAUUGGAACCAAUAUUUUGGUGUCACCUUUCCCAUGGGCACCACCACCAAAACUUGUCCCAAGCCCGUAGUUAACAAUGUAUUGGAACCGUAUGGGAAAAAUACUUUGGUGUCGUCUAUCAACAAGGCUACACCAUUAAAAAUUUAUUUUUUUUAGCUGAAAGUGAUGGGUGUCAAAAUAUAGGGGUGGUGCUGCCUAUGCACCACCCUCCAGCACCCCUGGUAUACCAUUUCCGUAAAUAAUUUAGAUGGUAUACCAUUUUGGAACUUUUAAUUUUUUUUAUAUUAUUUAAGAAAAAAACCCAUUUUUGAGCAUAAUCAAUGCAAUAUCUUUCUAUGGUCGCCUAGAAGUACACAACCCUCAUGAUUUGUCUAGCCAUCAUAUGUUCAUUUGCGGGUGCAUCAUAUACCCUAUCAUGUACUUCUUCUAAUAUUCUUUAAGCUUCCUUAAAAUCUACACAUCUCAAUAGGAUAUGAUCUCGAUUUUUUUUUAUAUAACACCUCACCAUCUAAGAAGAAACUGAUAGAUAGUCUUUUGAUAAUUUGCUUAUCAUUUUCAUAAGCAUGUUUAGGGAAUUUCUGAAAUUUCAAGUAUUUCACAAUAUAAUAAUACUAUGGUCGUUCAUCUACUUCUUCUUCAAUGUCAAGGCAAUGAUCAAACAUUCUUUUAAUUUCCAAUUUGGAUGGUCACAGCUUUACUUCAUAGUUCAAUUUAUGUGCUCUUUCUUACUUAUCUCAUUUUGCUGUCGUGCACCGCAUCGCAUUAAUCUCCCGAACACCAAUAAUUAUAAGAUCAAGACCUUCCUCACUUAGAAAGGAUUAAAAUUGGUGGCUUAGAUAAGUAUUUGUUAACUUUCUUCGGCCCACUCACCACUAUCAUCCUUUCCAAGUAAUUUAAAUAAUGGAUCACAUUUCAACGUUAAGUGUGGAUGAAAUGAGAGAUAUAAUUUAAAAGUUAAAAAAAAAAAAAAAACCCUGCUCAUUAACAAAAUAAAAUUUUAAAAUCUUACUGUAGUACUAUGGGGUACCUAUUUAAGCAUAUUUAGUUGAACCCUCCGCCAGCCAAAAUUCCCUCCAAAAUUUCACCUAGAAUGAAUUUGUGAAAUUGCGAUUCUCUUCCCUUGGCAUCCCAGAAUGCAAACUCUAACCCUUUCCAAUAUCCUCCACCAGCACUUCCCUGAUGCUCUCCAUUUUUCGCUUCUCAAAUCCUCCAAAACCCACCAAGAAACCCAACAGCUCCACGCAUUUUCCCUCAAAACCGGCGUUUUCUCUCACCCCUCACUCUCUUCUCGUCUCCUUUCUCUCUAUGCCGACCCCAACAUCAACAACCUCCGCUACGCUCGCUCCGUUUUCGAUCGAAUCCAACACCCCUCGUUGGUUCUCUGGAAUAUCAUCCUCAAAUGCUACAUACAAAACCAACAAUCCCAUGAAGCUAUCUCCCUGUUCGUCCUUUGCUUGGUCAUUUUCCGCCUGAUGAAUUCACGUUUCCUUGCGUGAUUAAGGCAUGUGCUAAGUUAACUGCUUUGAAAGAAGGCAAACAAAUACAUGGGUUGGUUUUGAAGCUUGGCUUCGGAUUAGAUAAAUUUGUGCAGGCUAGUUUGGUUUAUUUGUAUUCCAAGUGCGGCAAGAUUGGUUCUGGUUACGCAGUGUUUGAUCAAAUGGAUGAGAAAGAUUUGGUUUCAUGGAAUUCUUUGCUUGAUGGGUAUGCAAGGUGUGGAGAAGUUAAGGCUGCCAUGAAGGUGUUUGAUGAAAUGCCUGAAAAGGAUUGUUUUUCAUGGACGGUUUUGAUUUAUGGGUUGGCGAAAUGUGGGGAGGUUGAGACUGCUAGAAAGAUAUUCGAGAACAUGCCAAAUAGGAAUUAGUUUCGUGGAAUACUAUGAUUAAUGGGUAUAUGAAAGCUGGAGAUACUAAUUCCGCUUGUAAAUUGUUUGAUCAAAUGCCCACAAGAAAUUUGAUCACGUGGAAUUCAAUGAUAGGGGGAUUCAAAUUGAACUUGCGCUUUUUGGAAGCUUUGGAAAUGUUUGAGAGAAUGUUGGAGGAGGAAUUUAGGCCCACUCACGCUACGUUAGUUAGUGUGAUUUCUGCUGUCUCUGGAUUAGCUAGUCUUGGCACGGGAAGAUUGAUACAUUCGUAUAUUGUUAAAAAUGGAAUCGAAUUAGAUGGGGUGGUUGGGACAGUGAUGAUCGAAAUGUAUUCCAAGUGCGGAGGCAUUGAUAGUGCGGUAACUGUUUUUCGGACAAUAAGCCACAAAAAGUUGGGGCAUUGGACUGCUAUAAUUGUAGGCUUGAGUAUUCAUGGCAUGGCUGACCAUGCUCUGAAGCUAUUUCUUGAAAUGCGAAGAAUUGGUGUGAAGCCUAAUGCUAUAACUUUUGUUGGUGUGCUUAAUGCUUGUAGUCAUGUUGGAUUGAUUAACGAUGGUCACAAAUAUUUUAAUAUGAUGAUAAAUGAAUAUGGAAUUAAACCUGCUAUAGAACAUUAUGGUUGUUUGGUGGACAUAUUAUGCUGAGCUGGUUGUCUUGAAGAAGCAAAAGAUAUCAUUGAAGAAAUGCCCAUGAGACCAAACAAAGUAAUCUGGAUGACAUUGCUUAGUGGUGCUAGGAACCAUAGAAACACAAAAAUAGGUGAAUAUGCUGCUCAACAUUUGAUUGAAUUGGCUCCAGAGACUACUGGUGGUUAUGUUGUCCUUUCCAAUAUGUAUGCUGUAGCAGGUGAGUGGGAGAAAGUUUCUGAGGUAAGAGAAAUGAUGAAGAAGAGAGGAUUAAGAAAAGAUUCCGGCUGCAGUUCAAUAGAGCAUAAAGGUGUGGUUCAUAACUUUAUUGUGGGAGAUAAAUCACAUCCGCAAACAAAAGAAAUUUAUUCCAAAUUGGCUGAGAUGAGAGAGAAAUUGAAAUUGGCAGGACAUGUUCCUGACACAAGCCAAGUGUUGUUGUAUAUCGAAGAGGAGGAAGAGAAAGAAGCAGAAUUGGAAAACCAUAGUGAGAGGUUGGCUAUUGCCUUUGGUCUCAUCAAUACUGAAGCUGGAUGUCCCAUUCGCAUCAUGAAGAACCUUCGUGUUUGUAGUGAUUGCCAUUCUGUCACUAAACUGCUUUCUAAAAUCUACAGACGUGAGAUUAUUGUGAGAGAUAAUAGCCGGUUUCAUCAUUUUAAAGAUGGAUUGUGUUCUUGCAAAGAUUUUUGGUGAUUACCUCAGAUGUUGGCUGGUAUUAUUGCCAUCUUUCAACAGGACUGAAAGGGAAGAUCCGCAUAAUAACUUUAAGGUCUUCAGGUUGUGUUUUGUCAUCACUUUUGAGGGUUUAUAGAAAUGGCUAGAUAUAUUUCUUGCGCUUUAUUUAUAUCAACUAACUGAACCAGCCACUUACUACAAAAUAAAACAUUUGCUUUAUGAUCUCAUCUCAUUUCAAGAAAGGUGCUAUUUCAGGGAAAAAGGAUAUGGAUUUAAUGAUACAACAGCUCAAAAGACUAGCAGUGAAUUACAUCAGUACACAGCAACAGAUGCUACAUAGCAAUUAAUGUUACAGCUUUCAGAGACAUAUCUAUAAUCUAAGUUCAUUUUCCGGGGACAAAGUUAGUGGCAUAAGCCCAUGCGUUGUUGGCCACCGGAUCGGCAAGGUGGUCAAAGAGGUUCUCAAUGGGACCCUUUCCUGUGACAAUAGCCUGGACAAAGAAUCCAAACAUGGAGAACAUUGCAAGGCGGCCAUUCUUGAUCUCCUUAACCUUCAAUUCUGCGAACGCGUCAGGAUCAUCAGCCAGUCCAAGUGGGUCGAAAGCACCACCUGG